UGGCAUCAGGUGACAUGCCUACAGCAUGUCACGCUGCAACAUGCGGCCUCCCAUCCGCCCUCCAAUCUUCAUCCAACGACCCACAGCGAUCCAAGGCAAAAAAAAUCCUUGGCGAUCAGACUUGGACCAAGUCGCAGUGGUUCUGCCCGCUCGGAACCAAUUUGUGGCGGAGAAAGGGGAGAUUGGCGCUGAGAGUUGCCGCCGCAAAGGAUAGGUAGGGUCGCGCCGCCGCCGAGGAGGACCCGCAGGGUCGCGCUGCCGCCGCCCAAGUGAAGCGCUCCGCCUCACCGCGGUGGUAAUCAGCGCCGCCGAGCCCCCGCGGGAACCAGCUCCGCCGAGUCGCCGGGGAACUAGAAGAGCGUCGCCGUGCGCCGGGUAGCAGCAACUUGCCGCCACGGUCCACGGAGGAGCGCCACCCUGACCACCAUGUCCGGUUUCCCAGGUCGUCUCUCCUCUUCCUUCACAUCAGUUUGAUGCCUGUGUAGUUUGGGUUCAGAGUUAGCACGGUUUGGGUUAGUUUCGUUUCAGAAUUAACUGAUAAUAUGUGUAGUUCUAUGACUUUGCAUCAAUAUCACCGCUGCACCAAAACAAGUUAAAUUACGUGUGCCCUCUCCUAGUAUACUGCAGAUUACUCCGUAGAUUGGAAACACUACACCUUUUUGUGCCCUCUCCUGGACAUAGUUGACUGAAGCCUUGGUGUAGCGUCCACUGUAAUUAAAUCUAUCCCUCGGUCUCUUUAUUUGUGAAGGAAAAAUAUAUAUGUGAUAUCUGUUUAGCAACGCCACAACAAAAGUUUAAGGAUGGAUAAACUCUGGAUCCAUCAUUUUUCCUAUGUAAACUAGAUGGCAUACUGAAUCAUCAUAUUCAGUGUGAGUGUGAGUAAUUUAUCUUUUAUAUAUGAGUUGUUGUACCAUCCUGACAUGUAUAUACAGAUAUGUCUUGACAUGUUGUACCAUCCUUGCUACCGGAACCGAUAAGAUUGCAGUCCACUAAUUUAUAUACUUUGUUUUCGUUUGGCAGAAUUAAGUGUUGUGCAAUGGCAGAAAUUGGAAAGAGGACACCCAAAGUUGGUAUGAGGUUCAGAGAAUCGGAAGAGGUUUGGGAGUUUUGGGUAGAUUAUGGGGGGUCACAUCGGCUUUGAUGCGAGGAAAAGAUCCACAAUCAAAAGCAGAUGUGAUGGUGUGAUUACUUCACGCUGGUUUGUUUGUUCCAAUGAAGGCCAUCGAAGGAAAAACUCCUAUGUUGGUGGAAGCAAGCGAAGUAUACACUCCGAUUAUUUUGAGGCUUUCUAAGGUGAGUAUGAAAGAUCAACGGCUGCAUGUUGUAGAGUAUUGGAUGGAAAUAACAGAUUUGUUGUUGCUAUUGCGAGGUUGCAUGGAGAUUUACAGUUUGAGGAGGAGCGCAUAGUGGUAGGUGAUCCUUUGACCAAAACGGUUUCAUGUAGUUGUGGGAUGUUCAAUAGAACAGGAAUCUUGUGUGCACAUGGUCUAAAAGUGCUUGAUUUGAUGAACAUAAAGACAUUGCCGGCACAUUAUGUCUUGAAGAGGUCGACUAGAGAAGCUCGCAAUGGAAGUAUUGAAGAUAGACAAGGAAGGAAUGUGGUAGAAAAUCCAAAAAUGGAAGCUGAACUUCGAUACAAGGAUUUGUCUCAUAAAUUUCACAAAAUGGCACAAAAAGCAGCCAACUCUCCACAAUGUUGUAUUCUAUUGGAUAAUGCACUUGAUUCCGCCGCUCCGCAUAUACAUGAUUUACUCAAUGCAUCCACUAGUGCCAUGAAUGAACUAUGUAAAGACAAAGAGAAUGUUGACCCAAAUGUGCAGUAAGUAGAUGAGUUGCUUAGAUCUGCACGGCUGAACAAAAAAGAGGUUCAGUCAAAGAACUUAAGGAGAAAGAAAAAUUGGCUUGACAAGUUACUCAAGGGGAAGCACAGAGUAACUAAAGGACCAACAAAACAGGGAGAAAAGGUAAGUUGCAAUUGGUACAUGAUAUGUUGUUAUUGCUCAUUUGUUAACUAAUUACAGUGAUUUUUAUUCUUAGCCACAAAGGAAGAAGGAUGACAACAAAAGAAAAAAGAUGGUGUGCAGCCUCAAGUAGAAGUGGAGAAGUAUGACAACAACAAAGAAGUAAAUUUGGUGCUUCAAGAGUGCAAUAAUAUUAUGAGUUUCACCCAACUCUUGACGGCUGACCAUGAUAAUCUGUUCUAGCAUGGAAGCUCCUUAGAUAAUGUUUUGUACAUGGUGGUAAUGAUGAUGAUUAUCUGUUCUAGCAUGGAACUUGUUAGAUACAGUAGUAUUUUGGACAUGGUUAACUAUAGUAGUAUGGGGUUAACUAUAUUAUUUUGUAGCCUAAGUGUACAAGCAAGUGGUACUGAAUUUGAAUGUAUUGACCUUUUGAAUUACAAGCAAGUGGCACUGAAUUUCAAUCAAGUGGUACUUAGUUUGUAUUGUUAAAUUACUGCUGUUUUUGUUGCUAUAUGACCGUUGUUUGCAUACAGUUUUUUUUGUAUAGCUAAGUUUGAAAUUUAAUACUGAAUUUCAAUCAAGUGGUACUGAAUCUGUAUUGUUAAAUUACUGUUGUUUUUGUUGCUAUAUUACUGCUGUUUGCAUACAGUUUUUUUGUUUUUUAUAGCUAAGUUUGAAAUUUAAUACUAAAUUUCAAUCAAGUGGUACUUAAUUUGUAUUGUUAAAUUACUGUUGUUUUUGUUGCUAUAUAACUGCUGUUUGCAUACAAUUUUGUUUUUGUUUUUUUGUAUAUCUAAGUUUGAAAUUUAAUUUAUGCAAAUUCGGUAAAAAAAUAUAGCUGCUGUUUUGUACUGUACAAUGACUGAAAAGUUGGUGAUUCUAUUGAACAAACUCUAAAAACAGUAGUUUGAUGCAUUUCCCCUGUGUAAUCUGAUCGUCAGGGAUUUUUUUUGCCUUGGAUCGCUGUGGAACGUUGGAUGGAGAUUGGAGGGCGGAUGGGAGGCCGCAUUUUGCAGCGUGACAUGCUGUAGGCAUGUCACCUGAUCCCAGUCCCUGCCUGAGAUCCCUUUAGCGGCGGUGGUGUCGGGGAAGGGGACGAGGCGCUGCAAGAAUGGGCUGGAAGCCUUUAAUGCGGAAUGGGUGGAGGCCCAGUUAACCACAGACUUCAGAUAUUUCUUCCGGAGUAGCUGCCCUUAAGGACGAGUGGCCCAGUUCGCAAAGUUGAGUUGAUCGAAUGGCCAGAAAUGUCCGAACGGCGAGAUCUAAAGGCCAAAAUCGUUGACUACGGAGACGAAAGGCUUGGGUUGCCAUGGGGCGCGGUGCAGAGGGGCGGAGGAGAUCGUCGCCGGGUUCCGAUUGUUAAUGAGCGAGCAAGAGGAGGGAAGGGCACUGCUGCCUGAGAUCCCUUCAAUGGCGACGAUGUCGGGGAAGGGGACGAGACGCUGCGAGAAUGGGCUGGAAGCCUGCAAUGCGGAAUGGGUGGAGGCCCAGUUAACCACAGACUUCAGAUAUUUCUCCUGGAGUAGCUGCCCUUAAGGACGAGUGGCCCAGUUCACAAAGUUGAGUUGGUCGAACGGCCAGAAAUGUUCGAACGGCGAGAUCUAAAGGCCAAAAUCGUUGACGGCCUGAGAGGGUUGGAAAAGUGCUUAGUUUUAAUGUAUUUAAAUGAUACAAGAAGAGAAAGUAUGUUAGCUUAUGCCUCUCCCACAUAAAACUUGCUAUGGGUAUAGUAACGUAGUCAAUUUCUUAGGGACAAUUUCACAACUCCUACCACCACUUUUCCACACUCGCUAUAUUUACUUUAUUGCUUCUUUAUCUAAACAGCCCCUAGCUUUUAUUUACGUGCUCUUUAUUAUCUUGCAAACCUAUCCAACAACACCUACAAAUUACUUCUAGUUUCAUACUUGUUCUAGGUAAAGCGAACGUCAAGCAUGCGUAGAGUCGUAUCAGUAGCCCAUAGGACUUGAGAGAGUAUUUUUUCUACCUUUAGCUCCUCGUUGGGUUCGACACUCUUACUUAUCGAAAGAGGCUACAACUAUCCCGUAUACUUGCAGGUCGUCAAGCCCCUAGUGUUCGAAGACCGCACGAGGGGCUCUAUAAGUUCCUGAUCGGAAGAAAACCCGAUCCUUCACACGCUGCAUUGGUUAUAGCAAUAUGUGGAAGAAAUCCUUAAAGAUUUGACAACCUCUCGAAUAGCUGACCAGCUCUUGCUGCAUCAUGACAAUUAGUUUUCGGCUUCCUCUACUGAGGUGCUCGUCCGGAAGAACCGGGACACAAUCGCAGUAGUUCUCCUAGUGCUACCUUAGCCGAUAUAGCGGAACGUAAGAUACCAAAACAUAGGAGCUGGGCAAACCCAACUAUUGACCCAAGACAUGAUUCGGAGCUGAUGCAUAUAAUGCUAUAAGUUCGGGGUGCCGAACUGCCGCGAAGGUGUUCAGACUUUUUUGCCGUAAUAUGGGUAUAAUGAAGCCCCUGGCAUACUAAGGCAUAUCGCGAUAAGCAGCUGCCUUAUAACAAAAGAGUUUUAAUAAGAAAUAACAGCAGACUAGCAUCAUAUGAACUCACAUGUUGUAUUUUGAGUAAUACGUCUAAGCAUAUGAGUACAGGUAAUGUGAUAAAAAGAAAUAUGACUGUGGAACCUGCUGAGACCAGGCGGGAGGAGGUUGUAUGCGGAUCCGGAGUAUAUUCGGAUGAUCAAAGAGGAGAGUAUCUGACGAUUCCCUUACGUGCUCGAGUUGUUUCAACGCCAUCCGUCCUGGCCUACACAAAAAGGUGGACCUGCGAAGAAAAUGCAAGAAAUGGUUUUUCGCCACCGAGCGGUUGAGCCGCAGUAUGUGGCUUGUCUUAAGUUUUGCCGGAGUAUUUUUCGUUAAGCUCCGGACGGGCCGGGCUAUCCUGCUGCGCAGUAGUUCGGACUUCUUUGACAGAGUCCAUGAGCUUGGUCGUCGACUUAAGGCUCGAUUGGGAGGUGCCAUUCGUUGCUCUUGCUGUUAAAGCGGUGGUAGAUUCUUCGGCAGUGAGGGGUAGUUCGGCCCUGCCAUUAACCAUGAUGACGCCGUGCGGACCAGGCAUCUUGAGUUUACGGUAGGCAUAAUGCAGCACUGCGUUGAACCGAGCGAACGCGGUUCGUCUGAGCAAGGCCUGAUAGUCACUGCGAAAGGGGACGAUCUCGAAGAGUAACUCUUCUGUACGGUGAUUGUCCGGAGAUCCAAAGAUCACUUCCAGUGUGACUGAGCCCGUACAACAGGCCUCUACACCUGGCAUGACACCUUUAAAGUGGUUUUUGUGGGUUUGAUCCUCGAGGGAUCGAUGCCCAUUUUGCGCACCGUAUCCUAAUAGAGCAGGUUCAGGCUGCUGCCACCGUCCAUGAGGACUUGUGUGAGGUGGAAUCCGUCGAUGAUGGGGUCGAGGACCAAUGCAGUUGAAUCGCCAUGAUGGAUACUGGUAGGAUGGUCCCUUCGAUCGAAAGUGAUCGGACAAGAGGACCACGGGUUGAGUUUUGGGCGACUGGCUUUAUUGCAUAGGCGUCCCUUGGUUCACGCUCCUGCUUCGGAAUAUAGGUUGCGUGUAUCAUAUUCACCAUUUUCACCUGGGGAGGGAAUUUCUUCUGUCCUCCCAUUUUCGGUGACCGGGGCUCCUCCUCGUCGUCGUCGCUUUGAGACCCCUUCCCCUUGUUUUCGGCACUUGACCUGCCGGCUUGUCUGAAGACCCAGCAUUCUCUGUUGGUAUGAUUGGCUGGUGUUCCCGGGGUGCCGUGAAUUUGGCAUGGACGGUCGAGUAUGCGGUCCAAACUGGACGGGCCUGAAUUGAUUUUGUUAAAUGGCUUUUUCCGCUGACCGGACUUGGAGCCACUGAAUCCGGCAUUUACUGUCGUGUCUUCGAUAUUAUCACUGUUUUUGCGACGCUUAUAUUUGUUGCGCCGUGGUUUGUCGUUGCUAUCCCUGGCUUUUGAUGUGCCAGGAUUGCUUGUUGUGUUGUUGCUACGAGCCAACCAGCUAUCCUCGCCAGCACAGAAACGGGUCAUGAGUGUUGUGAGGGCUGCCAUGGAAUUUGGCUUUUCUUGGCCGAGAUGUCGGGCAAGCCACUCGUCACGCAUGUUAUGCUUAAAGGCCUCUAGGGCUUCGACAUCCGGACAGUCGACAAUUUGGUUCUUUUUAGUUAGGAACCGUGUCCAAAAUUUCCUGGCUGACUCUCCGGGCUGUUGUGUUAUGUGACUUAGGUCAUCAGCAUCCGGUGGUCGCACAUAAGUGCCCUGAAAGUUGUCAAGGAAUGCGUCUGCUAGGUUAUCCCAGCUCCCGAUGGAGUUUGCUGGCAAGCUAUUCAGCCAAUGCCGAGCUGGUCCCUUGAGUUUUAGUGGGAGGUAUUUGAUGGCGUGUAGAUCGUCUCCACGGGCCAUAUGAAUAUGGAGGAAGAAAUCUUCUAUCCAUACCGCGGGGUCUGUAGUACCAUCAUAUGAUUCAAUGUUUACGGGUUUAAACCCUUCUGGGAAUUCAUGAUCCAUUACUUCGUCAGUGAAGCAUUGGGGGUGUGCGGCGGCUCUGUGCCGGGCUACAUUGUAUUCGGUCCGGCCGAAUUUGUUGGUAAAUUUGGCAUGACGGUCAUCGUCACACAUUGGGGCACGCCCCCAUGAUCCGUAUAUCGAUCUUAACUGUCCUGCUUUGUUUUCUAAUACGUCUCGCAGGUCCUUCGUGUAGCCCCCGGCCUUCGUGUUUUUGCUUGUUUGGCGACGGGGUGUGGUCUGGACUUCGGGCUUGUACGCCGCUUUGUCUCGGCCACGGGGUGGCCGGUCAGCCGCAUCAUGCGCUGGUAGUGUGGGCUUUAACGCCUCCUCCUCGAGUUGGGGUAGCAACCUGUGCUUUGGGUAACUUUUGGUAGGGCGCUCGAGUUCGUAUUCCUCGGCAGCCAGGACCUCGGUCCAUCUAUCAGUUAGCAUAUCUUGAUCAGCUUGAAGUUGUUGUUGAUUUUUCUUCAGGCUUUUUGCAGUGGCCAUAAGCCGGCGCUUGAAGCGCUCAUGCACGACGGGAUCCUCAGGCACGAUGAAUUCUUUGUCGCCCAGGCUCACUUCGUCUUCGGAGGGAGGCAUGUAGUUAUCAUCCUCUGAUUCUCCAUCUGUUGCAUGUUCCUUAGGGCUAGCUUGCCCAUCUUCCUGCUCGGCCUGCUCGAAGCCUGGCUUGGCAGGAGUGUUUUCAUCUUCGGCACCAUCCGGAUUGUUGUCAUCUCUUGUGCCGGUAUCCCUAUUUUUGCUGUGGCGGGGCUUGGAGCGGCGCCUAUGACACCGGUGCCUAGAUUGUUUCUCCCGGGUUUUAUCCUCCGUUGCCUCAUCGCCAUUGCCUUCUUUGGGGGUGUCCACCAUAUAUAUAUCAUAUGAUGAGGUGGUUGUCCAGCGCCCUAUAGGCGGUGGUUCCUGUUCAUCUCCCGCAUCGUCGUCCAUACCGUCGAUGUCUUCGGAGUCGAAGUCGAGCAUGUCGGUUAAGUCAUCGACACUGGCUAUUAAGUGGGUGAUGGGUGGGGAACGAAUUUCUUCGUCGUCCGCUUCCCACUCGAGCCGGAUAUAAUUCGGCCAAGAGUCUCCUGACAAAGAGAGAGACCUUAAUGAUUUUAGCACAUCGCCCAAGGGUGAGCGCUGAAAGAUAUCCGCGGAGGUGAACUCCAUGACCGGUGCCCAAUCAGACUCGGUAGGCACGAGUGUACGCGGUUCGGAUCCUGUAGCCGGAGACGAGUCCGAGGGUCCGAUGGUACCGACCUCUUAGGAGGUGGAAUGCAUGUUCGGCUCCAAGGCUGAUGAGUGUGCGGCCUCCGUGGCGGGGUCCAUCCACCCAUCCUUGGAUGGUGCAAUCUGCUCCGGAUUAAUUCCCGGGGCAGCCGCAGGCGCGAUCCCCUGAAUAGUGUCCGAUGGCGGAUCUAAGUCAUGGUCAUCGGGACAGUUCGGCGCACCUGACAUGGGCUCGAAUCCGUCGAAAAUCAAGUCUCCGCGGAUGCCGGCAGUGUAGUUUAGGCUUCCAAACCUGACCUGGUGGCCAGGGGCGUAGCUAUCGAUCUGCUCCAGAUGGCCAUGCGAAUUGGCCUGCAGUGCGAAGCCGCUGAAUAGGAAGAUCUGUCCGGGAGGAAAACCUCCUCCUGGACCUCGUUGUUGAAGAUGAUUGAAGGAGCCAUCAAGCCUUAUCGUGACGACAUAGUUCAACUCGCAAUGAAAGAACCAAUGUCGGUGUCAAAACCGACGGAUCUCGGGUAGGGGGUCCCUGUCAGCAACACUCCAGCUACAGGCUUGCAAGAGCAGAGUGGCGAGGGCCAGGAAGGGGUACAAAGUCGGCCCGUCCGUAACCGGAGGCCCAAUACCCGAGUAACAGGCCCUGACUGGGUUAGCGGCCCAACCACCAACAGGCAGAAGACUACUUAAGGCACAGCCACUACAGGAAACAGAUAAUUUGCCGUCUGUGGAUCACAGAUGGCAAAGACCUAAAUCUAGACGACAAAGAUUUUGCCGUCAGGAAGCAGACGGCAAACUCAGACGGCAAAGAUAAGUCGGCAAAGAAUACUUUGCCAUCAGCUUUUUAUCGGGAAGACGGCAAAGACUUUGCCGUCAGCCAACUAUAGAUUUGCCGUCUGCCGUAAAAAUAACAGACGGCAAAAGCGCGUUCUUUUCCGUCAGUCAAAACUUGUUCUUUGCUGUCAUCUAGACUAAAGUACAGACGGCAAAGACUGUUUUGCAUUUUUUUAAAUGACGUUAGAGCAGAGCUUCUCGCCGGACAAAUGAACAUCAAAUCAAAGAGAGCAAGUUUAGCUCACAUAGAUUCUGGGUUCGACACGGCCAUGCUACCUUUCAUUCAUUGUAGGUCGAGUUACAGAGAACCUGAAACUUUACACAAAGAACCCUCCGAAAACAACUAAUUACAAGGCAUAGGCAAAAUCUUCACUUGCGUUUACUAGUAGUUUGACAAUCAAUCGUUCAAUAAUAUGACAAUUAUCUAUGAACACAAAAAUAACCAGAUUACACAGGGCUGCCAAGUUCACCCAAAAGCUUGCGCAGCCACCUUCGAGCACGACGGGCAGAGGCUGAUGCGGUCAGCGGCCGGUGGAGUGAGGCGUCGAUGGGGAGGAGGCCUCCGGUGUGCUGCUGCUUGUAGUGUCACGAAGCGUCAAUGGGAGGAGGCCUUGGCCUUCCGAGCAUGACGGGGGACAGGACAUACUCGUCGGGGGCGACGAGGAUGGGUCCGGUCAUGCCGGUGGCGCGAGGCGUCGAUGAUGUUUCCUUCUGGCGCAUAGAGGCCGCCAGGGUCAGCAGUGACCGGUGGUGUAGGGGGCGACACGGGACCUGGCCGGCUGCAAUGAAGGCAACGGGGACAAGCCAGCCGCGCCAAGGCGACUGGUGAUAGGGCCGACCAUGUCGGGAGGAAGGAGGGAAGGGGCCAGCCGUGCCGGAGGCGACAAGGGAAGAGGCCGGCUGUGCCGGAUGCGAUGGGGAAGGGGCCAGCUGCGCCGGAGGCGACAAGGGAAGGGGUCGGCCGUGCCGGAUGCGAUGGGGAAGGGGCUGACCGCGCCAGAGGCGAUGGGGAAGGGGCCAACCGAGCCGGAGGCGAUGGGGAAGGGGGAUGGGGCGGCCACACCGGGGACGACGCGGGACGUGACUAGCGGCGCCGGCCGGCGGCCAGAGAUGGUGGCACAGGCGAGUAAAUCGGGAGGUGGGCGAGGUGGUGGGGGUGGGCUAUGUGCGGAGAUAAGGGAGAGAGAGAUAACGUGCGAUGAACAUGGUGGGGUCGCGGUGGGUGAGAAGACCAAGGAGAGAUGAGUGGUGGGGGGGCUGCGAUGGUGCCACCUCAUCGAUCCGUGGGAUCGAUCCGCGAGAUGUGUUUUCUCUUUGCCGUCUGCGUUUUUAUUUUACAGACGGCAAAGAGUUUAUUUUGCCGUCUGUUAAAAAAUAGGCAGACGACAAAGACUGUGCUGUCUGUAUUUUUUUUAACUGACGACAAAAUGACCUCUUUGCCGUCUAUAAAUAAAAAUGCAGACGACAAAGUUUCUUUGCCAUCUGUGUUUUUCCCGAUAGAUGGCAAAGUAUGUCUUUACCAUCAGUUGUUCUUUGUCGUCAUCACCUUUCGGCAAAUUCGAUCUUUGUCGUCUUCCCCGAUGAAAUGCUGACGGCAAAGAGCAGUACUGACGCAAAUCUCCUGUUUCCUGUAGUGAGCAAGGGCUCUGCUAGGGUUCAUCCAGAGACGGAUCAGAACUGGCGGCGGCGGCUCUCUUUUCCCCUCUUUCCCAACUUCCUUCUUAUUCGGCUCUGAGAGCUUGUAACCCGAACCCAAUCUUGUACUUGAGUGAUAUUUCCACCAGUAGAUGCUAUCAAUUGGUAUCUAGAGCCAUUUUUCCACCACAUCCGCCGCAGAUCUGGCCCCGAUUUUUCGCUCCAUCAUCGAGACAAGGAGGGAGAAGCAAAAGAGACUUGCCAUGGACGAUGAGGCGAAGAAGUUCAUGAGGGAACUAAUGGGGGAGUUCUGCUCCGACAUCAAAGGGUCGAUUGGCGAUCUCAGCGCCAAGGUCGACGCCAUCCAAGCCUGGAAACCCGAGCUCGAGGCCCGCAUCUCCGACCUGCAGGAGGCGGUGGAUGCGCUUCAGAAGGCGGCGCCGAUGUACCAGCCCCACGUCGUCAUCGACAUUCCAGAGGGAGUCGGCAAGGAGGUGGCGAACUCCAAGGCCACCGCACCCAUGGCACCAUGGAGGCAAGCUUCUGGGCCCGUUGGCCACGACGAUCCACCACAAACCCGGGCGCAGUUCCAAGGAACUACCCCGGGCGCAGGUCAGUUGCAGCGGCCAAACCUUCCCCCAUCGUCGUCUCCAUUUCCGUUUACCAGUCCCCUAUUGGGAAGCGGCUCAGCUUCAUCUUCAGUGGGAGGGAGCCAUAGCCAUGCCUUUCCGGCUAUGGCUUUUCCGUAGUUCGAUGGAGAGAAUCCGCGGCUGUGGAAGGGGUUAUGUGAGCAGUACUUUGCCAUGUACGGAGUGGACUGGUCGUUUUGGCUACCCAUGGCGACUCUAAAUUUUUCCACCACUGCCGUGAUCUGGUUGCAGUCCGUCCAGCGCAAGGUCACGGGCCUGGACUGGGAGGGGUUUUGUGAAUUCCUAUGCAGCAAAUUUGGGCGUGAUCAGCACCAGCAGUUAAUUAGACAGUUUUAUCAUACUAAGCAAGUGGGCUCGGUAGCAGAGUACACAGAACAAUUCGAUGCUCUUAUGAAUCAUUUACUAUCAUAUUCAGAGGCAGUUCACCCGUUGUAUUUCUUGACGAGGUUUGUGGAGGGACUACGCGAUGACAUCCGAGCGGUCGUGCUGAUUCAGUGGUCGGUGGAUCUCAAAGCGGCGGGGUCCUUGGCUCUUCUGCAAGAGGAACUGACCGAGGGCCUUCGGAGGGACCGACCACGUCGCCUGGAGAGCAUGCCGCCGCGUAUUACCAAGACGACGGCGGCCCUGCCUGUGGCGACUACUCUUCCUCACGGAGGAGGGCUGGCCGGGGCGGAAGAUCGCCGGGCGCUCAAGGCGGCAAGGCCGGCGCAAGAUGCCAACAAGGUCGCAGCUCUUCGCGCCUACCGACGGGCGAAGGGUCUGUGCUUCACGUGCGGGGAGCGGUAGGAACGCGAUCGCCGCUGCCCAGCCUCCGUGCCUCUCCAUGUCAUAGAAGAGCUACUGCAAAUGCUAGACACCGAGGACAGCACCACACCCGAAGAUGACGAUCAGCAAGAUGGGGAAAAAGCAAAUUGUGCAGCGAUUCCCUGUCACGCGCUGGAUGGCAUAGCGUCGCCAAAAGCGUUGCAGUUGCAGGGAUGGAUCGGGGAAACCCAGGUGCUUGUGCUCGUUGACUCAGGCAGUUCUUCUUAUUUUAUCAAGCAAGACCUGAUCCAGGGAGAACUCAAGGCCACACCAUUGGCGCAGCAUCUCAGAGUUAAGGUAGCAGAUGGGGGUGAGUUGAUGUGCACUCAUGAAGUGGUUAACUGUGCAUGGUGGACUCAAGGUCAGCAAUUCUAUAACAAUCUGAAGGUGCUGCCAUUGGGGAGCUAUGAUAUCAUCCUUGGCAUGGACUGGUUGGAGAGUCACAGCCCGAUGCAAGUGGACUGGGUGAAGCGAUACAUAGAGUUCAAGCAACAAGGGAGCACAGUCAGAUUACAGGGGCUUCCCAACAAUGGCCCCUAGUGUGCGCUGAUUUAGUCAAUGCAGCUCCAAGCUUUGUGUAAGGACAAUGCCUGCCUCUUAAUCAUGCAGCUGUAUCAAUUGGAGCCGACCGAGCAAAAGAUGCUGCCACCUCCAGUUAAGGAUUUGCUCGAUAAGUACAGGGAUGUGUUUGCUGAACCCCGGGGCGUGCCGCCAGCCCGAGCUUGCGAUCACCGCAUUCCCCUGAUACCAGGGGCACAACCAUUCUCUGUUCGACCGUACCGGUACCCUCCAGCACUCAAAACAGAAAUUGAGGAGCAAGUGGCAGAGCUCCUGAAGCAAGGAAUCAUCCAGCUGAGUCAUAGUCCCUUUUCAUCCCCAGUUGUGUUGGUCAGAAAGAAGGAUCUUACAUGGCGAUUGUGUGUGGACUACCGUCGACUCAAUGCGAUAACUUGCAAGACCAAAUAUCCCUUACCAGUGAUCGACGAGCUCCUUGACGAGUUAGCCGGGGCCUGCUGGUUUUCCAAACUCGAUCUUCGAGCGGGCUACCACCAAAUCAGGCUGGCCGAAGGAGAGGCACCAAAAACAGCGUUCCGGACUCACAGUGGGCACUACGAGUAUAAAGUCAUGUCGUAUGGGCUAGCAUAUGCACCAUACACCUUCCAAGGAGCGAUGAAUGUCACUCUGUCCCCGGGCCUGCGAGAGUUUGUUCUGGUCUUCUUUGACGAUAUUUUGGUGUUCAGCAAGACGUGGGCAGAUCACUUGAAGCACCUCGAGCAAGUUUUGGGAUUACUUCGCAAGGAUCAAUGGCAGGUGAAGGAGUCCAAGUGCUCCUUUGCACAGCAGCAAAUCUCGUAUCUGGGCUACCGCAUUAGUGCUGAGGGGGUGGCGACUGAACAAGAUAAAAUUGAAGCAGUUCGUUCGUGGACAACCCCAGUCUCUGUCAAGGAACUGCGAGGAUUUCUCGGCCUCGCCGGAUACUACCGUAAGUUUGUCCGCCACUUUGGAAUGAUUUGUCGACCCUUGACCCAGCUGCUCCGCAAGGGGACCGUGUUUAUCUAGACAGCCGAAACCCAAGAGGCCUUUGAAACUCUCAAGCAGGCACUUAUCACAGCGCCAGUCCUAGCCCUGCCCAACUUCGAGAAGGUCUUUGUGGUGGAGACUGAUGCCUGUGACAAGGGCAUUGGGGCAAUGCUGCAGCAGGAUGGGCACCCAAUUGCCUUCCUCAGCAAGGCCUUGGGCCCCAAGUCAGCUGGCCUCUCUACCUAUGAAAAAGAGUGCAUGGCCAUACUGCAUGCGGUAGAUCAGUGGCGCUCAUACUUGCAAGUGGCUGAGUUUGAGAUCCGAACGGACCAGAAGAGCCUGAUACACCUGGAGGAGCAGCGUCUCACCACUGUCUGGCAGCACAAGGCCUUUACUAAGUUGUUGGGUCUUCAGUAUAGAAUAUGUACAAAAAGGGAGAAGAUAACAAAGCAGCAGACGCACUAUCUAGGCGGGCUCAUGAAACCUGGGAAGAGGCUGCGGCUCUGACUGAAUGUAAGGCAUCUUGGCUCGAGGAACUGCAAAAAGGCUACGCCACCGACCCUCAGUGUCAGAAGUUAGUUACAAGUUUGGCAGCUGGGGAGCAGCAAGGAUUUUUCUCUUUGCACCAAGGAGUAUUGCACCACAAAGGAAAAGUUUGGCUGGGGCACAACACCGAGCUGCAGCACAAAAUUAUCUCAGCCCUGCAUGAUUCUGCGACGGGAGGACACUCGGGAUUCCCUGUUACCUUGGCCCGAAUCAAGCAGCAUUUUUCUUGGCCGGGAAUUCGUCGUUCCAUCAGGGAAUAUGUGCGCACAUGUACCAUAUGCCAGCAGGCGAAGCCAGAUAGAGUGAAGUACCCGGGGCUGCUCCAACCAAUUCCCAUUCCAGGCGAACCAUGGGAGAUGACCACCAUGGAUUUUAUUGGACUUCCUACAUCAGGGCGUCACAAUUGCAUCAUGGUGGUGGUGGACAAGCUGACCAUGUAUGCCCACUUUGUGCCCCUGAUUCACCCCUUCACCGCUCAGACAGUGGCACAACAGUUUAUGGACCAUGUCUACAAGCAUCACGAAAUGCCAAAGUACAUCAUAUCCGACCGGGAUCCUCUUUUCACGAGUAAGUUUCGGCAGCACCUAUUCAAGAUCACGGGCAAUGAACUUUUCUUAAGUAUAGCAAGACAUCCGCAGACGGAUGGCCAGACCGAAAGGGUCAACCAGUGCCUCGAGACCUUCCUACGCUGCUACUCCCAGGCAGCCCCGAAACAAUGGUGCAAAUGGUUGUCCCUCGCGGAAUUUUGGUACAACACGAGUACACACUCCAGUCUGGGCAAGUCGCCGUUUGCUGUUCUGUAUGGUAGGGAGCCACACUCACUUGGCCUGGUCUCUACUGACAACUGCCAGCCUUUGGACGUCCGGGCCUGGCUAGAGAGCGCCAACUGAUGCUCGACCUGGUCAAGCAACACCUGCAUCGGGCACAACAUCGGAUGAAAGACCAAGCGGACAAGAAGUGGUCGGACCGUGUCUUUCAACCUGGAGACCGAGUGUUCUUGAAACUAUAGCCAUAUGUACAAACUUCGGUGGCUCAACGAGCAUGUCACAAGCUCGCAUUUAAAUUCUUCGGCCCCUACACCGUGCUGGCCAAAAUUGGAGCAGUGGCAUAUCGUCUCCAGCUACCUGAAGGCUCUUUGGUUCACCCCGUGUUCCGUGUGUCCCAUCUCCGACCGGAACAGCAACCGACAGCCCUUCCUUCUGACGCGAUGGCUUUUCAGGUUCCUCUGGAGGUCCUUCAAUACCGCUGGCGCAAGAAGGCCAACAAGAUGGUCCGCCAAGACGAGAUUCGUUGGACCGGGGCGCAGGCCGACGACACCACCUGGGAGGACUUGGAGGAUCUGCACCGGCGCUUUCCGCGUGCCCCAGCUUGGGUACCGCUGCGCGUCCUCCGCCUUCGUGACAAGUAGUCCGGGCGCGGGCCUAUCAAGCAAGGUCUCGUGCACUGGUCGCACUCUACCGAAGACAAAACCGAGUGGGAAGAUCUCGACCGCCUUCGACAGUGAUUCCCUGAUGCACCGGCUUGGGGACAAGCCAUUUUUCAAGGAGAGGGGAUUGUCAGCAACACUCCAGCUACAGGCCUGCAAGAGCAGAGUGGUGAGGGCCAGGAAGGGGUACAAAGCCGGCCCGUCCGUAACUGGAGGCCCAAUACCCGAGUAACAGGCCCUGACUGGGUUAGCGGCCCAACCACCAACAGGCAGAAGACUACUUAAGGCGCAGCAAGGGCUCCGCUAGGGUUCAUCCAUAGAUGGAUCAGAACUGGCGGCGGUGGCUCUCUUUUCCCCUCUUUCCCAACUUCCUUCUUAUUCGGCUCUGAGAGCUUGUAACCCGAACCCAAUCUUGUACUUGAGUGAGAUUUCCACCAGUAGAUGCUAUCAGUCCCGAACUGUGCUUCUAAGGCUAAUGGUAACAGGAGGCUGGGGACAUGUUGUUUACCCAGGUUCGGGCCCUCUUGAUGGAGGUAAUAUCCUACUUUCUACUUGAUUGAUCUUGAUGAUAUGAGUAUUACAAGAGUUGAUCUACCACGAGAUCGUAGAGGCUAAACCCUAGAAGCUAGCCUAUGAUUAUGAUAGUUGUUGUUCUACGGACUAAACCCUCCGGUUUAUAUAGACACCGGAGGGGGCUAGGGUUACACAGAGUCGGUUACAGAGAAGAAGAUCUACAUAUCCGAAUCGCCAAGCUUGCCUUCCACGCAAAGGAGAGUCCCAUCCGGACACGAGACGAAGUCUUCAAUCUUGUAUCUUCAUAGUCCAACAGUCCAGCCAAAGUAUAUAGUCCGGCUGUCCGAAUACCCCCUAAUCCAGGACUCCCUCACGGACCUCACCGUCGCCAGCACCUAUUGGGCUUUGCCCGGCGGCAGGGAGGGGAGGGGGGAGGAGGCCUAGUAGCCAGCGGCGGCGGGUGCGGCCCCUCGGUCGCUUUCAGGAGCGACACGAGGGAAAGGGGACGUUUUUUCACCAGAUGUUAGAUCUUUGCCGAUACAGAGCCCUUCAAUACAGACAUCCAAACAUAGCGCCAUCAUUUCUUUGGAUUUGAUCUUGAACUCAGUGAACCCGGACUAUAUUAAUUCCUGGGGAUCUUUUUUGUUUCUCACCGGAAAAAAAGGGCCCUAUGAAAAUCCAAGGAAGCACUUUCCCCUUGUGUACCCACGGCCAAAACAAGCGCCGAAUUUGACUGUGCAGCACAGGGGAAUACACGAAGCCCGGAUCUACGCGAGGGGAGUGGCGCCGACAGAUGCAAAUUAAACGCCGCAUCCCGCAUGCACCCAUCCAGCCUCGACCCGACACAGGUCAGAGGCGCCCAACAGUUUAUUGACCCGGGAACAUGGGCAGGGCUCUCCCGUUAGAAUCUCCCACGAGCCUCCAUGCGUCGGCCUGGGCCAAUAAUGCCGCUCGCCAGCACCGCCACCGAUCGAGCUCGUGUCCCCGUCACCUCAGCUCCCGAAAGAGCACACACUCCACCCGCAUAUGUGCAUGCACGCCCACAUGCAUGCACGGGCACGGCCCCUCGCAACGCGCCAGCAGAGCCUCGUCCGGGCUUCCAUCCCCCAGGGCGGCCCCAGUGCAGUGCAAGGCAUGGCUAUUUAAACUCCUAGAUCUGCCUGUCAUGUCCGGCCAUUAGCGAUACCACAAGCUUCAUUGAUCUCUGUAACAUGGGGACGUCAGCUGCUGGACCGUCUGCCCGGUUCCUUGGGCUGUUCGCGGUCGCGACGUGCCUGCUCUGGAGCACGGCCUCCGGCUUCUCGGCGUCCGGCGUCAGCAGGGCCUUCGCCACCUUCUACGGCGGCAGCGACGCCUCGGGAACCAUGGGUACGUACGCAGGAGUAGUCAACUUCAUUCGAUCGUGAUGAACACACAGAAAGAAGCUGAUGAUGCGAUGCGUGCAGGUGGGGCAUGCGGGUACGGGAACCUGUACUCGACGGGGUACGGCACGAGCACGGCGGCGCUGAGCACGGCGCUGUUCAACGACGGCGCCUCCUGCGGGCAGUGCUACCGGAUCAGGUGCGACUACGCGGCGGACCCGCGGUUCUGCAUCCGCGGCGCGUCGGUGACCAUCACGGCCACCAACCUCUGCCCGCCCAACUACGCGCUCCCCAACGACGAUGGCGGGUGGUGCAACCCGCCGCGGCAGCACUUCGACAUGGCCGAGCCGGCCUGGCUCAACAUCGGCGUCUACCGCGGCGGCAUCGUGCCGGUCCUCUACCAGCGCGUGCCCUGCGCCAAGAAGGGCGGCGUCAGGUUCACCGUCAACGGCCACGACUACUUCGAGCUCGUGCUCGUCAGCAACGUCGGCGGCGUCGGGUCCAUCCGGUCGGUGUCCAUCAAGGGGUCCAGGACGGGGUGGAUGCCCAUGUCCAGGAACUGGGGGGUCAACUGGCAGUCCAACGCGCUGCUCACCGGCCAGAGCCUCUCGUUCCAGGUCACCAGCACCGACGGCCACACGCUCACCUUCCCCAACGCCGCUCCCGCCGGCUGGGGCUUCGGCCAGACCUUCGCCACCAACAAGCAGUUCUCUUAAUUAAUUAGAGACGAUCAUAAGUACGAGAAGUUUAUUAAUUUAUACUCCAGUCCUUUUUUUGUGGGGAUGUAUGUCUUUGAUCAGUGAUCGGUUUGUAACGUUCGGUCAUCGAUGUGUCGCGGUGAUAUCUUCUCCUGACGAGGUAUUGUGUCCAUCGAUGCAUUUGCCUCUGCAUCCGAGGCUUCAUGAUGAACAAUAUGCCAAAAGUUUCAUCAAAUUUGAAGCUAUGGUUGAUUUGAUUUUUUUUUCUUCAAAAUUUGAGAGGUUUUAGGAUUUUUUUCUGAAAAGGAAUAUGACACAUGUCGUCCUCUGAUUGGCCAGAGCUGAAUUUCUAAUGAAAUAUAAAGUCAAAAGGCAAAUAUCAUGCCAUGUGGCAGCAUAUGGCAUUGGUGGAUUUUGAGAAAGUGUUUGACACUAUGGAACACGAUGCUAUCCUGCAAAUUUUAAAGUUUAAAGGUUUGAUGAGAAAUGGAGAGCUUUGGAUCAAGGAGAUCUUAUCCUCUCGAACACCUUACAUCCUUUUGAAUGGUGUGCCUCGUUAAGCAGUACAAUGCAAACAUGGGAUUCAGUACCACUGUUAACACUUCAAUUUGUCUUGCCAGCAGAUUUACUUCAAUCUGUUCUCGACGACAUGUAUAUUCGUGGGGAGCUGUAUUUUCCAACGCCACCUCAUGAUCCGGACUAUCCAAUUGCGCAGUAUGCUGAUGAUAUGUUGUUGGUUAUGCCGGAUAUUGAUUCUUAGCUUCCGGCCCUGAAAUAAAUGUUACAAACUUUUGCUAAAUCCAUUCAUUUGAAAGUGAAUUUUCGUACUCCAUGGUGCUUAUCAAUUUGAUUGAUGAUGAAGCUUCUCAUUUGGCCAGUUUGUUUUGAGUGUCAAGUGGGUAAGAUGCCUUUCACUUACCUUCGUUUACCCAUGGGUACACUAUAGGCCCAAGAUCCCGGACAUAGUGCCGUUGGUUGCUAGAAUGGAAAGGAGAUUGCUAGCUAGCUCUUCUCUUCUCUCACAAGAUGCCAUAUUGCAAAAUUUGAGGUCUGCCAUUUCAUCUAGGCCAAUAUACUAUCUUUGUGGUCUCUAGACCCCAUGAUAUAAUGAGAAUUGACCAGUAAUGUCUCUGGCAUGGCAACGUUGAUAGCCCAAAGAAGUCAUUGUCGGUAUGCCAUCUGGUAUGUAGACCGACGGGGAACGGUGGUACGGGUAUCAUUAAGCGCCAGAUUCAGAACCAAGCAUUGCUUACAAAACACUUGAGUAAAUUAUAUAACAAAGGUUAUGUCCCAUGGUAUCUUUGAUAUGGACUUCUUACUAGAAUGGAGUCAUUACUCAUGGAAUUUGUGGUUCUUUCUGCACUACUACAGAUCCGAACAACACUGCUCGUUCAUUGACCACGCACCAGUGAUGAGCUUUAUAACCGACCGGCCACUCGUCACUCGUCAGGGAUAACAAAUUUUGGCUUCGGCUCGAUGAUUAUCACAAACUGGUCUAACUUUGACACGUCAUUGAUAAGUCGUCCUGAUGAUCCAGUCGGAUCGACUGUAAUCACCGCACAACCGUUAUAUCUGACCCGUUUGUGUAGACGUCUCAUGUCUGACCCUAUGGUCUUGAAGGCCGCCAGUGUUGUGUUGUACACAUCCUGUUAUAAUCCAUCGUCCACUCCCCUUCGCCAAUCCCUACAAUUACUAUCGUCGUCGAGUCCCUCCCUCCCGCCGGCCUUCGACUUAUCCUCCCCUUCCUCCACCCGGUAAUCUGUGUCGGCCGCCAGGUGCCAGGGUUACUCUGCCCUGCCAUCUGCCAUGCUGCCCGCCGUGUCUCCCGCUCCUCGGUAUUGGGUCCCGGUGGUGGCUGCAACAUUGAGCUCCAUUCCUUUAUAGUAAUGUUACAGUUUCAUAAGCUAUGCAUGUCAUGGAUGUUCCCUUACAAUUGUAGUAGAGCCUUAUAGAUUUUUUUUUGGAAAUGGAGGCAUAUGCCCCCGGCCUCUGCAUCAUGAUGAUGCAUACGGCCCUCUUAUUAAAAAUCCAGAAAGUAGCGUCGUGAUUGUCUUACAACUCGCAAACGGAGCAAAACAAAAAAAACAAAAACUGAGAAAUACAAGCUGGCAAAGACAACCGGAGCGAUAAAAAUAAGGAUAAGCUCUCUAGACUCCUAUCCUAUUGUGCGAACGCCAUCCGAACCGGUUGAAUAUACCCCGAGCCACCAUCUCCCAUUGGUUGCACCCAGUAACCGAAGGCUCCCUGGAGUCCAUAGGAGUGAGUAAGGACCACGUACGGAUCCAAGCUGUAGCUCUGAAGAUAACCUGCAAAAAAGUUAAGUUGUGUCGUCUGUUAAAAAUCAUAUCAUUUCUGCAGUUUCAUAUGGCCCAUAAUAGCGCGCAUAUUCCAAUCCUAAUAUGAGCUGCCAUGUUCUGUUCAAUCCCAGCUAACCACGUCCCAAACAUAGACGCAAUAUCUACCGGAGCAUUGAUAUUAAAGGCUAUAUGAAUCGUUCUCCAAAGUAACUUGGCAAGUGGGCAAUCAAUAAAUAAAUGUUGUAUUGUCUCAUCCUGAGCACAAAAACAACACCGCGAGUUUCCUACCCAUCGCCGCUUAAGAAGGUUGUCCUUUGUGAGAAUAACUUGCUUGUGAACAAACCACAUAAAGAUUUUGAUCCGCAAAGGAACUCUAACCUCCCAAAUAUGCAAAGACCUUGAGAGGGGUCCAGAAUUAAUCAAAUCCGUAUAAAAAGAUUUCACAGUAAAUAUCCCAUUUUUAGUUAACUUCCAUUUUGUUGAGUCCGGCAUGUCGGAGAGUCGAACUUGAAUCAACCUCCGAACCAAAUGCAUCCAGGCUGUCCAUCUCUCACCUGCUAAGGUACGUCUGAACUGGAUAUUUAAGGGGAUAGUUUGAAGGAUUAUACCUACGUACUCCUCCUUUCGUUGCACAAUAUUAUAGAGGGUAGGAUAUUGUAAGGCCAGAGGUGUCUCUCCUAGCCACGUAUCCUCCCAAAAUCUUGUUGACAUCCCGUUGCCAACCAAGAAUUUGACCCUACGAAAGAACAUGUCCUUCGCUCUCAUAAUUCCCUUCCAGAAUGGCGAGUCAGUGGGUCUGAUGGUAACCUAGGCAAGCGUUUUCGUGUGCAAAUACUUAUUACGCAAGAUUUGAGACCACAUGCCCUCCGGCUCUGUCUCUAACCUGUAUAACCAUUUGCUCAUAAGGCAUUUAUUCUUAAUUUCCAAGUUCUCAAUACCAAGCCCCCCUUGAUCUUUUGGUCUACACAAGAUAUCCCAUCGCGCGAGGCGGUAUUUCCUCUUGGCCUCAUCAGACUGCCAAAAGAAACGAGAUCUGAAGAAAUCAAGUCGCUUCCGGACCCCUUUCGGGAUUUCGAAGAAUGAAAGUAAAAACAUUGGCAUGCUGGUCAGAACUGAGUUAAUCAGAACUAGCUGACGGCCAUAUGACAUCAGCUUGCCCUUCCAGCAGCUGAGUUUUUUUUCAACUCGUUCUUCAAUACAUUUCCAUUCUUUAUUGGACAGCUUACGGUGAUGAAUCAGAAUACCCAAAUAACUGAAUGGUAAAGCACCUAAAUCACAUCCAAACAAUUGUCUGUAUGUAUGUUCCUCGUCUUUGGCCUUCCCAAAGCAGAACACCUCGCUCUUAUGAAAAUUGAUUUUUAAGCCAGACAAUUGUUCGAAUAGACAUAAAAUAAGUUUCAUGUUUCGUGCCUUAGCCAAGUCAUGUUCCAUAAAAAGAAUAGUAUCAUCAACAUAUUAUAGAAUGGACACCCCUCCAUCCACUAGAUGAGGAACUAGACCCUCUACAUGACCAUGCUGCUUAGCCCUGCCAAUAAUGACGGCCAACAUAUCUGCCACAAUAUUGAACAGAAGAGGUGACAUGGAAUCCCCUUGUCUCAACCCCUUAUGCGUCUGGAAGUAGUGACCGAUGUCAUCGUUCACCUUAAUUCCAACACUACCCUUCUGGACUUGAGUAUCCACUUGUUUCCUCCAGGUUUCACUAAAACCCUUCAUACGCAUUGCCUGCUGAAGAAAAGGCCAUUUUACUUUAUCAUAGGCCUUCUCGAAAUCCACUUUGAAGAUAACCCCGUCUAGUUUCUUCGAGUGAAUCUCAUGAAGUGUUUCAUGCAAGACGACCACUCCUUCUAGUAUGUGUCGUCCCGGCAUGAAAGCUGUUUGAUUAGGUUGAACCACUGAGUGAGCAAUUUGUGUCAAUCUAUUGGUCCCUACCUUUGUGAAAAUUUUAAAACUCACAUUCAGCAGGCAAAUGGGCCGGAAUUGUUCGAUCCGAACCGCCUCAUUCUUCUUAGGUAACAACGUUAUCGUACCAAAGUUGAGGUGAAACAACUCCAAAUGGCCAUCAAAAAAAUCAUGAAACAUAGGCAUAAGAUCAUCUUUAAUGAUAUGCCAACAUUUCUUAUAGAAUUCAGCUGGGAACCCAUCUGGUCCCGGUGCUUUAUUCGGCUUCAUUUGGGUUAUGGCCAGAUGCACUUCCUUUUCAGUAAACGGUGCAGAGAGAACAUCGUUCUUUGCUGCCUGCAAUUGAGGUAUAUCAUCGAUCACAGACUCAUCAAGAGAUACCGUGGAAGUAUUGGGGGGGACCAAAGAGGUUUUUAUAAUAGUUGGAAAUAUACGCUUUCAGAUUGUCAUGGCCCACAAUGGUGCCUUCGUCCUGCUCAAGCUGAAUGAUCUUCUUCUUCCUAUGUUUACCAUUUGCAACCAUAUGGAAGAACUGUGUGUUGUCGUCCCCUUGGACAACCUUAAGAGUUUUCGCACGCAACGCCCAUUUGAGCUCCUCCUCUCUCAGGAGAGCUCGUAGGACUUGCUCAGCCUCGGACUUGGUUCGAUGCUCAUUAACAGAAAGGAGAGUGGUCUCAGCCUUUACGUCCAGGGCCUCAAUAAGUUGAGUGAGACGUUCUUUUUCUUGCUUAUAAAGUCCGCUCUUGUUUCUGGCCCAUCCUCUCAGAAAUUGUCGUAGAUGUCUAAUUUUAUUCUGCCAUCUCUCGACAUGCGUCCUUCCCAUCACCGGCUUAGCCCACUCACGUGCAAUCAUUUCCAUAAAUCCUUCUCGUUCAAACCAGCUUUGCUCGAAGGAGAGGAUAUUUUUAUUUGCCACAUGGGUAGCCUCACCCGAAUCUAAAAAGAGUGGUGUAUGAUCCGAGAUUGCUCUCUGCAUCGCAUGAACCGACACCAACGGAUAUUUUUGUUCCCACUCCACACUAGCAAGUACCCUAUCCAACUUUUCAUAAGUCGGGAUAGGUAGCGAGUUGGCCCACGUAAACUGUCUACCGGUGAGCUCAAUUUCUCUCAAGUUGAGGCUCUCGAUAAUCAUGUUAAACAUCAUAGACCAUCGCCCAUCGAAAUUGUCAUUAUUCUUUUCUUCUCUCCUCCUAAUGAUAUUAAAAUCCCCCCCCCGACUAGUAUCGGCAAAUUCUCAUCUCCACAAAUCCGCACUAGAUCUACCAGAAAAUCCGGUUUUAAUUCAGGUUGUGCUGCCCCAUAUACCGCAACAAGCGACCAUCGGAACCCAUCCAAUUUUGAUCUUACCCUGAAUUUAACCAAAAAAUCACCAUGAACCACAUUAAGCACCUCUAACGUUUCACAUCGUACGCCUAGUAAAAUCCCGCCGGAUCGUCCCCUAGGAGGUAAAAUGUGCCAGUCAAAAUCGAUACCACUAGAGAGGGUUUGAAGAAAUUGGGAUGUGAAAUUAUCUCGUCCCGUUUCUAAAAGUGCUAAAAAAGUCUAAGUGAUGCUCUAACGUUGUCUCUGCUAAGAAUCUUUGUUUAGCCAAGUCCGCUAGACCUCUGCUAUUCCAAAAGAGUCCUUUCAUAAAUCAUCAUCAAUUUUUUUCUUAAGCUUAACUCUAGCACUUCUUCGUACUGCCGAAGUAGGAUAAAUUUUCCGCUUCCAGGGUCGUUUGGGCUUCUCCUCAACACCAUGCGGGAUGAUAUUAUUAUCAAUGCCAGUCAGUGCCUCCUCUAUCAAGAUAGGCUCUGCCGUUUCAGUGAUCUCAACAUCCUCCUCAUCCUCAGCCUCGACAGUAGGCAACAUAUUAUUACAAAUAUUUGCUAGAUCAUUAAUCCCUAAGUUAUUCAUGUCAUUGUCAUUCAUAGGCUGGAUAGUGGCAAGAUUACGAAUGAUCUCAGAUACCCUCUCCGCUUCUAAGUCUAAGAGAUCAUUAACGGAUUUGACGACCUCGGUUUCAUUUGAUCCCAAAGAAAUACCUAAGUCGUUUGCCUUAUCAACUAUUUCAUUCAGAGAAGUGCAAAAUUGAACAACUUUUAUCAAAAGACGCACCUGCGGUAGUCUCAGUGUGACGGAGCAUGGCUGCCCUCUUGGCACGCUCUAGCUGUAAGUCGUCCGCAUCUGGCUGUCCCUGGAUCGUGUUGAUGACACGCCUGCCAGCCGACACCGGAUCCACUAUCCCUCCAAAAGCGAUGAGCUCCUCUGUCGUCCUCUCGCGAGGAAAAUAGUCAGGACUCCCCCGCCCCUCCCUUAUCGUCGGUGAAGAAGGGAAGGGCGCAGGAAGGUGGGCCUCCGCAGCCGAGGACAGGGGAAGGUGGGACCGUGGUGACGCCUGCUCACUGGUCACACCCUCCCUCUCUUCCACGGAAAGCGUCGUCCCACAGCCAGUCUGGUCGGUAUAAACCUGCAGUGGGGUUACGACGCAUGACUCCUUCCCGCAUCUCACCCCCAGCUCGCCAUCUUGGAUUGAAUGAUCCUGUGGAGGGGUUGCAGCACGGGACUCCUUCCCGCACCCGACCCCCAGCUCGACCGAAGACGCCGGAGUGGGAGGAACGCCAUAGAGCUCCUGUCCAGGCGCCCCUCCCAGCGAAGAUAAGCCAGGUGUAGGUAGCUGGAUGCUAUGGGCCUCCUGCCCACGGCCCCCCAUACCCACGGCCGGACCAACAUAGUCCCCCCUCACACUAGGUGUAGACUCCGCGGUCGUCACCUCCCCGGCAAGACUCGGCACUGGUGGUAGCUCAAGUUCCGCCGGGUCGUCAGCCUCGACCCUAGUGCUCCACAACCGACUAGGAGCAGAUCCCGGUGCAAAGGAGCCAAAACGGAGCAAGUUCAUCGGAGCAGUGGACGGGGGCGCCUCUUUGGUAGAAUUAUCUACCCUAUCUGGACGUGCAGGCCCCUUGUCCGACUCCGACAGUGUAUCAUCGGCCCCCUUAUCAUGAUCUCCGGUCGCACCGCCUCCCUCAGUUGUAUCCAUGUCCUGUGUCUCAUCCCCAUCCUGGGAAACUGCAGUAUCCUCGAUCUCAAGCUCUAAGACAUAAGUGACUCCAGCAUAUGUCCAUCUGACAACAUCUGGUAUGUGCUCAAUACUCGCAACAUUGACCAACAACCUUGCCGCUCGAUGUGCACGAGUGAAUGGCAUGUCAACCUUUUCUGUCUUACCAAUCAUUGCACCCAAACUCCAAGCAAUCAAAAAGUGUUUUACCAGUUUAGGUGGCACGCCAUAGAAACGUACCCACACCUUCUCUAAAGGUGUACCCUCAGGUUCGUCCCGCUUCCACUCGUCGAAAGCAAUAACAAUGUUUGUGCUUGCAACUCUGCAUAAACCCCACUUAAGAAAAUGCAUCUGAUCCUCUCUAGUGGGAAAGUCUACCUUGUAAGUCUGACCUUCUAACUGCUCCAAAUGCCAAUGAUAAUUACCUGGAACUAAUUCACGAAGCUGUCUCACGAUCUGAGCCUCAGUCAACUGUCCAUUAGUAACUUUGAUUACUACCGAGAAGGAACUCUCAACCAUCUGCGGUAACAGGUCCACCUCCGGUGUCUCAAAGAACAUCAACUCCUUACAGGAGACCCCAAAAAUGUUAAUGCCAGGCUUAGGACCGGAAAGGAUAGGACAGUCCCCGGUGACAUGCUGGGAGCGGAGGCAAUAAUCACAGAGCUCAUUCGUACACUCUGUGACGAAAUGACCCAGUUCACCACAUCUAUAGAAAGGCAAUUUUUUCUUCUUAAUCGCCCACUUUGAGAGUUUUUCUCCCUCCGGUUUCUCCAGACUCACCGGAACCUGCACUGCGGCCAAAGCCCUAACCGUUUCCACUGCCGCCGCGGGUAGUGUGGGUGAUUCUCUCACCUCAGGCGCGACGUGGUCGAUCUCCUCCCCCGCAGUCAACUCCAUAGCAGGCGGUGGUGGCGGUGGGUAGUGUCGGGGCGGUGGUGGGCGUCUCCCUCUCCCACCGCGACGAUAUCCUCCUCCGAACCGAUUUCUGGGUCCGGCAACACCUUCAGCAAAAUUACCGGGCGGACCUUGAAAACGCCCGUUCUCCUCAUCAUUAUACCUAUCAGAGCCAUGGCCACCACCGGAAGAAGAUCCACGGUGUCGUCCCUCACCGUAAGCAUCAUAUCCAUCAUCUCCCCACUGUCCAUACUGGUUAUAAUUCUGCCCAUCUCUGCUGUACCUGAUGAAGUCAUGUACCUAGGGUAGGGUCAUGGACCUGUCCAAGGUACCCUCCCGAGGACAUCUUUUAGAAGAAGCCGUCUUCCAGUCGACCAAGAGGUACUCCACUCGACGGACUAGAGGACGCUCGACGAACCUAAAGACACUCGACCAUGAAGACUCACUCGACCACCAGGAGUUCAAGAUCUACUAUGUAUCCAAACGGUCUGUAAUUUAGUAGUCCUUAUGGUCAUGAUGACACUUUAUGUAGGGCGUUACCAAUAACGCCAGGCCUUAAUGUACUUUAAACCCUCCGCUACGUGGGCUGGCUGGGGUCUUGGCAUCCUCUAUAUAAGCCACCCCCCUCCACUGGUAGAAGGAUUCGCACCCCUGUAACUCUCACACAUAUAAUCCAAUCGACCGCCUCCGGGCUCCGAGACAUAGGGCUGUUACUUCUUCCGAGAAGGGCCUGAACUCGUAAAACACUUGUGUGCACAACUACUCCAUAGCUAAGAUCUUGCCUCUCCAUACGUACUCCCUAUUCUACUGUCGGACUUAGAACCACGACAGUUGGCGCCCACCUUGGGGCAGGUGUCUUAGCGACUUAUUGGAGAAGUUGCAAUCUUUUCGAUUCCCAUCAUCAUGGUUUCCGGUGGAGUUUUGGUUGAGGGCCGCGAGAUCCGUCUCGGCGCACUCACAUUCGUCGCCGACGAUUCUGCCUGGCUGCAGGAGGCUCCGCUCGACGUGGAUGCGCUCCCGGUCCGCGCAGCCAUGCACUUUCGAGCAUGCGUCCGUGGCGUCCUUCUGCGGGAACUAUCGACCCAGUAUCGGCCGGUUUUCGUGUCAUCCUCCCUCCCCGCUUCUCGCCGGCGUAAGCGCUCCGGUCGGUCGAGGCUUCAGCGGUGGGUGAGACACGCGGUGGCUCGCCAGUCGACCACCGCCCAAGUCGCAGCAAUCGAACCUGACGAAUCUCUCUACGGCCUGUUCGACCUGUCGACUGGCUCCGCAGAGACUGCAUUCGAGUGCGACAACAGUGAUCCAGCGGCGGAGGUCCUGAUGGUCAAUGGACCGCAUGCUCCCCCCGGCUUUCCUGGCGCCGAGGGAGGCAACGACGGAGGCGAUCCGUCGCAUGACCACGAGGAAUAUCUCCCCGAGCCCCUCAAUUCGCAAUAGAGGGAAGAGCUUCGCCGCCGGAACAUGGAUGCGCUUCACACUCCGAUCGUUGGAGAAACCCCUGAGGCUCGCGCCUUAGAGGACGCGCGCUUGGCCAACCUGGCUGAGCGCACUCGACUAGAGAACCUUCAGCAGGCACUCAACGAGCGCGCGUGGCAACGGAUUCCAGACUCCAGUCGACGCCAACUCUUUAAACCUCCGACUCAGGUAUAUCGAACUCCGAUUCAGAAUUUAGCAGCUGCAACCCGUAUAGCAGAGUCGAUUCAGCCUUCCCAGUCAGAGGCUGGCAGAGGCUUGAUGCAGAUCAAAGAUUUGCUCCGGGCAGCAGGAGAUCAGAAUUCAGCUGUAUCGCAGUCACGGAACAGGAUUCACAGCAGAUCCGUGGCAGCGAAUACGGUCCAGUCGGCUCAUAGCCCUAGAUUGCCCCCGAGGCGUGAAGGGCGUGGUGACCGGCACGAUCAGUACAGGAACUAUGAGCAGUAUGAUCACCGAUUCGAUCACAAUUAUCGACGUCGUGUGCCCACUCCUCCCCCGAGGGGUGGAUCAUAUGUGCCUCGACGGCAGGAUGAUAGACGCCAGCACAGUUGCGGGCGAAGGAUUCCAGUCGACCCUAGGGAACCAGGAUUUGAUGCGAAAUCCAUCAUCGUUCAAGGUUUGGUCGACCGGAACAGGGCCCACAAAGAGGGUAAUGACAGAGAUGUACCCACCAGCAGCCGAGUGCAUGUCUCCGGACCAGAGUGUUUCAGCAGAGCCAUCAGAGCCGCGGUGAUUCCUCCCAACUUCAGGUUGGCGACUGGAGUCAGCAAGUUCAACGGUGAGUCCAAGCCUGAUACUUGGCUUGAGGACUACCGAGUGGCUGUUCAGAUCGACGACGGGAAUGACGAGGUGGCCAUGAAGCAUCUGCCUCUUAUGUUGGAGGGGUCAGCCAGAGCAUGGCUGAAUCAGUUGACACCCAGCAACAUUUACACAUGGGAGGACCUCUCCCGAGUGUUUGUCAGGACGUUCGAAGGGACGUGCAAGCGACCAGCAGGACUGAUAGAGCUGCAAUCUUGUGUGCAGAAGUCGAAUGAGACUCUGAGGGAUUACAUCCAGAGAUGGAUCACACUGCAUCACAUGGUAGAGAAUGUAUCUGAUCACCAGGCAGUUUGCCCUUCAAGGAGGGCGUAAAAUACAGAGAGCUAAGCCUGAAAUUCGGUCGAACUGGAGACAUGUCUCUGAGUCGAAUGAUGGAAAUAGCCACCAAAUAUGCCAAUGGUGAGGAAGAGGAUCGGCUCCGGAGCGUCAAGCACAAGUCGGUCGCCCAGGACACCGGAGGCGGAAAUUCCAGUCGGAAGCAAAAGCGUAAAGCCGAGCUAGCCGCUCCUAGAGAAGCCUUGGCCCUGAAUCAAGGAAAGUUCAAAGGGAAGCCCAAGGGGCCUUGGAACCCCAAGAAAGUAAAAGAUAAGGAAGGAAAUGACGUGAUGGAUUUACCAUGUCACAUCCACACCAAGAAAGACGAAGAGGGUAAUUUCAUUUACCCGAAGCAUACCACUCGACAGUGUCGACUCCUGAUACAGCAGUUCCAAGGGAAGCAGUCCAAGGACAAAGAAAAAGAGUCGGACAAGGUUGAGGGAAAGGAGGACAGUGACGAGGAAUAUCCACAGGUCAAUUCCACCUUGAUGAUUUUUGCUGACGUUCAGAGCAAAAACCGACUGAAAGUUAUAAACCGAGAAGUGAAUAUGGCUGCUCCAUCAACACCCAAUUACCUGAAGUGGUCUCAGACUGCCAUUACAUUCGACCAAUCUGAUCACCCGACGCACAUAGCCACCCCUGGGAGGCAAGCGUUGGUGGUCGACCCAGUCGUCGAGGGCACUCGACUGACCAAAGUGCUGAUGGAUGGCGGUAGCAGUUUGAAUAUACUGUACGCUGAGACGCUGAAAGGGAUGGGCAUUCCGAUGUCCAGACUGAGCACAAGCAACUUGAGUUUCUAUGGAGUCAUCCCUGGCAAGAAGGCCGCGUCACUCGGCCAGAUUGCUCUUGAUGUGCAUUUUGGUGAUUCAAAGAAUUUCCGCAAAGAAAAGCUGACAUUUGAGGUUGUGGAUUUCCAGAGUGCCUACCAUGCUACUUUGGGCAGGCCAGCUUAUGCACGUUUUAUGGCCCGACCAUGUUACGUGUACCUCAAACUAAAGAUGCCUGGCCCUAAAGGCGUGAUCACUAUCACGGUAACCGCAAGAAGGCGGAAGAGUGCUUCCAGAAAGGCUCAAAGAUCGCCGAUGCUCAGAUGGUGGCAGAAGAGUGGCAGGAACAGCAGAGGAAUGCGGACCCGAGUGAUUUGUUGUGAGCCAAAAGACCUGCUACGGAAUCAGCAUUCCAGUCGUCCGGUGAGACAAAACCAGUUCACAUCCACCCGACCGACCCCAACGCUGCUCCGACUCAUAUCUCCACAACACUCGACCCCAAAUAGGAAGAAGCGCUCAUCCAGUUCCUCCGUGAGAACUGGGACAUCUUUGCAUGGAAACCUUCUGACAUGCCGGGUGUACCCAGGGGACUGGCUGAGCAUCGUCUGCGAGUCGAUUCGAAGGCAAAACCUGUGAAGGAACAUCUGCGACGGUCCGCCGUCCAGAAAAGGAAGGCUAUUGGCGAAGAAGUGGCUCGGCUCCUAGCAUCGGAGUUUAUCCGAGAGAUUUACCACUCCGAGUGGCUCUCCAAUGUCGUCAUGGUCCCCAAAAAGGACAAUUUGCUUCGCAUGUGCAUCAAUUUUAAGCAUAUCAAUCGGGCCUGCCCGAAGGAUCAUUUUCCUCUUCCCCACAUCGACCAAAUAGUCGACUCGACUGCGGGAUGUGAGCGGCUGUCUUUCUUGGAUGCUUAUUCCGGGUACCAUCAGAUCCGUCUGUUUGGACCCGACGAGAUCAAAACAGCUUUCAUCACCCCAUUCGGAUGCUUCUGUUAUGUCACCAUGCCAUUCGGCCUCAAGAAUGCCGGAGCCACGUUCAUGAGGAUGAUUCAGAAGUGUUUGCUCACUCAAAUCAGUCGGAAUGUGGAAGCGUACAUGGAUGACAUAGUGGUCAAGUCACAGAAAGGUUCCGACCUGCUGACUGACCUUGCUGAAACAUUUGCCAACCUUAGGAGGUACGAUAUCAAGCUUAACCCAUCCAAGUGCACAUUCGGAGUUCCUGGUGGAAAGUUACUCGGUUUUCUCGUUUCUGAACAAGGAAUCCGUGCAAACCCAGGGAAAGUAGGCACUAUACUCCAAAUGAAAUCACCUAUGCGUGUGCACGAUGUUCAGAAGCUUACUGGUUGCUUGGCCGCUUUAAGUCGAUUCAUCUCUCGUCUCGGUGAGAAGGCAUUGCCUCUUUACCGACUGAUGAAGAAGUCAGACAAGUUCGAGUGGACUCCUGAAGCUGACGCAGCGUUUGCAGAGUUAAAAACCCUGCUUUCCACCCAGCCGGUGCUUCCUGCCCCGAUCAGCAAAGAGCCUUUGCUGCUUUACAUUGCAGCCACAGGACAAGUCGUCAGUACUGUACUUACGGUCGAGCGGGAAGAAGAAGGGAAAGCCUUCAAAGUUCAGCGCCCAGUAUAUUACAUUUCCGAAGUCCUGACCCCAUCCAAGCAACGAUAUCCUCAUUAUCAGAAGCAUGUAUAUGGGAUUUAUAUGACCACGAAAAAAGUUGCUCACUACUUCUCUGACCAUAUCAUCACAGUCGUCACCGACGCCCCCUUAUCAGAGAUUCAACACAACAGAGACGCAAUUGGUCGAGUGGCAAAAUGGACGAUUGAAUUUCUUCCCCUAGAUAUCAGAUUUGAGGCAAAGAAAGCUAUCAAGUCCCAAGCAAUAGCAGAUUUCCUCGCCGAGUGGACUGAAUAGCAGUUACCGACUCAAGUUCACUCGGAGCACUGGACUAUGUUCCCCGAGUGACUAAAGAAAAAAAAUUAGUGUUUCUAAGACUACAGCUGAAUCUAAACAUUCAACUGUAGUCUCGGGGACUACACCCAGUGGGUGCACUCAGCGUGCCCCCACUAGUUCUAUCAGCUAGACUCAAAGUCGAUCAGUCGACCGGAAACAGCUAACUGUCAGCAGUUAGACACACACAAAAGAAAUAAAGAAUUAUUCAUACCAUAGCCGACUGCCAGCAGUCGACCACGGUCUCAGGGACUACACCCAGUGGGUGCACUCAGCGUGCCCCCACCGGUUCCAUGAUUCCACUCGACCAGUUUGAGUGAAACAAGUAAAAAUGAGAAAGUUCAAGGCUUAAAGACUACAGUCGACUGCAAGCAGUCCACCAUAGUCUCGGGGACUACACCCAGUGGGUGCACUCAGCAUGCCCUCACUAAUACAGACAUUCCAAUUGACACACCUAGUGGGUGGAUGACAAACACUAAGAUUUUCAGUCGGUGUUCAACUAACCUGGACAUUGAUCUGAAGAGCUGAACUCGCGUCGUAAGCUGCUUGGCUGGCGACUCGGAUUGCCUUCACCUGCUCCAUCAUGAUCCCCGCUUGGCGUAUGGCUUCCUUGGCAGCGCCUGCCUGGUCCUCCGGGACGUGGUAUGUGGAGAAGAGAGAAGGGGGAUCAGCACUCGACGACGGAGGACGGGCACUUGUCAACGGAUCCACAAAAGACACAGUAGCCCGAGCAACAUUGCUCCCCUCCGAAACCAAUGGUUCAGGUGCUGACGCAACCUGAGCAGUCUUGCCAGCAUUCGACUUCCUGCUCCUCCUUUGCCUCAGCGGCGCUUCAUCGUCAUCGUCAGGGAGAUCGAUGAUAACGCUAGGUGGAGCUGCAGAAAAGGUUCAAAGUCAAAAAUAAAGAUCCAAUCGACCGAAAGCAAAACUGCGCAGAUCAUACCAGGAUGAGAAGUAGCAGCAUCUUCCAUUUCUUGAUCCUCAUGCCUGGCUGAAGUUUCAGAAGUAGCAGCACUGCGAUUUCAAAAAUCAGUCGAUCAUCGAUCGAGUCGACAAAGAAUAUAUCCAUGAUAAAAGGAAAAAACAUGAGUUAUGCUGUUACCCAGAAACAGUCGGGAUCUCCAUCCUCAUCUUCGGUAGGGCCUUCGCUGGCUUUGUCGGGGCCGCUCGGGGUUGCUUUGACGCCUUCUCAGUCGGCGCCGGUGAAGUCGUCCGAGGGCGUCUCAUCGAUUGCCCAGCAGGCAUGACUCCCUUGCCGCGUUCGACCGCAGGGUUGUGGGCGAGCUUGGACCUUCUUUCAGAACGGGGAGGCAAAACUUCCUCCUCCUCUUCUUCCUCCUCCUCAUCGGAGUCUGCAUCCUCAUCAUCCUCAUCACCGACCGACUCCCACUCCUCUUGACUUUCGCCUCCGCUCCCUUCCGCCUCCUCGGUCUGUGCUUGCGCCCCGUUGGGCAUCGAAUACAACUCAGUGGUGGCCUGAAAGAUAACAAACAAGACAAAAGUCGAUCGACUGACCUAUAUCAAAACAGAAUGGACGAAGCAUGAUUACAAUCGGAGAUAAGUGGUCAUACCUUAUCUGUCUCAUAAGAUUGGUCGAGUGGAGGGAUUCUCCUGGCUCCAUGAGGGUUGUCCUUGUUCCCCGUAAUGGCAGUCAUCCACCUCUCCAGUGUGACAUCGUCGACUUCUUCUGGGUGGACCCGAGUGGUGUCUUCAGUACCAGAGUACAACCACAUCGGGUGACCCCGGUACUGGAGUGGCUGGAUACGCCGUCGAAGGAAAACCUCCAGAAGAUCCAUGCCAGUCACGCCAUCGCGAAUGAGUUGGACUACCCGCUCCAUCAGCAUUUUAACCUGAGCCCUCUCCUCCGGAAUCACUUUCAAAGAAGAUGGCUUGUCACUCGACUCAUGGUGAAGGGAGGGAGCCCAGUCGACUGCCCUGGCGUCGACCGGUCUUGGCAGUAGAACCAGGUCGACUGCCACCCUCUAACUGACUCGCGAAGGGUCAUAGCUGGAAAGGCACUCGUACUCCUCAUCUGGACCCCAAGACCCCCACACAUCUCUAUUACUUGGGUUCUCUUGUCAUUCGGAUUGGCCUUCUUGACCGUCUGAGAGCGGCAAGUGAAUAUGUGUUUGAAAAGGCCCCAAUGCGGCCGAUAACCCAAGAAGUUUUUGCACAGAGACACGAAAGCGGCGAGAUCGGCAAUAGAAUUGGGUGUGAAGUGAUGGAGCUGAGCCCCGAAGAAGUUCAGAAACCCCCGAAAGAAGAGAUGCGGCGGCAAAGAAAACCCACGAUUGACAUUAGUCGCUAGGAGGACACACUCACCCACCUGAGGCUGCGGCUGCCACUCCGUCCCCGGAAGCCUCGCUGCUCCAUGCUCGAUCAGCCCCUCGUUGGCCAGGUCAUCGAGAUCCUUCUAGGUGAUGGUCGAACGGAUCCAAUCCCCUUAGAUCCAACCUUGUGGCAGGCGGGACCGCGACGAGGAUCCACCCCGACUGGUCGCUCUCCCCUUCGCCUGCGCCGUCGCCUUCUUCGCCCGCUCCAAAGCCGCCGUUUUCUCCUUCACCAUUGUCACCGACGAGGCUGGAACGGAGCAGCGGCGCUGGGCAGUUGGCGAGCGCAGCGGAUGAAUCUGGAGACGAGGGAGGGGAAAAUGAGGAGGCACUAUUCAAAAAACCUCCGCCCGGUUCCUUAUAUGGAGUCACUUCCGAGUGGCUGACAGGUAGGCCCAGGCAAUCCUGUCAAAUCCCGAAACAGUCACACAAGCGAUACGUGGCGAAAAAGACGGCGCAGGAAUUGAGGCGUCCCUGCCUUAUCCCAUCCGAGUACCGCGGUCUUCUCCGCUUCGCGCGCUUCCCAAAAUUCAGAUCCCACUAAAUCCGCUAACCGCAGGAUAACUUGUCAGACGGAAGAUCUCCUGCGAUCCGUCGCUCGAAAAUCUCCAAGUCCGUAAAGUUCACUCGAUAGAUGUAAAGAAUAGAUCAAGGCGACUGAAAGAAAGUUGACAUCCUCACUUGAAAGUCAUUGAUCCAGAGCAAAACACCUUUACAACACCAGAAAGCAGGUCGGAAAGAUUGCCAACUCCUUCCUCACUCAAACCUCGAUCCAUUCGGGGGCUAAUGAUGAAGUCAUGUACCUAGGGUAGGGUCAUGGACCUGUCCAAGGUUCCCUCCCCGAGGACAUCUUUUAGAAGAAGCCGUCUUCCAGUCGACCAAGAGGUACUCCACUCGACGGACUAGAGGACGCUCGACGAACCUAAAGACACUCGACCAUGAAGACUCACUCGACCACCAGGAGUUCAAGAUCUACUCUGUAUCCAAACGGUCUGUAAUUAAGUAGUCUUUAUGGUCAUGAUUACACUUUAUGUAGGGCAUUACCAGUAACGCCAGGCCUUAAUGUACUUUAAACCCUCCGCUACGUGGGUUGGCUGGGGUCUUGGCAUCCUCUAUAUAAGCCACCCCCUCCACUGGCAGAAGGGUUCGCACCCGUGUAACCCUCACACAUAUAAUCCAGUCGACCGCCUCCGAGCUCCGAGACGUAGGGCUGUUACUUCUUCCGAGAAGGGCAUGAACUCGUAAAACACUUGUGUGCACAACUACUCCAUAGCUAAGAUCUUGCCUCUCCAUACCUACCCCCUAUUCUACCAUCAGACUUAGAACCACGACAGUACCCACUGUAGCCACCACGCCCUUGCGCACUGCGAUCCCUUCCUAGUGCCGGUGCCUUGGCUGCUGGUUGCUGCUGCGGUUCCUCCCGCAGACGCGCAUUCGCCCUAGCCGGCAGGCCGGUGUGUCCAACAGUGGAGCCACGGCCUGUACCACCAGCCACGACAGGCGGGGUGCCACGACCGGUUCCGACCACUGCGGCGGCACCCAGGACGCCUCGACCGACCGCGAGUUGUGGUGCAGGAGGCUGCCUCGCUGAAGGAGUGCCACGUCCAGUCGCCGCUGCGAUCAUUGCGGCAGGCUUGGCGGGCGGCGGCUGCCUCGCGGGAGGAGGAGGAGCACCACGGCCAGCCCCAGCGGCGGGAGGAGGAGCGGCACCACGGCCAGCCCCAGCGGCAGGAGGAGGAGCUCUGCGGCCGGCCAUCGUGCCGGGGACGAAGAUCCUAGUCGCCCUGCUCGGCCCGAGUGAAGGAAACCCAGGCGAUCGAGAAACCCUAGCCGAAACGACGUGAAUCGGCCCGGGCCUCGACGCUACAUGCAUGCACGAAGGCAGAACGGCCGACUCGGCUUGGGCCUCUGGCUGGGCCGUAUGCCCCACUUCCAGAGAGCCCACGACCGCUGUCGGUGCAUCGUCCACAUCGAGACCGAGGAGCGAAUUCAAACGCGCCUUCCUGGCCGCUCGAAUCACGCACACCGAGGUCACCAUCGGCGAUCGCUGCGGCGUCGGCCUCAAUAACUUCCCUUUCUUGCCUUUCUUUUUCCUAGUGACUAAUGUCCAAGACUCCGGAAUAAAAUCUGACAAUGUAACAGGUUCCCGAGAUACCUUAGGAAGUGGGCCAAUCCAAGGUUUAACAAUUUUCUUCAACACCGGAGCUUUUGAUCGAGGCCGCUCCCUUGGACGUUGAGAUUCCGGUGAUCUCUCCGGUCCCGACGUAAACACUGGCAACUGCUCGGCCUGUCCGAUCAAUCCCUCACCUUCAUCAUCGCUGUCGAUUAGAACCCAGAAUCGCCCUCCCGGUCGAUCCCAGCUUGUGAUGUUCAUCGUGUUCGUUAGAUCAACCAAUUCCACCGCCGUGAUCUGAUCAACCUGCACACAUUGACCAACAACGACAACAUAGUCAUCUAACGAGAAACGAAAUCAUACCUCGAUCUGUUCUCCGUCCGGGAGGUAAUCCCCAGCCUUGAUGUCAUUCUCCAGAUCCAACAAAACCAUCCAUCUAGAUGAUGGAGUGAAUCGGAGACGCCCCGUGAUCCAAUUAUCAGGAUCAGCCUCAAGAGCAAAAAGGGCCUGCCACUGCCUCCGUUAUGACUUCUCUGUCCCGAUCUCGCCAUCUGACUUGGCACGGAGAUCUGCUGUCGCCGCCAUCUCUAGAUCUGCCCCUCCCUCUAAUGGCGCCGCCGCGCGAAUGGGAGAAGAGGUCGGAUCCCCCGCCGCAGACUCCCCUGAAGACGCACCGAUGGAGAUACAAGUCUUGUCCGCGAUAGAGGCGGGCGGCGAAGAUCGACCAGCCGGCGACCGGUCGUCGGGCGGUCUCAUGCCUCGAUCCCGGGUCGUCGUGUCCUAAUUGUUAUGCUAAUGUAUGUUUUUAUCUAUACAAAGUAGGGAAUGUGUCCUUAAAAUGGGAGAGAUUUUCACUUCCCGGCCUCUACACCAACCAGGGAUGCAUACGGCCAUUUUAGUGUGAUUACCAAGAUAAACAUGGUCCUCAGAAUUUUAGUAGAGCCUUAUAGAUGAUCAUGGACUCACUCCAUUGAUCAAGACUACCAACAUACUUGUCUUUAGUUCUGAUCUUGACCCUGUUUAAGAUAGAUAACAAGUAUUAUUUCGAUUCAGAUACCCAUUUUAGUUGCAUUGCACUAAAUAAGAUUGGCACGGAAUCUGAUACAACAUGCACAUAGUUCGUCUAUGGAUGAUGAGCAAGGUCAAGUAGAUAGACGAUGAGUCAUUUUAGUUGAGCUGCACAAAAGAAGAUUGCAUCAGGGUUCCACAAAUGAUGGGAGGCUUACAAUCAUGAGCAGUUUUAACAUGCUCCCUCUCACCUCCUCUUUUCACAUGAGAAGUAAGAGUAUAUAAUAGAUCUGAGCCGUUGAGCAUAUUAAUUAGUGGUAUGAUUAGCUCUUACCUUCUUACCUCACAUGUAAAAAGAAGGGGUCAGAGGGAGCAUAUUAAAAUUCUCCAUCAAUCACAAUGAUUGAGCCUAUAGUACUCUCAUCCAUGAUGCACCAUUCGUAAGUUGUCGACGUGUUAACUUGCAAUUCCUUAUUACACACUACAUCCUUAUAAAAAAUAUCUGUAUUACAUGUUUAAUAUAAAGUCAUUGCCUUUCCUCGAAUGUAAGAUGAGAGCCAUAUUUGGACUCUUGAGUGCUUAUCGAAGAAUGGAUAUCAUUCCCAAGAGUUGACAGACUCGAUACUAUUCUCUUCGGUAGUGCUCCCAAGAGGAUAUCAUUCCCAAGAGUUUCUAAAUUUUGGUAGCUUUAGUUUAAGUCAAUGUUAGAUGACAUAUCAGUUAUAUAUGCGAAUAGAAUUGUAUUGGAUUGUACAAGAUAUACAUGUCUUUGUGUAUGUGAUGUCAUAUGAAAAUGCAAUGUUUAUACAUGCUUCUUGUGUAUUACCUGUGUAGUUUGUGUCAUGUUGUGUGGAGUACUUUUUAUACCUAGGCAGUGGACAGUCAUUAAUAUCCCUAUUUCUCUAGUCCUCUUGAUAGGUACCACUGACGGGCCAGCCGAUCAGUGACGAAGACAUCAUUACUAACCCCGAGGCACUCACCGACAAUUCUUGCGUUAGUUAUGAUAUUAUUUGGCCGGUCAGUGCUAUUCAAGUUUGUUGUAGUCCUGGUGGAGCGAUAUUUGAAGCUUACUGAUUAGUACAAGGCAAGCUCUUCAAUCGGGAGAAGGGGUGCCCCCUCAGAAAAGGUGGUCGCAGUGACUCCCGGGAGACUGUUUACCAACAACGUAGGUCGCCGCAAAGUCAUAUACAGGCGACUCGGUCCGAUUGCUGUUUGAUGCCUAGUUGAUUGAGGGAUCUUCUCGGCCACUUCGGCAUUGUUUAGGCUCGUUUCCUUUCCUUGGAUGAAAAAGUUUCUGUCAAAUUUUUAGGGAACCCCUGACCAGGCCAGUCUGUUGCACCUUCCAAUUUCUACUGAGGCGAUGGAUGAAUUGCCACCUCUGGAGGGUUGGUUACUUAACAUAACCCAACCGUGCCCGAUGUUUGUUCUUGGCCAGGUUACUUUUGAAUGUUGUUACCAUCUAGUUCAGUUAGAUACUAAUUAUCCAAAAUUGUAGACAAAAAAUGUUUUUAGUAAGGGCCUCUAACAAGAAUAUGUUUCAUCCAUUUCUGACUAGCAAAAACCGAUGGAGAAGAUGGUAGUGACAUGGAAAAUGAACUACCUUUCGUAUUGAUAAGUAAAGAAACUAAAAUUUGUAACAACCAGCCAGGGGAUCCUUAUGUAAAAUACUAAAUUCUUCCACUCACCAACUGUGAGACAUAUCCAUUGCAGUGCAAAAAAAUGAAACUUUUUCGAGAAUUAGCAGCAAGACAAUAGUUCGGUUGUUGUAUAUAAUACAUAUCAUGCGGGUGUUGUAUAUGUGUAGUCGGUGCUAGAAUUUACACAUGCAUGCUCCACGGCCAAUGUUCGCACAAACACAAAUCAUACAUAACAAAAAAAUAUGCUUUGGUAGGCAGCAGAGUCGUGGAGAAAAGUGAAGUUCACAAAAGACCUUCAUACAUAGGCCAUUGUUUCACUCAUAGUCUAGGCCUUGCCGGACUCCUCGGAACCUGGUAGCCUGAAGGUAAUGAAACUGACGCAAUACACCUGGCACAGGUUGUCGAAGCCGUUGAUAAUGACAUAGGCACCAGGGUAAUCCUUCUUGACCUCCUCCACCUCCUCGAGCACCUAUCCGGCGUCGGUGCACCUGAACAUAGGAAACUUCCACUUUGUCCGGUAUCCUCCAUCGUAGUACCCGGGGGAGCUAUUGUGCUCACAGAAGACGAAGCCAACCUUGCCGAACUCGAGUCAGGGCACCCACUUGGAGCGGAUGAGGUAGUCGACCUGCUUAAGGAGGGACUCUACGGAGAGGGGUGGCAAGUAAGAUAGGGUCUCGAACUUCUUGAUGCCCUUGAUCAGCGAAAUCCAACUAGAUGGAUUUAACACAAUUGAUCAAUGCUUAAAUCUUAAAAUAAUUAUACUGUCAAUUUAAGAAAGACCUAGCCAUAAGGAAAAAAUUACUCCUUAUAGGCAUUUCUGCGUUAGUCAACCACUCAACUACCAAUGCAGAUGUAAGUGCAAGCCUAUGCCUUGCACUUAAAAGGAAAAUAGAAUAAUCAUUGGGGUUUGAGAAGUCAAGAACAAAGAAAGUCUUGCAUCAAUGUAGUUGACCAUUAGGCAAUGGAGAAGGCCUUAAUAUCAAUGAUACCACAAGGAGUAGGGAUUGACAUGCAACUAGGAUGCACACAGACCUAUGAAUAAAUGAAAGCUCUCCCAAGGACUAAGGGGAGGGGGUAUGGGGGGUGGGGGGUGCGUCCAACUUGCUUGCUCAUGACACUACAAGAAAUAUGCCAACUUAUGACCACCACUAUUGGUCACUGAAAGGUCACAAAUUUCCAUUUAUGACCUUUUUGUGACCAAAAACAUAAGGUCAAAAGUUGGGCAUCGUAAAUUGACUAUAGCGACCUUUCUUCUAGAAUGGUCGCAAACGUUUAUGACCAAAAUACGUCUACUGUGGCGUUUUGGUCACUAGCAACCUCCCCAGGCCACGUAGGCAUCCAGCGUGGCAAUCUGACAUGGCACAAGAUUCAGCCCGGUCCAAUUCGGUGUUUAUAUGGGCCGAGCCCAUUAAUUCAGCCCAUUUAUAUUUUUUUCCUCUGUGCUUUGAUUGGCUAAAUGGGCCUGGCCCAACAAUUAGGAUUUUUUUUCUGAGAUGCAGUCUUUUACAAUCCAUUUUUUUUGGGCCUCAACCUUUUUAGAAUCUGAAAGUUAUAUUGCUCUUUUUAGAAACAAGUCCAACAUAGUUUUGGCCAUGGCCUUUUUAGAGCCCAAGUAUUGAGUGCAAUAUAAAUUCUGGACAUGGCCUUUUUACAAUCCAAUAGUGGGCCAAGCCCUCUUUUAUUUACAGCCAAUAUUCUCAAAUCAAUAUAGUAAUAGUACUUCUUUCCCACAAUAAUAACACAAGUAUAGAAAACUUUCUCACACAACUUUAUCUCGCAUAACAUUAGACAGACGAACACAUAUCAAUAACUUAUCUCCUAUGUUCACAAAUACAUAACUUUUGGAAUAGCGGCACAAGCUGCGGCAAUACAAGCAUUCAAAAAGCAGAAGCCAGCAAGCAAUAUCCAUCAGGAGGUGCCUUGCAUACUGCCUCCUUCGAGCCUGCGAGAGAAAAAACAAGGUGAAGGUCAGUACGCAUCAAGGAUGCUGCUGUUCUGGGUCAAGCCAAGUCAAGCGCAUAAGAGAACUUAGUCAACAAAAAGUAAUACACUACAAACAAGGGAGCUCUCAAACCAUACAUCCUUGAUGCUAUUAAUACACUACAAAACAAGGGAACUCCACAGCAAAACAAGGGAGCAAUUUAGGGAAAGGAAUACUACAGUUGCUUGAGACAUGUGCUACUCGCUCGAAAGUAAUCAGUAACCAACGCGUCAAUAAAAGUGUGCAAGUAGGCCACUCUACCCAGUGAGAUUAAUACACUACAGAAUCUAUCUAAGACAAGACCACCACCAACAUUAAACUGUACUAUAUUUCUGGACAGCAAACUAAAUAGACGGCUGCUCUCAAACCAUACAUCCAAACGAAGCAAACGAGUACUCUACGGAAACCUUAGAGCAUGCUUUACAACUCAUAUGUAGAGGCCAAGUUGAAAUUAUGAGCAUAACAAACUCGUUUUUCAGUUAGAAGCUCGCUUCCCAAAACUGUCAGGUAGUGCAGUUUUUUAACUGAACCAAAUUUAGUUUACGGAACAGCCAGAGAAAUCCAAUUCUACAGGAGACAUGAUCAUAUUCCUAAUCAUCAUGCAUUUGCCAUGCAGAUCAACCAAUUCUUCUUGAAAAAUGAAAAUUACAGCAGUGAUUCUGAAAUGGCAUUUACCUUCCAUAUCAAAGAUGAAGCGUUCCCUUCUUUUAACUUCUUCAACCUAGAGCUCAUGUAGAAGAAUGAAAAUGACCGUUAUCAUGGCCGCCAAUUCAAAAUGAAAGCAAUACCUUCCAACAGAGAACAGCUAGGAAAAGAAUAAUUAACAGAAUAAUAAAUAGAUACACAAGCAGCUAGGAGUCGAUCCUGAAGCAUGAGGGCAUGGAUAACAGUAGCAACCAUGAGUAGUAAAUAGUAGCAAAUAUUAUAUUGGUGGAAAAAGGUAAAUACCAGCAAGCUCUAAGAAGACUCCAAGAGCUUGAUGGCUCACAAUACAAUCAUGUUUUCAAUAACAAAUACUACUAGAAUUAAGGCACUGAACAUAUUCUAAGAAGUAUCAACAUCAUGGCAGUAAAAAUUAGUAGUAGUAGCUAGCAGGACAUCAAUCAAACACAACGUAAUUAUCAUUUGAACAAUACCGGUCACAACAAGUAAUCAGAAUACAGCAGCGAGUGGGUGCAAACACCAACCAUAACCAGGAAUACUGGAGAACUACAAGUUAAAUGUACUCAAAGAAACCACCAAAAUCUCUCAAUACCGGUCACAACAAGUAAUCAGAAUAUAGCAGCAACAAGUACCAGGAAUAAAUCACGUUAGUAACUAGAACAGAGAAAGAAAAUGUAGAAGUGGCACGAGUCAUGAAUGGUGUCUUGAGUUACUACUGCAUCGUCCGUAACAGAGGCCGAGGAACUCGCUGUGAUGGGUUGCAGCAUCUAUGCUGAUGCAGUCUCAGCCACAGGCUCCUCCUCACACCUGAAGUGAAACACGCAGGUUGGUCAGCAGAACUACAACAGUUUAGCUUUUGGAGAUGACAAAUAACUCAAAUUACCCUUGAUAUCUGUUUCAAAAAAAUUAACCUUCUAGUAUGGCCAUGUUAAUACAUAAAAUUAACCUUUUCCCUUUUACUUUCUAUGAAAAAUGUAAGAGACCAGAAUUCUACAUGUAGCUUCUAUAGACAUAAAUCCUAGAGAAAUACAACUCUGUACGAGAAUCACCCCAAAUAUGAAUAGAACAAUUCGGUAUCGCCUAGACAAGGAAUUGAAAAUGCAUGAGCUGAUGCUAUUGCAUGAUACAGUUAUAUACUCCCAUAAAAGAAGUGUUGUUUAAGUACACUCUCUUCUCUUUAUUCCAUCUAUUAAGUAUAUACUCCCAUAAUAGAUAAAAGAAGUAUAUACUCCCAUAAAAGACUUCCAGCUGCCUUUCAGUGCCUACGUACAGUGCUUUGCAGUCAGGUUUAGGACUAGCACAGUGAAAACAAAACUAUCUACUUGUUGUACUUGUUAUGUUAAACCAUCGAAAUCAAUCUGGUGUGACACAGGUGGGUUAUGCUAUCCACGACACGAGCACUGCAUUUGUUAAUAUCGACUGCAGUAACGAGGGACUGUUCAAUGCUACAAUUCAACCAUGGAGUAAACUCAAAUGAGCAUGGAAGAAGAGCUCACCUCGUUGAAGGCGAGGAUCUGGCCGUAGCUCUUCUUCACGCAUUCUUGAGAGGCUUCCGAAUUUGAAUCAUGUCCUCACCAGAACUUGGACUUGGCGUGGAUCUCGCUGGUGGCCCAGAGCUUCAUGCGGUAGAUCCUGGGAUGCUCCUCGGUCGGCGUCGGCAGGCCCCUCCCGACAACCUCGUAUUGGUGGAACUGCACGAGUGCGAGCGCCAAAUGGUAAGUUCAGAUCACACGACAAGAACUAAUCCCCAUGAUAAUGGUGCGUACGAGUAAGAGGGACUCACCCUGACCGUGACCAUCCUGGCCGGAGUUGCUGAGGUCGCCGUGCGUCGGUCUGGGGCGAUGGGAUUGCUGUUGUGCGAUGCUGCGACGGGCUUCUGUUCGCGGGAGCCGCGCCAGCCUAGGGCCCCGCCGGUGAGCUCCGACGAGGGGAGGGGGGAGGGAGGCGACCCCCAUCACCAUGGCUGCCAAAGCCCUCCCUCCGGAUCGAGGUUGUAUCCGCCAGAUCGGUGUGGCCAAGGCUACCAAUCCGCCUCGCCUGCUCGAACUGGGCCUCGAGGAGAGGAGGUGGUGGCCAUCGACGGUGGGGAUGGGGGGCGACGGCGGCGGCGGCGUCCAUCUCCGCCUGGAUCACGCGCAUGGGGGUAUGGGGAGGGGAGGGGAAUUGGCUCGCGAGAUUUGUUCGUGAGGGGGCGACUCGGACAGGAGGGGUGGUGGAAGGAAGGAUGGCCGGUGCUGGGGGUGAUGAGGAGGUCGGCGGCGACGGGGGUGGGGGAGGCCGGCGGCGGGGUUGGGAUGGCAGAGAGAGGGAGGUCUGGGUCGGGGACAGGGGGAUCUGGGAGGAGGUGGCGGCGGUGAGGAGCUGAGGGAGGAGGAGUGUGGGUGCGGGUUAGGGUUUGGGCUGCGGAUGGAUGGCUGGAUGGAGAGGUGGAGAGUUGGACGGAUGGAUGGGCGCCAUGUCAUCGAUCUGUGUGACAACUAAACCCACCAAUGAGAAUAGAGCACAUAUAAUUGUGUUUUUCCUUUUGUUUUUCUUCUACUUUUACACAUGAAAAAAAAAAUCAAAAAAUGGUCUCACAUUAUGCACAAGUUUGUAUCUUGAAUGAAAAACAAUGUUGCCUAAGAAAUUUUUCAUUUUCGUUGCAUGAAAUAUUCAUUUUCCAUUUCUCGAGUGCUCAAAAUGAGUUUUUUUGUAAAGAACAUACCAAAUAUUUGUUGCAAAAUUGUAUCAAAUCAUUUUUCUAAAUACUAGACCAUAUUUAAUGUACAUAUAACCAAAUGGUUGGGUGUCAAAACUUUUAAUCUACCUCUCGUGAAAAAGACAAAUUUCCGCCGAUUCAGUUGGAAGCGGGUCAAAUUUGAACUACAUUUGCCUCAUAGUUUGCUAUUUAUUUUUUCCAAAAGUCAUUUCUAGGUACAUAAGUAUCUAUUUAAUCAGAGAAACAUCAAAAGUUUUCCAAGAUUCAACCACUAGCUAGGAACGGUCAAGCCCGCCGUUUUGACCGCAUUUUGAAACGGGCAUAAAAAAUUCAAAAAAAAUCAAAAAAUUGGAAAACCUUUGCAUUGUGUCAUCAUAUGUGGCCAAGUUCCUAGGAAAAAUAACAAACUUGUAAUACAACAAUUAUUUUAAAAAAGUGUUCUCAGAAACGAGCUAUCAUGUGUGGAGAUCAAUGGCUUUCAAGCCAAAUGAUCAAUCUUAUGGCCACAUCCAUGGCAUAGUUUGUUCAAAUGAUCUCAUAUUGUGCACAAGGGUGCAUAUUGGAAUGGCAAACGAUGUUGCCUAAGGAAGUUUUCAUUUUGGUUGGACGAAAAAACCAUUUUCCAUUUUUUGAAUGCCCGAAAGGAGGUUUUUUGUGAAGGAACUACCAAAUAAUUGUUGCAAAAUUGGACCAAAUCAUUUUUAUAAAAUACUAGGCCAUAUUUAAUGCACAAUUGACAAAAUGGUCUGGUGUAAAUUUUUUUGAUCCACCUCUCGUGAAAAAGACAAAUUUCCGCCGAUUCAGUUGGAAGCGGGUCAAAUUUGAACUGCAGCUGCCUCAUAGUUUGCUAUUUAUUUUUUCCAAAAAUCAUUUCUAGUUACAUAAGUAUCUAUUAAAUCAUAGAAACACCAAAAAAAUUCCAAGAUUCAACCACUAGCUAGGAACGGUCAAGCGCGCCGUUUUGACCGCAUUUUCAAACGGGCAUAAAAAAUUCAAAAAAUUCAAAAAAUUGGGAAACCUUCGCAUUGUGUCAUCAUAUGUGGCCAAGUUUCCAGGAAAAAUAAUAAACUUGUAAUACGGUAAUUAUUUUAAAAAAGUGUUCUCAGAAAUGAGCUAUCAAGUGUGAAGAUUCAUGGCUUUCAAGCCAAAUGAUCAAUCUUAUGGCCACAUUCAUGGCAUAGUUUGUUCAAAUGAUCUCAUAUUGUGCACAAGGGUGCAUAUUGGAAUAGCAAACAAUGUUGCCUAAGGAAGUUUUCAUUUUCGUUGGACGAAAAAACCAUUUUCCAUUUUUCGAGUGCCCGAAAGGAGGUUUUUUUGUGAAGGAACUACCAAAUAAUUGUUGCAAAAUUGGACCAAAUCAUUUUUAUAAAAUACUAGGAAAUAUUUAAUGCACAAUUGACAAAAUGGUCUAGUGUAAAAAUUUUUGAUCCACCUCUCGUGAAAAAGACAAAUUUCUGCCGAUUUAGCUGGAAGCGGGUCAAAUUUGAACUGCAGCUGCCUCAUAGUUUGCUAUUUAUUUUUUCCAAAAAUCAUUUCUAGUUACAUAAGGACCUAUUUAAUCAUAAAUACAUGGUUUGGUGGCGAUACGUCGAGGUUUGGGCGGUGGCCGAGGGCCCCAACUCUAGAGCGCGUAAACUCGGAUGCCCGCCGCGUGGUCACCGCGUGACCGUGGCGUUGCCAUGUGUUCUGGGCGGCCUAGGCAUGUCUAGUGGGUUGGGCACUCCCCAGGUUGGUGCUAGGAAGAAAAUUACAACAUAAGAUUCUCACGAGGAGACCAAUCGAUGCUCAAACAUGAAUUAGCAGCCAAGUGUUUGAUUAGCGGUACGGGAAAUGUACAUGGCUAAUGGGCAUGAGUUUUGGCUGAGGAUGAUCAGUUACUAAGAAGAUCGUUUUCACAAAUUUUCAGCUCAAAAGGAGGAGCCUAGGUGGUACUUGCUGUGCAAACUACCACGCUGGACAUAACUACGAAUGUUGAAGCUCGGCUCAAAAUAAUGAAUGGAUUGAGCUGGCAUUUGGUGGAGGAUGGUUAUUUGGGCAUAGGAAAGCACUGUAGAAAAUGGAUGCUAUUUGGACAUGCCAAAGUGGUACUUCCUUCACAAACUGUUACUCUGAACAGAAUAGGAAAAUGAAUAUUUUUGAAUUAUUUUUGAACUAGGCAAGGAAGAUUUUUACAUAUUUGAUGAAGAUAUGACCCAAAGAAUUUAUGAGAUUUUUUUGGGAAUUUUGGGAAUGAUAGAAAUAUAGGUUGCUUCACAACCUAGGGCAAAAACUGCCACAUGGACAUGACACAUAGGCAAAACUGAUGAGAUGGCGCCUAGUCAUCACAACCCACCACAAUCUACAAGGUUAUGACCAUCUAUAUUGGUCAUUAACAACUAGAAAUAAGGCAGCGGACUAGCACUGUUUGCUUUGUGACCAUUUUGUGUAAGGAAAUUACGACCUUUCUGACCAAAAUGGUCGCAAUGGUUUAGGGUUUGAAGCCCCUUGAACAACUUUUGACCAAUUGGUCUAAAAUGGUCAUAAAUUUAUGACCAAUUCUUCGAGGGUCACUGACAGAAGGUCAUAAGUUGACAUAUUUCUUGUAGUGUGAAGACCUCGAGCAUUUGAGGAAUCUCGUCAUCAAGACAUAGAGGGAAAGUUCUAUAAUAUCAAUUCUCCACCUAGUAUAAAACAUAAAGCUCAUGAAACUUUAAUUAGAUGCUAAUUACCUAGACCAACAAAAGUUCUUUAGUAAGGGUCUCUGACAAGAAUAUGCUUCAUCCUAUUUUACUAGCAGAAACCGAUAGAGAUGAUAGUAGUGACAUGGAAAACAAACCAUUAUUUGUAUUUAUAAGUAAAGAAACUGAAAUUUGUAACUGCCAAUCAGGCGAUAUUAAUGUCAAAUACUGAAUUCUUACACCCACUACCUGCGAGACAUGUCCAUUGCAGUGCCAAAUAAAGAAUCUUUUUUGAGAAUUAACAGCAAGACAAUGGUCCGCUUGUUGUAUAUAAUAAUUAUCACACAAGUGUUGUAUAUGUAGCUGGUGCUAGAAUUUACAUAUCCAUGCUCCACAACCUAUGUUGUACAUACACAGAUCAUAUAGAACAAAAGUUAUGCUUAGGUCGGAAAGCAGAGCCGUGUAGAAAAGUGAAGUUCACAAAAGACCUUCAUACAUAGGCCAUUGUUUUAACUCGUAGUAAGGCCUUGACGGACUCACAACCAGGUAGCCCGAAGGUGAUGAAGCUGACGCACUGCACCUAGCGCAGGUUGUCGAAGCCAAUGAUUCAGACAUAGGCGUCAGGGUACUCCUCCUUGACCUCCUCCACCUCCUUGAGCACCUUCUUGGCAUUGGUGCACCUGAAGAUAGGUUUUUUUGAUAAAGGGUCAUUUUAUUAACUAAAAAAUGUAGCAUCAAGUGGAUAUAAAGCAUUAUGAGCAACACCCAACCUCUGCAUAACUAGGAUGCACACAGCCGAAACACCAAAAGUCUGACAACCAUAAGAAAACAAAAACCGACAAAUCGAUAAUAGUAGAGUCCUAUAGACCGACACGGUGCCUAUGUCGAAAGGUGAGAUGGCCUGAUCCGGAGGUUAUGCUGCCACCCAUGUUGGGUAAAAACCCCCGUAGCCACCUGCUCCAACCACGUACACACCGCCUUGAAUAGCGGUUGGACCUCCGCUCGUUGUCCGCACCUGAAGAUAGGUAGCUUCCACAUUUUCUAGUAUCCUCGGUCAUAGUAUCUAGGGGACAUGUUGUGCUUAAGGAAGAAGAAGCCAACCUUGCUGAACUCGAGGCAGGGCAUGCACUUGGAGGGGAUUAGGUAGUCGACCUGCUUGAGGAGGGCCUCCAUGGAGAGGGGUGGCAAGUGACAGGAUCUCGAACUUCUUGAUGCCAUCGAUGGGCCAAACCUGAUUAGAUGGAAUGAACACAAUUUAGAUCCUAUUGCUUUAUCACUUGAAUGCUCGGAACAUGCUUCUUAGAAGGCACUGUCAUUCUCCUUGAGAUGAAACCCAUUGUGCUCACAUGAGAAAAGAGAUCACUUAUUUUUCUCCUAUAAUUUGAGUCAAAGGAUUUGGACUUAUUUGUAGAUUGAUUGGAGCCCUUGACGAAACACUAGACAAUGUAUUGAUGCUGCAUGUAAACGAUUUGGACACACUUUGUUUCUUUGAAGUGGUGUUCUCUUGGAACUAAUAUUUAUAUUAUUAGAAAUGACAAGAUCUUCGUAGUGGAGAGGCCAACCUUUCCCGCUUGGUUUUGUUAAUUUGUACAUGACAUCUCUUCUUACACAUAUAGUUAAGGCUUGUAUCGAACCAAAGCUCCUCGUUUGGAUUAGUAACCUCCAUUAGAUAAAUAGGUAAGUAGGUAAAUGUUGUUUUUCCUAUUUCCUUGGUUUCUUUUGUAAAUAUUUUUGCUUCCUUUUGUUUUCAUGGAGUAAAUGAAUGUAGAGCUGUUGCUCCAUAGUAGUGACACAAAUCCGAGAUUUUUCUUGAUUUUCACUAGUAUGAUUACAAUCCUUCACAAAUAGCUCACGCAAAAGUUCCAUAAUAAGUUUUGAAUGCUGUGGCUAUAUCGAGUUCAGUUAGAUGCUUAUUAUACUGACCAACAAAAAUUCUUUGGUAAGGGUCUGUGAGAAGAAUAUGUUUCAUUCUAUUCUACUAGCAAAAACCAAUGACGAUGAUGGUAGUUACAUGGAAAAGAAACCACAAUUUUUUUGUAUUUUUUUAACUCAAUUUUUUGAAUUGAUAUAAGUAAAGGAACUGAAAUUUUUGUUGGCGCCGCUCCUCUCGCAGCGCCGACCUUCUUCUUCUACCUUGAGCUGCCUCUCACAAUUCAAGGUUUCUCCCUUUGUCUCUCUCAAGAACACAUGAGAACACACACGCACGCACACAUGCACCAAGGGAGAAACCAGCCGCUAGCUUUGCCAAGAGGCUCUCUCCUUGGUGAAAACAAACACUACAUUGUUUCUGCCCCAGCCCUCACGGCCUCAAUCCUUUUCAUUACCCUGUUGCCAUAUUUAUAUACAAAGGACCAGACUCAUGCCAUGCACACAGGCCACUAAGUCCGGCCACUAACCAACUAAUCCCUAACUACAUGUCUACAUGCACGCCCACGUCCAGUACAUGCGCAACGUCCUCUCAACAGCUACACGAUCUGGACAUGCAGCUAACAAACUUGACCACAUCUAAUACUAGACCUCUUCUCAAGGCCACAACAGACUUACUGAUCGACUCGGCUGGACUCUUGCUGGCCGCUGGCUCUUAUCCUUGUGCAGCUGCUUCACACGGCACUCGGCAUCUCGCACCUCCGCCGCCUCGCACGACAAUAGCAUCUCACCAUGCACGUUCUUGGGCCGACGGCUCGCUGUCUACGUACGUAUCACACGUACAUCUUGCCGGUGUACAGCCGACGAUAUGACUACACUAGCUACAAGCAAAACAAAAAAACACAUGCAGAUACAUAUGCCAAGAUUAGUUCUAACAAUUUUUAAUUGCCAAUAAGGAAAUCUUAAUGUCAAAUACUGAAUUCUUCCACCAACUAGGUGUGAGACAUAUCCAUCGCAGUGCCAAAUAAAGAAAGUUUUCCGAGAAUUAACAGCAGGACAAUGGUCCGCUUGUUGUAUAUAAUAAAUAUCACACUGGUGUUGUAUAUGUGUAGCCGUGCAUGCUCCACAACCUAUGUUCGUACAAACACAGAUCAUAUGGAACGAGAAAUAUGCUCUGGUCGGAAAGCAGAGUCGUGGACAAAAGUGAAGUUCACAAAUGACCAUCAUACAUAGGCCAUUGUUUCAACUUGUAGUUUAGGCCUUGCCGGACUCCUCGCAACCUGGUGGCCUGAAGGCGAUGAAGCUGACGCACUGCACCUGGCGCAGGUUGUCGAAGCCGAUGACACGGACAUAGGCAUCAGGGUACUCCUUCUUGACCUCCUCCACCUCGUUGAGCACUUGCGUGGCGUCGGUGCACCCGAACAUAGGCAGCUUCCACAUUGUCCAGUAUCGACCGUCGUAGUACCCGGGAGAGCUGUUGUGCUCACGGAAGACGAAGCCAACCUUGCUAAACUCGAGGCAGGGCACCCACUUGGAGCGGAUCAGGUAGUCUACCUGCUUUAGGAGGGCCUCUGUGGAGAGGGGUGGCAAGUAAGACAGGGUCUCGAACUUCUUGAUACCCUCAAUCGGCCACACCUGAAUGGAUGGAAAUUAUGGAAUGCACACAACUGCUUAACACUUGGUGCUAGUAAAUUGUACGUACUGAGGAAGAAACUCAUAUCAGUUUUGUGCCUCUGACAUACCUGCAUGCACCUGAUCCUUCCGCCAUUGCUGACGCGGCCGAGGCUGCCGCUGGAGCGGCGGCUGACGGGCAGACCGGCUGUGGACUUGAGCCCCUGGAAGGGUGCGACGGUGGUAGCCGACGAAGCCAUCACGGCGGGGGCCAUGGUAUUGUAUUAUCGGAGGAGAGGAGGAUGCCGGCUACAGGUGAGGCCCCCAUUGCCGGGUCACUACGGUAUAUAUAGCCAGACACUUAGCGCCGUUUCUUUGGUACAGAUGUGGUUGGGGUGGCUGACGUUCUCUGGUUGCCUCGUUUCCUUAUCUUCUCCGGAUCAGUGGAAGAAGCAUGGCCGUCGGAUGCAUUGUGUGUGCUGGAAAUUUCAGUCCUUCAUGUCAUUGGGUGGCUGCCACACAACCUUUUUCCAGCUUUUCUUGUUUUUGGUUUCAUUUGAAGCCAAAAGUUUCUUGAGUACAAAUUUUCUGAGAUGCGACUUGAGUGGUGGUGUGGGCAAAAUAUUUUACAUUUUAUCAUAAGAUCUGAUGGCUCACUCCCUUGAAAGUAUGCCUAUAGGCAUAGAGUGUGCGUGUGUGCAUUUAUAGGGGGUGUUAUACAUGCGGGUAUGCGAAUGUCUACUUUUGUACACCGUUUCUCAAAAUAAAAUAUAUGUUUUGUUGGUACAAUUAAUUGACCUAGCAUAGUAACCUCCACACGUAGAACAAGUUCUUUCCCCUCCCGCAAGGUAACUAUUGAAAGCUUUCCACCCCUCUAUAUCCGCCAGUGAGCCUAUGGAUCCGCCUCCCCUCUGCGGGAAGGGGGAUUCCUGGUGCCUCAGCUCUGGCUAAUAGACAAGUAGGAUUUUAGUCCUCAUGGGUGAGGUGCUUGGACGGACGGCGGUCUUUCUUCUUCGAGCCAAUCUUUCGGGAUCCGAUCCUCUUUAAGUUCCUCUGUCUGGGGAGCUCCGACGUAGACUCCUGCCAGUUCCACAGGCGAUGAGGUUAGGAUUUCUCAUCAUGCGUACGCACAAUGAGAUUUGGUGUCAGGUUCUUUAGAUCGAUUCACGGAUUCAACAGCGAUGACUGCGGCUCCAGAGCACUGGUCCUUAGGGGCAUGUGCAUGAAGACUUCCUGACUGUCAUCGACAAAGUCAAUGUAGCUCUAGAGUGGGAGCAUCGACAAUGGUGCGUUAGUGGCUCAUCUCUGUGCGUAGGAACGAAAAGAAAGGCCUAUAUCUCAAAUUUUUGACAACUCUCCGGCCGUGACAAUGGGCAUAACUUGUUUUAAACAUCAAUGGGUAGGAACGAAAAGCUCUAUAUGUCAACUAUUAACACGUAUGGCUAAAUAUGUACCUUGCAUUAUAGGAUAUAUGGCAAUCGAUCAAAAAGUUAGGCAGUCUCUCACAUAACAUUGUCUCUCAAGUACGGCUGCAAAUGAGUCGAGUUCGAGCGAGUUGGACUUGCCUCAGCUCAACUCAUAUUAAAAUUCAAGCGAGCUCAAACUGAGUGAAGCUCAAAAUCAAGUUGUAGAACAUGACUCAUUUUUAGUUUGUAACAAUCUUGAGCUAGUUUCAAGCUAAAUAAGACGAUAAAAAUUACAAAAUUUAUGACUAUUAUUCCAACUAGAUAAGGCAUAACACGACAUAAAAAGCACAAAAAAAUUUAUUCCAAACAGAAUGAUAAUAAUACUUUUUUUCGAAAUGAUACAAAUUUUGUUAGAAGUAGCUUGACUUAUUCUCUUACAACCGAAAGUCUAGUAUCAANNNNNNNNNNNNNNNNNNNNNNNNNNNNNNNNNNNNNNNNNNNNNNNNNNNNNNNNNNNNNNNNNNNNNNNNNNNNNNNNNNNNNNNNNNNNNNNNNNNNNNNNNNNNNNNNNNNNNNNNNNNNNNNNNNNNNNNNNNNNNNNNNNNNNNNNNNNNNNNNNNNNNNNNNNNNNNNNNNNNNNNNNNNNNNNNNNNNNNNNNNNNNNNNNNNNNNNNNNNNNNNNNNNNNNNNNNNNNNNNNNNNNNNNNNNNNNNNNNNNNNNNNNNNNNNNNNNNNNNNNNNNNNNNNNNNNNNNNNNNNNNNNNNNNNNNNNNNNNNNNNNNNNNNNNNNNNNNNNNNNNNNNNNNNNNNNNNNNNNNNNNNNNNNNNNNNNNNNNNNNNNNNNNNNNNNNNNNNNNNNNNNNNNNNNNNNNNNNNNNNNNNNNNNNNNNNNNNNNNNNNNNNNNNNNNNNNNNNNNNNNNNNNNNNNNNNNNNNNCCAGAAACAACAUAAUAUUUAAGACACGUCCGACCACGUACCAUAAUAAGGCCUAAAUUUUAUCAACAACUAAUUAAGUUUCCAUGUUUGUUUGUAAAUAAAAUGGAGAAAAAUCCUGGAUGACAUAUGUGGCACUAAAUUAUCUUAUUAUUAUUUAAUAUAUGGCAUUAUCAUUUAACAUAAUUAUAUUAUGCCGAGCUAUCGAGCUAAAAUCAAGCGAGUUAAUAUCGGCUCAAGAUCGGCUCGUUUCUUGACCGAGCUACAGGAAGUGUUUGUACUCAACUCGGUUCUUUUCGAGUUGAGUCAAAAAACGAGUCGAUCUCGAGCGGCUCACAAGCCUCAAACUUUUCUUCCAGCCCUACUCUCAAGCAGCAUCAUAUUGAGACAACUUAAUCGGCCUACUUCCAAUCACAUAUCAGCGGCGGAUAACGGAAAGACAUUAAUAUCACAAGGCCUGGACCGAAGGCAAUAAGUUCUAUGGACAACCGUGAUCCCUAGAAUAACAAUGUUCCCCUCAAGAUAUCGACAACCGUGAUCCCUAGAAUAACGGUGUUCCCCUCAAGGAAAUUUAAAGAAAAGAUAUAAGCAAUAGCAGCAGCGCAUUUUCACGGAAGCACUAUAGCUACUUUAGCUAUAGCGCGUGUUCGCGAACAAGCGCUAUAGCUAACUUAUCUAUAGCAGUAGCGCGUUCCGUCAGAAAGCGCUAUAGUUAAGUAGCUAUAGCGCUUGUGUGGAAAAAGCGCUACUACUAAGUUUGACUUGCCACUGCGCAGGCGUUCCUCCUUCCUGCAAUUCCCCAUUCUUCUCGCGUCUCCCCUACCUCUCCCUUGCCACCCCUACUCCCUCGCCGUCCCUGCCUUCGGAGCCGCCAUCGGAGCUGCGCGCCAUCGCCGCCACCGGAGCCACACGCCAUCGACGCCACCAAAGUCAUCCUCGUCUGCUCCUCGCUGCCCCUGCCUCCCUUGACGCCCCUGCCUCCCUCGACACCCCUGCCUCCCUUGCCAUCACCGAAGCCGCCGUAGACACAACCGGAGCCACCCUCGGCGCCCUUUGCACCAUCGUCUCCCCCGAGCACCUCCCGGCAACUGUUCCCGCGAGCACCCACCCCUCCUCUCUAGGUUAAUUUAUUUAGGUGAAUUUAGUUAUGAACCCUAGGAAUUAGCUAGGUUAAGUAGGUUAACUAGGUAGGUUAAGUAACUAAGUGAACUAACUAGGUUAAUUUGGUUCAUUAGGUUAACUUGUUAGGUAAACUAGGUUGGCUAGGUUAGAACAAAAAAUUAGUUUAGAGCAAAAAUAUAGUUGGGGCAGUAGGGUUUAACUAGGGCAGUAGGGUUUAGAACAAAAUUUUAGUUAGGGAAGUAGGGUUUAAUUAUAGUUUUUGUUUUCAUAGAUGUUUUUCUAAAAGAACAAAAUGAAGGAAAUGUUACAGCAGUGCUGCUAGUAGUAUAUAUAGUGGUACUAGUAGAUGUUAAUUAGGUUAGGGCAGUAGUGGUACCUGUAGAUGUUAAUUAGUUGUCUUUUAGUUAGGGCAGUAGGGUUUUACUAGGUUAAUUAGGUUAGUAGUGCUGCUGGUAGUAGUGGUACAGUAGGUUAAUUAGGUGAAGUUAAAUGAAUGGCCUAAAUAAAUGAAAUUAGUAGUUAAUUGAAUUUUUAGGACAAAUUUGUAUAUGCUUAAGUACUUAACUAAAUAGUAUUUUUAGGACAAACUUGUAUAUGCUUAACUAGUUAACUAAAUAUAUUAUAGGGUUGUAAAUAUAGUUGCUUAAGUACUUGUAUAGUUGUUCUCCCAAUGUAUGCUUAAGUAGUUGUAUAAUCCCUAGGGUUCAUCAAUGGGUGCUUAAGUAGUUGUAGAUGCUUAAGUAGCUAGCUAGGGUUCAUCUAAUUAGUUAGUACUUGUAGAUGCUUAAGUACUAGGGUAUUAGGGUUAGGGCAGUAGGGUUUAAUUAAAUGUUAAUUAGGGCAGUAGGUAUUCAGUAUAAAAAUAUAUAUUUCUAUCAGUGCUGCAAGCGUACUAGGUUAUUACUUUUUACAGAAUUUUUAUUAUGUCAGAAAUUUAGGACAUAAUUUAAAUUGAGUUCUAGGGUUCAUAAUUUGAAAUUUGUGUAGAUUUUCUUGAAGUGUCAAACACUAGGAGAUGCAAAUUUGAAGUGGUCAUGUUAUAUGCAAAUUCCCCAAUAGUGUUUGCUCAUGUUUAUCUACUGUUGUAGUUGCUCAUGUACAUGUUCUUAAGUGUUUGAGCUGUGCGUUGAGGCAAAAAAGGCUAUCAAGUCCCAAGCAAUCGCAGACUUUCUUGCCGGAUUGAGCAGCAGUUGCCGACUCAAGUUCACACGGAACAUUGGACUAUGUUCUUUGAUGGCUCCAAGAUGCUGAAUGGUUCAGGUGCUGGGGUAGUAUUGGUAUCCCCCCAUGGAGACAAGCUUAGUUAUGUUCUCCAGAUUCAUUUUGAUUCCUCUAAUAAUGAAGCCGAAUAUGAAGCACUUUUAUACGGGUUGCGUAUGGCCAUUUCACUCGGCCUCCGUCGCCUUAUGGUCUACGGCGACUAAGAUUUGGUGGUUAAUCAAGUGAUGAAGGAAUGGGAUGUCAGGAGCCCAGCCAUGAAUGGUUAUUGCAAUGUAGUAAGAAAGCUGGAAAAGAGGUUUGAAGGUUUGGAGCUUCACCAUAUACCCUGACUGAAAAAUCAAGCUGCAGAUGAGUUGGCAAAGAUAGGCUCAAAGAGAGAGGCCAUUCCCCGAAAUGUGUUUUUGGAACAUAUUAAUUCACCUUCAGUUCAGGAAGAUUGUCGGUGUCAAAACCGGCGGAUCUCGGGUAGGGGGUCCCGAACUGUGCGUCUAGGCGGAUGGUAACAGGAGACACGGGACACGAUGUUUUUACCCAGGUUCGGGCCCUCUCGAUGGAGGUAAAACCCUACUCCUGCUUGAUUAAUAUUGAUGAUAUGGAUAGUACAAGAGUAGAUCUACCACAAUAUCAGAGAGGCUAAACCCUAGAAGCUAGCCUAUGGUAUGAUUGUUGUUCGUCCUACAGACUAAAACCCUCUGGUUUAUAUAGACACCGGAGAGGGCUAGGGUUACACAGAGUCGGUUACAAUGGGAGGAGAUCUACACAUCCGUAUCGCCAAGCUUGCCUUCCACGCCAAGGAAAGUCCCAUCCGGACACGGGACGAAGUCUUCAAUCUUGUAUCUUCAUAUUCCAGGAGUCCGGCCAAAGGUCAUAGUCCGGUCAUCCAGACACCCCCUAGUCCGGGACUCCCUCAGUAGCCCCUGAACCAGGCUUCAAUGAUGAUGAGUCCGGCGCGCAAAUUGUCUUCGGCAUUGCAUGGCGGGUUCCUCCUCCGAAUACUUCAUAGAAGAUGUUUGAACACAAGGAUAGUGUCCGGCUCUGCAAAAUAAGUUCCACAUACCACCGUAGAGAGAAUAAUAUUUGUACAAAUCUAAUCUGCUGACGUAUCCCGCAGCGUGACAUCAUGCCACGGCCAAGCCUUUAUUUGAAUCAUUUUACUAUCCCACCUCAGCGCGUUUAGUGAGGCGGUUUCCUUGGCACGUCUUGUCAAAGCAGAGAUCGUGUCCCCUUAUUCCGGGAUUCUCGUCAAUACGGGCGUGGGUAUGUUGGGGAACGUAGCAAUAAUUCAAAAUUUUCCUACGUGUCACCAAGAUCUAUCUAUGGAGAAACCAACAACGAGGGAAAGGAGAGUGCAUCUACAUACCCUUGUAGAUCGCUAAGCGGAAGCGUUCAAGAGAACGGGGUUGAAGGAGUCGUACUCGUCGUGAUCCAAAUCACCGGAGAUCCUAGUGCCGAACGGACGGCACCUCCGCGUUCAACACACGUGCAGCCCGGUGACGUCUCCCAUGCCUUGAUCCAGCAAGGAGAGAGGGAGAGGUUGGGGAAGACUCCGUCCAGUAGCAGCACGAUGGCGUGGUGGUGGUGGAGGAGCGUGGCAACCCUGCAGGGCUUCGCCAAGCACCGCGGGAGAGAGGAGUACUUGGGAGAGGGGGAGGGCUGCGCCAGAACUUGGGGUGCGGCUGCCCUCCCACCCCUCCACUAUUUAUAGGUGGGGAGAGAAGGGGGCCGGCCCCCUAGAUCCCAUCUAGGGUUGGGGCGGCGGCCAAGGGGGGGAGGAGUGCCUCCCAAGUCAAGUGGAGGCCCUCCACCUUAGGGUUUCCCCUCUCCCAUGCGCAUGGGCCUUGGGGGGGCUGGUGCCCCAGGCCCAUUAAGGCUAGGGCGCCCCCUUACAGCCCAUGCUGCUGUAUUGGACGUGGUGGAACAAUUUCUGGACCUCCGGACCCCUCCGGAAUCCUCCGGAACCUUCUGGAAGCUUCCUGGUACAAUACCAGAAAAAUCCAAACUUUUCCCGGAACCCAAACAACAACUUUCCAUAUAUAAAUCUUUACCUCCGGACCAUUCCGGAACUCCUCGUGAUGUCCGGGAUCUCAUCCGGGACUCCGAACAACAUUCGUUAACCACAUACAAACUUCCUUUAUAACCCUAGCGUCAUCGAACCUUAAGUGUGUAGACCCUACGGGUUCGGGAACCGUGCAGACAUGACUGAGAUGUUCUCCGGUCAAUAACCAACAGCGGGAUCUGGAUACCCAUGUUGGCUCCCACAUGUUCCAUGAUGAUCUCAUCGGAUGAACAACAAUGUCGAGGAUUCGACCAAUCCCGUAUACAAUUCCCUUUGUCUAGCGGUAUUGUACUUGCCCAAGAUUCGAUCGUCGGUAUGCUGAUACCUUGUUCAAUCUCGUUACCGGCAAGUCUCUUUACUCGUUUCGUAACACAUCAUCCCGUGAUCAACCCCUUGGUCACAUUGUGCACAUUAUGAUGAUGUCCUACCGAGUGGGCUCAGAGAUACCUCUCCGUUUACACGGAGUGACAAAUCUCAAUCUCGAUUCGUGCCAACCCAACAGACACUUUCGGGAAUACCCGUAGUGCACCUUUAUAGCCACCCAAUUACGUUGUGACCUUUGGUACACCCAAAGCAUUCCUACGGUAUCCGGGAGUUGCACAAUCUCAUGGUCUAAGGAAAUGAUACUUGACAUUAGAAAAGCUUUAGCAUACAAACUAGAUGAUCUUUGUGCUAGGCUUAGGAUUGGGUCUUGUCCAUCACAUCAUUCUCCUAAUGAUGUGAUCCCGUUAUCAAUGACAUCCAAUGUCCAUGGUCAAGAAACCGUAACCAUCUAUUGAUCAACGAGCUAGUCAACUAGAGGCUUACUAGGGACAUGGUGUUGUCUAUGUACCCACACAUGUAUCUGAGUUUCCUAUCAAUACAAUUAUAGCAUGGAUAAUAAACGAUUAUCAUGAACAAGGAAAUAUAAUAAUAAUAACCAUUUUAUUAUUGCCUCUAGGGCAUAUUUCCAACAGUCUCCCACUUGCACUAGAGUCAAUAAUCUAGUUCACAUCGCCAUGUGAUUAACACUGAUAGGUCACAUCGCCAUGUGACCAAUAUCCAAAGAGUUUACUAGUGUCACUAAACUAGUUCACAUCACCAUGUGAUUAAGACUCAAUGAGUUCUGGGGUUUGAUCAUGUUUUGCUUGUGAGAGAGGUUUUAGUCAACGGGUCUGCAACAUUCAGAUAUGUAUGUAUUUCACAAAUCUCUAGGUCAUAUUGUAAAUGUUGUUUCCACGCUCCAUUUGGAGCUAUUCCAAAUGGUCGCUCCACUAUACGUAUCCGGUUUGCUACUCAGAGUCAUUCGAAUAGGUUUUAAAGCUUGCAUCGACGUAACCCUUUAUGCCGAACUCUUUAUCACCUCCAUAAUUGAGAAAUAUGUCGUUAUUUACUCCAAGGACAAUUUUGACCGCUGUCCAAUGAUCCCCACUCCUGGAUCAUUCUUGUACCCCUUGACUGACUCAUGGCGAGGCACACUUCCGGUGCGGUACACAUCAUAGCAUACUAUAGAGCCUACGUCUGAAGCAUAGGGGACGACCUUCAUCCUUUCUCUCUCUUCUGCCGGGGUCGAGCUUUAACUCUUAACUUCAUACCUUACAACUCAGGCAAGAACUCCUUCUUUGACUGAUCCAUCUUGAACACCUUCAAGAUCAUGUCAAGGUAUGUGCUCAUUUGAAAGUACAAUUGAGCGGUUUUUGAUCUAUCCUCAUAGAUCUUGAUGCUCAAUGUUCAAGCAGCUUAAUCCAGGUUCUCUAUUGAAAAACACCUUUCAAACAACCCUAUAUGCUUUCCAGAAAUUCUACAUCAUUUCCGAUCAACAAUAUGUCAACAACAUAUACUCAUCAGAAAUGCUAUAGUGCUCCCACUCACUUCUUUGGAAAUACAAGUUUCUCAUAAACUUUGUAUAAACCCAAAAUCUUUGAUCAUCUCAUCAAAGCGUACAUUCCAACUCCGAGAUGCUUACUCUAGUCCUUAGAAGGAUUGCUGGAGCUUUGCAUACUUUAUUAGCAUCUUUCAAGAUUGACAAAACCUUCUGGUUGUAUCACAUACAACCUUUCCUCAAGGAUAAACUGGUAAGGGAACUUGUUUUGACAUCCAUCUUCCAGAUUUCAUAAAUGCAGCUUAUGCUAACAUGAUUCCAACGGACUUAAGCAUCGCUACGGAUGAGAACAUCUCAUUGUAGUCAACUCCUUGAACUUGUGAAAAAACUCUUUGGCACAAGUCGAGCUUCAUAGACGGUGACAUUACCGUCCACGUCCGUUUUCUUCUUAAAGACCCAUUUAUCUCAAUGGCUUGCCGAUCAUCGGGCAAGACCACCAAAGUCCAUGCUUUGUAUACAUGGAUCCUCUCUCAGAUUUUAUGGCCUCGAGCCAUUUGUCAGAAUCCUGGCCCACCAUCGCUUCUCCAUAGCUCGUAGGUUCAUUGUUGUCUAGCAACAUGACCUCCAAGACAGGAUUACCGUACCACUCCGAAGCAGUAUGCGUCCUUGUCGUCCUACGAGGUUCGGUAGUGACUUGAUUCAAAGCAUCAUGAUCACUAUCAUCAGCUUCCACUUCAAUUGGUGUAGGUGCCACAUGAACAACUUCCUGUGCCCUGCUACACACUGGUUGAAGUGAUGAUUCAAUAACCUCAUCAAGUCUCCACCUCCCACUCAAUUCUUUCGAGAGAAACUUUUCCUCGAGAAAGGACCCGUUUUAGAAACAAUUACUUUUGCUUCCGGAUCUGAGAUAGGAGGCAUACCCAACCAUUUUGGGUAUCCUAUGAAGAUGUAUUUAUCCGUUUUGGGUUCAAGCUUAUCACAAUGAAACUUUUUCACAUAAGCGUCGCAACCCCAAACUUUUUAAAAAACGACAGCUUAGGUUUCUCUAAACCAUAGUUCAUACGGUGUCAUCUCAACGGAAUUAUGUGGUGCCCUAUUAAAGUGAAUGUGGUUGUCUCUAAUGCCUAACCCAUGAACGAUAGUGGUAAUUCGAUAAGAGACAUCAUGGUACGCACCAUAUCCAAUAGAGUGCAACUAUGAUGUUCAGACACACCAUCACACUAUGGUGUUCCAGGCGGUAUUAAUUGUGAAACAAUUUCCACAAUGUCUUAAUUGCGUGCCAAAGCUCGUAACUCAGAUACUCAUCUCUAUGAUCAUAUCAUAGACAUUUUAUCCUCUUGUCACAAUGAUCUUCAACUUCACUCUGAAAUUACUUGAACCAUUCAACAAUUCAGACUUGUGUUUCAUCAAGCAAAUAUACUCAACAUCUACUCGAAUCAUUUGUGAAGUAGGAACAUAACGAUAUUCAGUGCAUGCCUCAGCACUCAUUGGGCUGCACACAUCAAAAUGUGUUACUUCCAACAAAUUGCUAUCUUGUUCCAUCUUACUGAAACGAGGCUUUUCAGUCAUCUUUCCCAUGUGGUAUGAUUUGCAUAUCUCAAGUGAUUCAAAAUCAAGUGAGUCCAAACGAUCCAUCUGCAUGGAGUUUCUUCAUGCGUAUACACCAAUAGACAUGGUUCGCAUGUCUCAAACUUUUCAUAAAAUGAGUGAGUCCAAAGAUCCAUCAACUUGGAGCUUCUUCAUGCGUUUUAUACCAAUAUGACUUACAUGGGAGUGCCACAAGUAAGUGGUACUAUCAUUACUAUCUUAUAUCUUUUGGCAUGAAAAUGUGUAUCAUUACGAUCGAGAUUCAAUAAACCAUUCUUUUAGGUGUAAGACCAUUGAAGGUAUUAUUCAAAUAAAUAGAGUAACCAUUAUUCUCCUUAAAUGAAUAACCGCAUUGCGAUAGACAUAAUCCAAUCAUGUCUAUGCUCAACGCAAACACCAAAUAAAAAUAUUCAGGUUUAGCACCAAUCUCGAUGGUAGAGGGAGCGUGCGAUGCUUGAUCACAUCAACCUUGGAAACACUUCCAACACAUAUCAUCAGCUCACCUUUAGCUAGUCUCCGUUUAUUCCGUAGCCUUUUAUUUCGAGUUACUAACACUUAGCAACCGAACCGGUAUCUAAUACCCUGGUGCUACUAGGAGUACUAUUAAAGUACACAUUAACAUAAUGUAUAUCCAAUAUACUUCUAUCGACCUUGCCAGCCUUCUCAUCUACCAAGUAUCUAGGGUAAUUCUGCUUCAGUGUCCGUUCCUCUCAUUACAGAAGCACUUAGUCUCGGGUUUGGGUUCAACCUUGGGUUUCUUCACUGGAGCAGCAACUGAUUUGCCGUUUCAUGAAGUACCCCUUAUUGCCCUCGCCCUUCUUGAAACUAGUGGUUUCACUAACCAUUAACAAUUGAUGCUCCUUCUUGAUUUCUACAUUCGUGGUGUCAAACUUUGUGAAUAGCUCAAGGAUCAUCAUAUCUAUCCCUGUUAUGUUAUAGUUCAUCACGAAGCUCUAGUAGCUUGGUGGCAAUGUCUUUGGAGAAACAUCACUCUCACCUGGAAGAUUAACUCCCACUCGAUUCAAAUGAUUGUUGUACCCAGACAAUCUGAGUACAAGCUCAACGAUUGAGAUCUUCUCCCUUAGUUUGUAGGCUAGAAAAUUCGUCGGAGGUCUCAUACCUCUUGACGUGGGCACGAGCCUGAAAUCCCAAUUUCAGCUCUUGGAAUAUCUCAUAUGUUCUGUGACAUUUCAAAAAUGUCUUCGGUGCCUCAAUUCUAAACCAUUUAACAUUACCGAACUAUCAUGUAGUCAUCAAAACGUGUAUGUCAGAUGUUCGCAACAUCCACAGACCACGUUCGAGGUCCAGCACACCGAGCGGUGCAUUAAGGACAUAAGCCUUCUACUGUCCGCAUAAUUGCUAUAGUCAACUUUGAACUAUAUUUUCUCUAGGAACAUAUCUAAAAUAGUAGAACUAAGCGCGAGCUAUGACAUAAUUUGCAAAGGGCUUUUGACUAUGUUCAGGAUAUUUAAGUUCAUCUAAUGAACUCCCACUCAGAUAGACAUCCCUCCAGUCAUCUAAGUGAUUACAUGAUCCGAGUCAACUAGGCCGUGUCCGAUCGUCACGUGAGACAGACUAGUCAUCAUCGGUGAACAUCUUCAUGUUGAUCGUAUCCACCAUACGACUCAUGAUCAACCUUUCGGUCUCUUGUGUUCCAAGGCCAUGUCUGUACAUGCUAGGCUCGUCAAGUUAACCUAAGUGUUUCGCGUGUGUAAAUCUGGCUUACACCCAUUGUAUGUGAACGUUAGAAUCUAUCACACCCGAUCAUAACGUGGUGCUUCGAAACGACGAACUUUCGCAACGGUGCACAGUUAGGGGGAACACUUUCUUGAAAUUUUAACGAGGGAUCAUCUUAUUUACUACCGUCGUUCUAAGCAAAUAUGAUGUAUAAACAUGAUAAACAUCACAUGCAAUCAAAUAGUGACAUGAUAUGGCCAAUAUCAUUUUGCUCCUUUUGAUCUCCAUCUUCGGGGCUCCAUGAUCAUCAUCGUCACCGGCAUGACACCAUGAUCUCCAUCAUCAUGAUCUCCAUCACCGUGUCUCCAUGAAGUUGUCUCGCCAACUUAUUACUUCUAUUACUAUGGCUACCGAUUAGCAAUAAAGUAAAGUAAUUACAUGGCGUUUGUUCAAUGACACACAGGUCAUACAAUAAAUUAAGACAACUCCUAUGGCUCAUACCGGUUGUCAUACUCAUCGACAUGCAAGUCGUGAUUCCUAUUACAAGAACAUGAUCAAUCUCAUACAUCACAUAUCACUCAUCGCAUUCUUUUGACCAUAUCACAUCACAUAGCAUACCCUGCAAAAAUAAGUUAGACAUCCUCUAAUUGUUGUUUGCAUGUUUUACAUGGCUGCUAUGGGUUCUAGCAAGAACGUUUCUUACCUACACAAAACCACAACGUGAUAUGCCAAUUGCUAUUUACCCUUCAUAAGGAUCCUUUUCAUCGAAUCCGUUCUGAGUAAAGUGGGAGAGACUGGCACCCGCUAGCCACCUUAUGCACCAAGUGCAUGUCAGUCGGUGGAACCUGUCUCACGUAAGUGUACGUGUAAGGUCGGUCCGGGCCGCUUCAUCCCACAAUACCGUCGAAACAAGAUUGGACUAGUAAUGGUAAGCAUAUUGAACAAAAUCAGAGCCCACAACUACUUUGUGUUCUACUCGUGCAAAGAAUCUACACAAUAGACCUAGCUCAUGAUGCCACUGUUGGGGAACGUAGCAAUAAUUCAAAAUUUUCCUACGUGUCACCAAGAUCUAUCUAUGGAGAAACCAGCAACGAGGGGAAGGAGAGUGCAUCUACAUACCCUUGUAGACCGCUAAGCGGAAGCGUUCAAGAGAACGGGGUUGAAGGAGUCAUACUCGUCGUGAUCCAAAUCACCUGAGAUCCUAGUGCCGAACGGACGGCACCUCCGCGUUCAACACACGUGCAGCCCGGUGACGUCUCCCAUGCCUUGAUCCAGCAAGGAGAGAGGGAGAGGUUGGGGAAGACUCCGUCCAGUAGCAGCACGAUGGCGUGGUGGUGGUGGAGGAGCGUGGCAACCCUGCAGGGCUUCGCCAAGCACCGCGGGAGAGAGGAGUACUUGGGAGAGGGGGAGGGCUGCGCCAGAACUUGGGGUGCGGCUGCCCUCCCACCCCUCCACUAUUUAUAGGUGGGGAGAGAAGGGGGCCAGCCCCCUAGAUCCCAUCUAGGGUUGGGGCGGCGGCCAAGGGGGGGAGGAGUGCCUCCCAAGUCAAGUGGAGGCCCUCCACCUUAGGGUUUCCCCUCUCCCAUGCGCAUGGGCCUUGGGGGGGCUGGUGCCCCAGGCCCAUUAAGGCUAGGGCACCCCCUUACAGCCCAUGCUGCUGUAUUGGACGUGGUGGAACAAUUUCUGGACCUCCGGACCCCUCCGGAAUCCUCCGGAACCUUCUGGAAGCUUCCUGGUACAAUACCAGAAAAACCCGAACUUUUCCCGGAACCCGAACAAGAACUUUCCAUAUAUAAAUCUUUACCUCCGGACCAUUCUGGAACUCCUCGUGACGUCCGGGAUCUCAUCCGGGACUCCGAACAACAUUCGGUAACCACAUACAAACUUCCUUUAUAACCCUAGCAUCAUCGAACCUUAAGUGUGUAGACCCUACGGGUUCGGGAACCAUGUAGACAUGACCGAGACAUUCUCCGGUCAAUAACCAACAACGGGAUCUGGAUACCCAUGUUGGCUCCCACAUGUUCCAUGGUGAUCUCAUCGGAUGAACCACGACAUCGAGCAUUCGAGCAAUCCCAUAUACAAUUCCCUUUGUCUAGCGGUAUUGUACUUUCCCGAGAUUCGAUCGUCGGUAUGCCGAUACCUUGUUCAAUCUCGUUACCGGCAAGUCUCUUUACUCGUUCCGUAACACAUCAUCCCGUGAUCAAACCCUUGCUCACAUUGUGCACAUUAUGAUGAUGUCCAACCGAGUGGUCCCAGAGAUACCUCUCCGUCUACACGGAGUGACAAAUCCGAGUCUCGAUUCGUGCCAACCCAGCAGACACUUUCAGAGAUACCCGUAGUGCACCUUUAUAGCCACCCAGUUACGUUGUGACGUUUGAUACACCCAAAGCAUUCCUACGGUAUCCGGGAGUUGCACAAUCUCAUGGUCUAAGGAAAUGAUACUUGACAUUAGAAAAGCUUUAGCAUACGAACUAUAUGAUCUUUGUGCUAGGAUUAGGAUUGGGUCUUGUCCAUCACAUCAUUCUCCUAAUGAUGUGAUCCCGUUAUCAACGACAUCCAAUGUCCAUGGUCAGGAAGCCGUAACCAUCUAUUGAUCAACGAGCUAGUCAACUAGAGGCUUACUAGGGACAUGGUGUUGUCUAUGUACCCACACAUGUAUCUGAGUUUCCUAUCAAUACAAUUAUAGCAUGGAUAAUAAACGAUUAUCAUGAACAAGGAAAUAUAAUAAUAAUAACCAUUUUAUUAUUGCCUCAAUAGUGUUUUCUCACGUCCUUUAAUUGUUGUUGCAUCUUUUACGUGGCUGCAAUAGGGUUCUAGCAAGAACGUUUUCUUACCUACGAAAAAGCCACAACAUGAUUUGUCAACUUAUAUUUACCCUUCAUAAGGACACUUUUCAUCGAAUCCGCUCCAACUAAAGUGGGAGAGACAGACACCCGCUAGCCACCUUAUGCAACUAGUGCAUGUCAGUCGGUGCAACCUGUCUCACGUAAGCGUACGUGUAAGGUCGGUCUGGGCCGCUUCAUCCCACAAUACUGCUGAAGCCAAAUAAGACUAGUAGUGGCAAGAAAGUUGACAACAUCUACGCCCACAACAGAUUUGUGUUCUACUCAUGCAAAGAGAACUACGCAUAGACCUAGCUCAUGAUGCCACUGUUGGGGAAUGUUGCAGAAACAAAAAAAAUCUGUGGUUUUCACCAAGAUCAAUCUAUGAGUUCAUCUAGAAACGAGAGAGAGGAGUGCAUCUACAUACCCUUGUAGAUCGAGCGGAAGCGUUCAAGAGAAUGGGGUUGAGGGAGUCGUACUCGUCGUGAUCCAAAUCACCGGAGAUCCUAGCGCUGAACGGACGGCACCUCCGCGUUCAACACACGUAUGGUCAGCAUGACAUCUCCUCCUUCUUGAUCUAGCAACAGGGAAGGAGAGGUUGAUGAUGAUCCAGCAGCACGACGGCGUGGUGGUGGAUGCAGCAGGGAUCCCAGCAGGGCUUCGCCAAGCGUCUGCGGGAGGGAGAGGUGUAGCAAGGGGGAAGGGAGGUGCCAAGUGCAAGGGUGCGACUGCCCUCCCUCCCCCCCUCUUUAUAUAGGGACCCCAGGGGGGCGCCGGCCCUAGGAGAUGGGAUCUCCUAGGGGGGGCGGCGGCCAAGGGGGGGUGCCUUGCCCCCCAAGGCAAGUGGAGGCGCCCCCUCCCCUAGGGUUCCCAACCCUAGGCGCAGGGGGGCCCAAGGGGGGGCGCACCAGCCCACCAGGGGCUGGUUCCCCUCCCACUUCAGCCCAUGGGGCCCUCCGGGAUGGGUGGCCCCACCCGGUGGACCCCCGGGACCCUUCCGGUGGUCCUGGUACAAUACCGGUGACCCCCAAAACUUUCCCGAUGGCCAAAACUCGACUUCCCAUAUAUAAUUCUUUACCUCCGGACCAUUCCGGAACUCCUCGUGAUGUCCGAGAUCUCAUCCGGGACUCCGAACAACUUUCGGUUUGCUGCAUACAAAUAUCUCUACAACCCUAGUGUCACCGAACCUUAAGUGUGUAGACCCUACGGGUUCGGGAGAUACGUAGACAUGACCGAGACGGCUCUGCGGUCAAUAACCAACAACGGGAUCUGGAUACGCAUGUUGGCUCCCACAUGCUCCUCGAUGAUCUCAUCGGAUGAACCACGAUGUCGAGGAUUCAAGCAACCCCGUAUACAAUUCCCUUUGUCAAUCGGUAUGUUACUUGCCCGAUAUUCGAUCGUCGGUAUCCCAAUACCUCGUUCAAUCUCGUUACCGGCAAGUCACUUUACUCGUACCGUAAUGCAUGAUCCCCUGACCAGACACUUGGUCACUUUUAGCUCAUUAUGAUGAUGCAUUACCGAGUGGGCCCAGAGAUACCUCUCCGUCAUACAGAGUGACAAAUCCCAGUCUCGAUCCGUGUCAACCCAACAGACACUUUCGGAGAUACCCGUAGUAUACCUUUAUAGUCACCAGUUACGUUGUGACGUUUGGUACACCCAAAGCACUCCUACAGUGUCCAUGAGUUACACGAUCUCAUGGUUUAAGGAAAAGAUACUUGACAUUGGAAAAGCUCUAGCAAACAAACUACACGAUCUUGUACUAUGCUUAGGAUUGGGUCUUGUCCAUCACAUCAUUCUCCUAAUGAUGUGAUCUUGUUAUCAAUGACAUCCAAUGUCCAUAGUCAGGAAACCAUGACUAUCUGUUGAUCAAGGAGCUAGUCAACUAGAGUCUCACUAGGAACAUAUUGUGGUCUAUGUAUUCACACGUGCAUUACGAUUUCCGGAUAAUACAAUUAUAGCAUGAAUAAAAGAUAAUUAUCAUGAACAAGGAAAUAUAAUAAUAAUCCUUUUAUUAUUGCCUCUAGGCCAUAUUUCCAACAGUCUCCCACUUGGACUAGAGUAAAUAAUCUAGUUACAUUGUGAUGAAUCAAACACCCAUAGAGUUCUGGUGUUGGUCAUGUUUUGUUUGCGGAAGAGGUUUAGUCAACGGAUCUGUGACAUUCAGAUCCGUAUGUACUUUGCAAAUAUCUAUGUCUCCAUCUUGAACAUUUUCAUGGAUGGAGUUGAAACGAUGCUUGAUUUGCCUGGUCUUCUUGUGAAACCUGGGCUCCUUGGCAAGGGUAAUAGCUCCAGUGUUGUCACAGAAGAGAGUGAUCGGCCCCGACGAAUUGGGUAUGACUCCUAGGUCGGUGAUGAACUCCUUCAUCCAUAUUGCUUCAUGUGCUGCCUCCGAGGCUGCCAUGUACUCCGCUUCACAUGUAGAUCCCGCCACGACGCUCUGCUUGCAACUGCACCAGCUUACUGCUCCACGAUUCAACAUAUACACGUAUCCGGUUUGUGACUUAGAGUCAUUCAGAUCUGUGUCGAAGCUAGCAUCGACGUAACCCUUUACGAUGAGAUCUUCGUCACCUCCAUAAAUGAGAAACAUGUCCUUUGUCCUUUUCAGGUACUUCAGGAUAUUCUUGACCGCUGUCCAGUGUUCCUUGCCGGGAUUACUUUGGUACCUUCCUACCAAACUUACGGCAAGGUUUCCAUCAGGUCUGGUACACAACAUGGCAUACAUAAUAGAUCCUAUGGCUGAGGCAUAGGGGAUGACACUCAUCUCUUCUUUAUCUUCUGCCAUGGUCGGGCAUUGAGCCGAGCUCAAUCUUACACCUUGCAAUACAGGCAAGAACCCUUUCUUGGACUGAUCCAUAUUGAACUUCUUCAAUAUCUUAUCAAGGUAUGUGCUUUGUGAAAGACCUAUGAGGCGUCUCGAUCUGUCCCUAUAGAUCUUGAUGCCUAAUAUGUAAGCGGCUUCUCCAAGGUCCUUCAUUGAAAAACACUUAUUCAAGUAGGCCUUAAUGCUGUCCAAAAGUUCUAUAUCAUUUCCUAUCAGAAGUAUGUCAUCUACAUAUAAUAUGAGAAAUGCUACAGAGCUCCCACUCACUUUCUUGUAAACGCAGGCUUCUCCAUAAGUCUUCAUAAACCCAAACACUUUGAUCAUCUCAUCAAAGCAAAUGUUCCAACUCCGAGAUGCUUGCACCAGGCCAUAAAUGAAUCGUUGGAGCUUGCAUACCUUGUUAGCAUUCUUAGGAUCGACAAAACCUUCGGGAUGCAUCAUAUACAGUUCUUCCUUAAGAUAGCCAUUAAGGAAUGCCGUUUUGACGUCCAUCUGCCAUAUCUCAUAAUCAUAGUAUGAGGCAAUUGCUAACAUGAUUCGGACGGACUUCAGCUUCGCUACGGGAGAGAAAGUCUAAUCGUAGUCAACCCCUUGAACUUGCCGAUAACCCUUAGCGACAAGUCGAGCUUUAUAGAUGGUAACAUUACCAUCCGCAUCCGUCUUCUUCUUAAAGAUCCAUUUGUUUUCUAUCGCUCGCCGAUCAUCCGGCAAGUCUGUCAAAGUCCAUACUUUGUUUUCAUACAUGGAUUCUAUCUCGGAUUGCAUGGCUUCAAGCCAUUCGUUGGAAUGUGGGCCCGUCAUCGCUUCUUCAUAGUUCGAAGGUUCACCGUUGUCUAACAACAUGAUUUCCAGGACAGGGUUGCCAUACCACUCUGGUGUGGAACGUGUCCUUGUGGACCUACGAAGUUCAGUAGCAACUUGAUCCGAAGUAACUUGAUCAUCAUCAUUAAUUUCCUCUCCAGUCGGUGCAGGCAACAUAGGAACAUUUUCCUGAGCUGCACUACUUUCCGGUUCAAGAGGUAGUACUUCAUCGAGUUCUACUUUCCUCCCACUUACUCCUUUCGAGAGAAACUCUUUUUCCAGAAAGGAUCCGUUCUUGGCAACAAAGAUCUUGCCUUCGGAUCUAAAGAAGAAGGUAUACCCAAUGGUUUCCUUAGGGUAUCCUAUGAAGACGCAUUUUUCCGACUUGGGUUCGAGCUUUUCAGGUUGAAGUUUCUUGACAUAAGCAUCGCAUCCCCAAACUUUUAGAAACGACAACUUAGGUUUCUUCCCAAACCAUAAUUCAUAUGGUGUCGUCUCAAAGGAUUUAGACGGAGCCCUAUUUAAAGUGAAUGUAGCUGUCUCUAGAGCGUAUCCCCAAAAUGAUAGAGGUAAAUCGGUAAGAGACAUCAUAGAUCGCACCAUAUCCAAUAGAGUGCAAUUACGACGUUCGUACACACCGUUACGUUGAGGUGUUCCAGGCAGCCUGAGUUGUGAAACGAUUCCACAUUUCCUUAAGUGCAUACCAAAUUCAUGACUUAAAUAUUCUCCUCCACGAUCUGAUCGCAAGAACUUUAUCUUUCGGUCAGGUUGAUUCUCUACCUCAUUCUGAAAUUCCUUGAACUUUUCAAAGGUCUCAGACUUGUGUUUCAUCAAGUAGACAUACCCAUAUCUACUUAAGUCAUCAGUGAGAGUGAGAACAUAACAAUAUCCUCCACGAGCCUCACGCUCAUUGGACCGCACACAUCAGUAUGUAUGAUUUCCAAUAAGUUGGUUGCUCGCUCCAUUGUUCCGAAGAAAGGAGUCUUGGUCAUUUUGCCCAUAAGGCAUGGUUCGCAUGUGUCAAAUGAUUCAUAAAAGAGAGACUCUAAAAGUCCAUCAGCAUGGAGCUUCUUCAAGCGCUUGACACCAAUGUGACCAAGGCGGCAGUGCCACAAGUAUGUGGGACUAUCGUUAUCAACUUUACAUCUUUUGGUAUUCACACUACGAAUAUGUGUAACAUCACGUUCGAGAUUCAUUAAGAAUAAACCAUUGACCAUCGGGGCAUGACCAUAAAACAUAUCUCUCAUAUAAAUAGGACAACCAUUAUUCUAGGAUUUAAAUGAGUAGCCAUCUCAUAUUAAACGAGAUCCAGAUACAAUAUUCAUGCUCAAACUUGGCACUAAAUAACAAUUAUUAAGGUUUAAAACUAAUCCCGUAGGUAAAUGUAGAGGUAGCGUGCCGACGGCGAUCACAUCGACCUUGGAACCAUUCCCGACACGCGUCGUCACCUCGUCCUUCGCCAGUCUCCGCUUAUUCCGCAGCUCCAGCUUUGAGUUACAAAUAUGAGCAACGGCACCGGUAUCAAAUACCCAGGAGCUACUACGAGCACUGGUAAGGUAUACAUCAAUUACAUGUAUAUCACAUAUACCUUUAGUGUUGCCGGCCUUCUUGUCCGCUAAGUAUUUGGGGCAGUUCCGCUUCCAGUGACCCUUCCCUUUGCAAUAAAAGCAUUCUAUUUUAGGCUUGGGUCCAUUCUUUGACUUCUUCCCGGCAACUGGCUUACCGAGCGCGGCAACAUCCUUGCCGACCUUCUUGAAGUUCUUUUACCCUUGCCUUUCUUGAACUUAGUGGUUUUAUUGACCAUCAACACUUGAUGUUCAUUUUUGAUUUAUACCUUUGCUGACUUCAGCAUUGAAAAUACUUCAGGAAUAGUUUUCACCAUCCCCAACAUAUUCUAGUUCAUCACAAAGCUCUUGUAGCUCGGUGGGAGCGACUGAAGGAUUCUUUCAAUGACCGCCUCGUCCGGGAGGUUAAUGUCCAGCUGGGACAGGCGGUUGUGCAACCCAGACAUUUUGAGUAUGUGCUCACUGACAGAACUAUUUUCCUCCAUCUUACAACUAUAGAACUUGUCGGAGACUUCAUAUCUCUUGACCCGGGCAUGAGCUUGGAAAACCAUUUUCAGCUCCUCGAACAUCUCAUAUGCUCCGUCUUGCUCAAAACGUUUUUGGAGCCCCGGUUCUAAGAUGUAAAGCAUGCUGCACUAAACGAGGGAGUAAUCAUCAGCACGUGACUGCCAAGCGUUCAUAACGUCUUGGUUCUCUGGGAUGGGUGCUUCACCUGGCGGUCCUUGUAGGACAUAUGCUUUCUUGGCAGCUAUGAGGAUGAUCCUCAGGUUCCGGACCCAGUCCGUAUAGUUGCUGCCAUCAUCUUUUAGCUUGGUUUUCUCUAGGAACGCGUUGAAGUUCAUGUUGACAUGAGUGUUGGCCAUUUGAUCUACAAGACAUUUUUGCAAAGGUUUUAGACUAAGUUCAUGAUAAUUAAGUUCAUCUAAUCAAAUUAUUUAAUGAACUCCCACUUAGAUUAGACAUCCCUCUAGUCAUCUAAGUGUUACAUGAUCCGAGUCGACUAGGCCGUGUCCGAUCAUCACGUGAGAUAGACUAGCAUCAUCGGUUAACAUCUCCAUGUUGAUCAUAUCUUCCAUACGACUCAUGUUCGACCUUUCGGUCUCUGUGUUCCGAGGCCAUGUCUGUACAUGUUAGGCUCAUCAAGUUAAUUAAAGUGUUUUGCAUGUGUAAAUCUGUCUUACACCCAUUGUAUGUGAAUGUUAGGAUCUAUCACACCCGAUCAUCACGUGGUGCUUCGAAACAAUGAACUGUCACAACGGCGCACAGUUAGGGGGGACACUUUCUUGAAAUUAUUAUGAGGGAUCAUCUUAUUUACUACCGUCGUUCUAAGUAAACAAGAUGCAAAAAUAUGAUAAACAUCACAUGCAAUCAAAUAAUAGUGACAUGAUAUGGCCAAUAUCAUAUAGCUCCUUUGAUCUCCAUCUUCGGGGCUUCAUGAUCAUCUUCGUCACCGGCAUGACAACAUGAUCUCUAUCAUCAUGAUCUCCAUCAUCGUGUCUCCAUGAAGUUGCUCGCCAACUAUUACUUCUACUACUAUGGCUAACGGUUUAGCAAUAAAGUAAAGUAAUUACAUGGCGUUAAAUCAUUGACACGCAGGUCAUACAAUAAUUAAGACAACUCCUAUGGCUUCUACCGGUUUUCAUACUCAUCGACAUGCAAGUCGUGAUUCCUAUUACAAGAACAUGAUCUCAUACAUCACAAUAUAUCAUUCAUCAUUCAUCACAACUUUUGGCCAUAUCACAUCACCAAGCAAUUGCUGCAAAAACAAGUUAGACGUCCUCUAAUUGUUGUUGCAUCUUUUACGUGGCUGCAAUAGGGUUCUAGCAAGAACGUUUUCUUACCUACGAAAAAGCCACAACGUGAUUUGUCAACUUCUAUUUACCCUUCAUAAGGACCCUUUUCAUCGAAUCCGCUCCAACUAAAGUGGGAGAGAUAGACACCCGCUAGCCACCUUAUGCAACUAGUGCAUGUCAGUCGGUGGAACCUGUCUCAGGUAAGCGUACGUGUAAGGUCAGUUCGGGCCGCUUCAUCCCACAAUACCGCUGACGCAAAAUAAGACUAGUAGUGGCAAGAAAGUUGACAACAUCUACACCCACAACAGAUUUGUGUUCUACUCGUGCAAAGAGAACUACUGAUAGACCUAGCUCAUGAUGCCACUGUUGGGGAACGUUGAUGAAAAUAAAAAAUUUCCACGGUUUUCACCAAGAUCAAUCUAUGAGUUCAUCUAGCAACGAGAGAGAGGAGUGCAUCUACAUACCCUUGUAGAUCGAGCGGAAGCGUUCAAGAGAACGGGGUUGAGGGAGUCGUACUCGUCGUGAUCCAAAUCACCGGAGAUCCUAGCGCCGAACGGACGGCACCUCCGCGUUCAACACACGUACGGUCAGCGUGACGUCUCCUCCUUCUUGAUCCANNNNNNNNNNNNNNNNNNNNNNNNNNNNNNNNNNNNNNNNNNNNNNNNNNNNNNNNNNNNNNNNNNNNNNNNNNNNNNNNNNNNNNNNNNNNNNNNNNNNNNNNNNNNNNNNNNNNNNNNNNNNNNNNNNNNNNNNNNNNNNNNNNNNNNNNNNNNNNNNNNNNNNNNNNNNNNNNNNNNNNNNNNNNNNNNNNNNNNNNNNNNNNNNNNNNNNNNNNNNNNNNNNNNNNNNNNNNNNNNNNNNNNNNNNNNNNNNNNNNNNNNNNNNNNNNNNNNNNNNNNNNNNNNNNNNNNNNNNNNNNNNNNNNNNNNNNNNNNNUCUCCUCUUUCUUGAUCCAGCAAGGGGGGAGGAGAGGUUGAUGAGGAUCCAGCAGCACGACGGCGUGGUGGUGGAUGCAGCAGGGAUCCCGGCAGGGCUUCGCCAAGCGUCUGCGAGGGGGGGGGGGAAGGUGUAGCAAGGGGGAAGGGAGGCGCCAAGUGCAAGGGUGCGGCUGCCCUCCCUCCCCCCUCUUUAUAUAGGGACCCCAGGAGGGGCGGCGGCCCUAGGAGAUGGGAUCUCCUAGGGAGGUGGGGCGGCCAAGGGGGGGUGCCUUGCCCCCCAAGGCAAGUGGAGGCGCCCCCUCCCCUAGGGUUCCCAACCCUAGGCGCAGGGGGGCCCAAGGGGGGUGUUGGAAAUAUGCCGUAGAGGCAAUAAUAAAAGGAUUAUUAUUAUAUUUCCUUGUUCAUGAUAAUUGUCUUUUAUUCAUGCUAUAAUUGUAUUAUCCGGAAAUCGUAAUACACGUGUGAAUACUUAGACCACACCAUGUCCCUAGUGAGCCUCUAGUUGACUAGCUCGUUGAUCAACAGAUAGUCAUGGUUUCCUGACUAUGGACAUUGGAUGUCAUUGAUAACGGGAUCACAUCAUUAGGAGAAUGAUGUGAUGGACAAGACCCAAUUCUAAGCAUAGCACAAAGAUCGUGUAGUUCGUUUGCUAGAGCUUUUCCAAUGUCAAGUAUCUUUUCCUUAGACCAUGAGAUCGUGUAACCCCCGGAUACUGUAGGAGUGCUUUGGGUGUACCAAACGUCACAACGUAACUGGGUGACUAUAAAGGUGCACUACAGGUAUCUCCGAAAGUGUCUGUUGGGUUGACACGGAUCGAGACUGGGAUUUGUCACUCCAUAUGACGGAGAGGUAUCUCUGGGCCCACUCGGUAAUGCAUCAUCAUAAUGAGCUCAAAGUGACCAAGUGUCUGGUCACGGGAUCAUGCAUUAUGGUACGAGUAAAGUGACUUGCCGGUAACGAUAUUGAACGAGGUAUUGGGAUACCGACUAUCGAAUCUCGGGCAAGUAACGUACCGAUUGACAAAGGGAAUUGUAUACGGGGUUGCUUAAAUCCUCGACAUCGUGGUUCAUCCCAUGAGAUCAUCGAGGUGCAUGUCGGAGCCAACAUGGGUAUCCAGAUCCCGUUGUUGGUUAUUGACCGGAGAGCCGUCUCAGUCAUGUGUGCAUGUCUCCCGAACCCAUAAGGUCUACACACUUAAGGUUCAGUGAUGCUAGGGUUGUUUGAAUAUGAGUAUGCAGCAAACUAAAAGUUGUUCGGAGUCCCGGAUGAGAUCCCGGACAUCACGAGGAGUUCCAGAAUGGUCCGGAGGUAAAGAAUUAUAUAUGGGAAGUCGAGUUUCGUCCAUCGGGAAAGUUUCGGGGGUCACCGGUAUUGUACAGGGACCACCAGAAGGGUCCCGGGGGUCCACCAGGUGGGGCCACCCAUCCCGGAGGGCCCCAUGGGCUGAAGUGGGAGGGGAACCAGCCCCUGGUGGGCUGGUGCGCCCCCCCCCCUGGGCCCCCCUCUGCGCCUAGGGUUGGGAACCCUAGGGGAGGGGGCGCCUCCACUUGCCUUGGGGGGCACUCCAACCCCCUGGCCGCCGCCCUCCUUGGGAGAUCCCAUCUCCAGGGACGCCCCCCCUGGGGUCCCUAUAUAAAGAGGGGGGGUGGGAGGGCAGCCACAGCCCUAACCUCUGGCGCCUCCUUACCCCCUUGCUACACCUCCUCCUCCCGUAGUCACUUGACGAAGCCCUGCCGAAACUCUGCUGCAUCCACCACCAUGCCGUCAUGCUGCUGGAUCUUCAUCAACCUCUCCUUCCCCCUUGCUGGAUCAAGAAAGAGGAGACGUCACGCUGACCGUACGUGUGUUGAACGCGGAGGUGCCGUCCGUUCGGCGCUAGGAUCUCCGGUGAUUUGGAUCACGACGAGUAUGACUCCCUCAACCCCGUUCUCUUGAACGCUUCCGCUCGCGAUCUACAAGGGUAUGUAGAUGCACUCCUCUCUCUCGUUGCUAGGUGAACUCAUAGAUUGAUCUUGGUGAACAUAGGAAAAUUUUUAUUUUAUGCAACGUUCCCCAACAAUGGCAUCAUGAGCUAGGUCUAUGCGUAGUUCUCUAUUGCACGAGUAGAACACAAAUCUGUUGUGGGCGUAGAUGUUGUCAACUUUCUUGCCACUACUCGUCUUAUUUUGCUUCAGCGGUAUUGUGGGAUGAAGCGGCCCGGACCGACCUUACACGCACGCUUACGUGAGACAGGUUCCAUCGACUGACAUGCACUAGUUGCAUAAGGUGGUUAGCGGGUGUCUGUCUCUCCCACUUUAGUUGGAGCGGAUUCGGUGAAAAGGGUCCUUAUGAAGGGUAAAUAGAAGUUGACAAAUCACGUUGUGGUUUUUCGUAGGUAAGAAAACGUUCUUGCUAGAACCCUAUUGCAGCCACGUAAAAGAUGCAACAACAAUUAGAGGACGUCUAACUUGUUUUUGGAGCAAUUGCUUUGUGAUGUGAUAUGGCCAAAAGUUGUGAUGAAUGAUGAAUGAUAUAUUGUGAUGUAUGAGAUCAUGUUCUUGUAAUAGGAAUCACGACCUGCAUGUCGAUGAGUAUGACAACCGGCAGGAGCCAUAUCAGUUGUCUUAAUUAUUGUAUGACCUGCGUGUCAAUGAUUCAACGCCAUGUAAUUACUUUACUUUAUUGCUAAACCGUUAGCCAUAGUAGUAGAAGUAAUAAUUGGCGCGCAACUUCAUGGAGACACAAUGAUGGAGAUCAUGAUGAUGGAGAUCACGGUGUCAUGCCGGUGACGAAGCUGAUCAUGGAGCCCCGAAGAUGGAGAUCAAAGGAGCUAUAUGAUAUUGGCCAUAUCAUGUCACUACUAUAUAAUUGCAUGUGAUGUUUAUUAUGUUUAUGCAUCUUGUUUACUUAGAACGACGGUAGUAAAUAAGAUGAUCCCUUAUAAUAAUUUCAAGAAAGUGUUCCCCCUAACUAUGCGCCAUUGCUAAAGUUCAUCCUUUUUGAAGAACCACGUGAUGAUCGUGUGUGAUAGAUUCUUACGUUCUCAUACAACAGGUGUAAGACAGUUUUACACAUGCUAAACACUUAGGUUAACUUGACGAGCCUAGCAUGUACAUACAUGGCCACGGAACACAGAGACCGAAAGGUCGCACAUGAGUCGUAUGGAAGAUACGAUCAACAUGGAGAUGUUAACCGAUGAUGACUAGUCCGUCUCACGUGAUGAUCGGACACGGCCUAGUCGACUCGGAUCAUGUAACACUUAGAUGACUAGAGGGAUGUCAAAUCUGAGUUGGAGUUCAUUAAAUAAUUUGAUUAGAUGAACUUAAUUAUUGUGAACUUAGUCUAAAAUCUUUGCAAAAUAUGUCUUGUAGAUCAAAUGGCCAACGCUCAUGUCAACAUGAACUUCAACGCGUUCCUAGAGAAAACCAAGCUGAAAGAUGAUGGCAACAACUAUACGGACUGGGUCCGGAACCUGAGGAUCAUCCUCAUAGCUGCCAAGAAAGCAUAUGUCCUAGAAGGACCGCUAGGUGAAGCACCCAUCCCAGAGAACCAAGACGCUAUGAACGCUUGGCAGUCACGUGCUGAUGAUUACUCCCUCGUUCAGUGCGGCAUGCUUUACAACUUAGAACCGGGGCUCCAAAAGCGUUUUGAGCAACACGGAGCAUAUGAGAUGUUCGAGGAGCCGAAAAUGGGUUUCCAAGCUCAUGCCCGGGUCGAGAGAUAUGAAGUCUCCGACAAGUUCUAUAGUUGUAAGAUGGAGGAAAAUAGUUCUGUCAGUGAGCACAUACUCAAAAUGUCUGGGUUGCACAAUAGCCUGUCCCAGCUGGACAUUAACCUCCCGGACAAGGCGAUCAUUGACAGAAUCCUUCAGUCGCUCCCACCGAGCUACAAGAGCUUUGUGAUGAACUACAAUAUGCAGGGGAUGGAGAAAACCAUUCCUGAAGUAUUUUCAAUGCUGAAGUCGGCGGAGGUAGAGAUCAAGAAAGAACAUCAAGUGUUGAUGGUCAAUAAAACAACCAAGUUCAAGAAGGGCAAGGGUACGAAGAACUUCAAGAAGGACGGCAAGGAUGUUGCCGCGCAAAGCCAUUUACCGGGAAGAAGUCAAAGAAUGGACCCAAGCCUGAGACUGAGUGCUUUUAUUGCAAAGGGAAGGGUCACUGGAAGCGGAACUGCCCCAAAUACUUAGCGGACAAGAAGGCCGGCAACACUAAAGGUAUAUUUGAUAUACAUGUAAUUGAUGUGUACCUUACCAGUACUCAUAGUAACUCCUGGGUAUUUGAUACCGGUGCCGUUGCUCAUAUUUGUAACUCACAGCAGGAGCUGCGGAAUAAGCGGAGACUAGCGAAGGACGAGGUGACGAUGCGCGUCGGGAAUGGUUCCAAGGUCGAUGUGAUCGCCGUCGGCACGCUACCUCUACAUUUACCUACGGGAUUAGUUUUAAACCUCAAUAAUUGUUAUUUAGUGCCAAGUUUGAGCAUGAACAUUGUAUCUGGAUCUCGUUUAACGCGAGAUGGCUACUCAUUUAAAUCCGAGAAUAAUGGUUGUUCUAUUUAUAUGAGAGAUAUGUUUUAUGGUCAAGCCCCGAUGGCAAUGGUUAAUUCUUAAUGAAUCUCGAACGUAAUGUUACACAUAUUCAUAGUGUGAAUACCAAAAGAUGUAAAGUUGAUAACGAUAGUCCCACAUACUUGUGGCACUGCCGCCUUGGUCACAUUGGUGUCAAGCGCAUGAAGAAGCUCCAUGCUGAUGGACUUUUAGAGUCUCUCAAUUAUGAAUCAUUUGACACAUGCGAACCAUGCCUCAUGGGCAAAAUGACCAAGACUCCGUUCUCCGGAACAAUGGAGCGAGCAACCAACUUAUUGGAAAUCAUACAUACUGAUGUGUGUGGUCCAAUGAGCGUUGAGGCUCGCGGAGGAUGCCAUUAUGUUGUCACUCUCACUGAUGACUUAAGUAGAUAUGGGUAUGUAUACUUGAUGAAACACAAGUCUGAGACCUUUGAAAAGUUCAAGGAAUUUCAGAAUGAAGUAGAGAAUCAACAUGAUCAAAAAAUAAAGUUCUUACGAUCAGAUCGUGGAGGAGAAUAUUUAAGUCACGAAUUUGGUACGCACUUAAAAAAUGUGGAAUCGUUUCACAACUCACGCCGCCUGGAACACCUCAGCGUAAUGGUGUGUCCGAACGUCGUAAUCGCACUCUAUUGGAUAUGGUGUGAUCUAUGAUGUCUCUUACCGAUUUACCGCUAUCAUUUUGGGGAUACGCUCUAGAGACAGCUACAUUCACUUUAAAUAGGGCUCCGUCUAAAUCCGUUGAGACGACACCAUAUGAAUUAUGGUUUGGGAAGAAACCUAAGCUGUCGUUCUAAAAGUUUGGGGAUGCGAUGCUUAUGUCAAGAAACUUCAACCUGAAAAGCUCGAACCCAAGUCGGAAAAAUGCGUCUUCAUAGGAUACCCUAAGCAAACCAUUGGGUAUACUUUCUACCUUAGAUCCGAAGGCAAGAUCUUUGUUGCCAAGAAUGGAUCCUUUCUGGAAAAAGAGUUUCUCUCGAAAGGAGUAAGUGGGAGGAAAGUAGAACUCGAUGAAGUACUACCUCUUGAACCGGAAAGUAGUGCAGCUCAGGAAAAUGUUCCUGUGGUGCCUACACCAACUGGAGAGGAAAUUAAUGAUGAUGAUCAAGGUACUUUGGAUCAAGUUGCUAUUGAACUUCGUAGGUCCACAAGGACACGUUCCACACCAGAGUGGUAUGGCAACCCUGUCCUGGAAAUCAUGUUGUUAGACAACGGUGAACCUUCGAACUAUGAAGAAGCGAUGGCGGGCCCAGAUUCCAACAAAUGGCUUGAAGCCAUGCAAUCCGAGAUAGAAUCCAGGUAUGAAAACAAAGUAUGGACUUUGACAGACUUGCCCGAUGAUCGGCGAGCGAUAGAAAACAAAUGGAUCUUUAAGAAGAAGACGGACGCGGAUGGCAAUGUUACCAUCUAUAAAGCUCGACUUGUCACUAAGGGUUAUCGGCAAGUUCAAGGGGUUGACUACGUUGAGACUUUCUGUCCCGUAGCGAAGCUGAAGUCCGUCCGAAUCAUGUUAGCAAUUGCCGCAUACUAUGAUUAUGAGAUAUGGCAGAUGGACGUCAAACGGCAUUCCUUAACGGCUAUCUUAAGGAAGAACUGUAUAUGAUGCAGCCGGAAGGUUUUGUCGAUCCUAAGAAUGCUAACAAGGUAUGCAAGCUCCAGCGAUCCAUUUAUGGGCUGGUGCAAGCAUCUCGGAGUUGGAACAUUCGCUUUGAUAAGAUGAUCAAAGCGUUUGGGUUUAUGCAGACUUAUGGAGAAGCCUGUGUUUUCAAGAAAGUGAGUGGGAGCUCUGUAGCAUUUCUCAUAUUAUAUGUAGAUGACAUACUUUUGAUGGGAAAUGAUAUAGAACUUUUGGACAACAUUAAGGCCUACUUGAAUAAGUGUGUUUCAACGAAGGACCUUGGAGAAGCUGCUUACAUAUUAGGCAUCAAGAUCUGUAGGGAUAGAUCGAGACGCCUCAUAGGUCUUUCACAAAGCACAUACCUUGAUAAGAUUUUGAAGAAGUUCAAAAUGGAUCAGUCCAAGAAAGGGUUCUUGCCUGUAUUGCAAGAUGUGAGAUUGAGCUCGGCUCAAUGCAUGACCACGGCAAAAGAUAAAGAAGAGAUGAGUGUCAUCCCCUAUGCCUCAGCCAUAGGAUCUAUUAUGUAUGCCAUGCUGUGUACCAAACCUGAUGUAAACCUUGCCGUAAGUUUGGUAGGAAGGUACCAAAGUAAUCCCGGCAAGGAGCACUAGACAGCGGUCAAGAAUAUCCUGAAGUACCUAAAAAGGACAAAGGACAUGUUUCUCGUUUAUGGAGGUGACGAAGAGCUCGUCGUAAAGGGCUACGUCGAUGCUAGCUUCGACACAGAUCUGGAUGACUCUAAGUCACAAACCGGAUACAUGUAUAUGUUGAAUCGUGGAGCAGUGAGCUGGUGCAGUUGCAAGCAGAGCGUCGUGGCGGGAUCUACAUGUGAAGCGGAGUACAUGGCAGCCUCGGAGGCAGCGCAUGAAGCAAUAUGGAUGAAGGAGUUCAUCACCGACCUAGGAGUCAUACCCAAUGCGUCGGGGCCAAUCACUCUAUUCUGUGACAACACUAGAGCUAUUGCCCUUGUCAAGGAGCCCAAGUUUCACAAGAAGACCAGGCACAAUAAGCGUCACUUCAACUCCAUUCGUGAAAAUUUUCAAGAUGGAGACAUAGAUAUUUACAAAGUACAUACAGAUCUGAAUGUCGCAGAUCCGUUGACGAAACCUCUUCCGCGAGCAAAACAUGAUCAACACCAGAACUCUAUGGGUGUUCGAUUCAUCACAAUGUAACUAGAUUAUUGACUCUAGUGCAAGUGGGAGACUGUUGGAAAUAUGCCCUAGAGGCAAUAAUAAAAGGAUUAUUAUUAUAUUUCCUUGUUCAUGAUAAUUGUCUUUUAUUCAUGCUAUAAUUGUAUUAUCCGAAAAUCGUAAGACACGUGUGAAUACAUAGACCAACACAUGUCCCUAGUGAGCCUCUAGUUGACUAGCUCGUUGAUCAACAGAUAGUCAUGGUUUCCUGACUAUGGACAUUGGAUGUCAUUGAUAACGGGAUCACAUCAUUAGGAGAAUGAUGUGAUGGACAAGACCCAAUCCUAAGCAUAGCACAAAGAUCGUGUAGUUCGUUUGCUAGAGCUUUUCCAAUGUCUAGUAUCUUUUCCUUAGACCAUGAGAUCGUGUAACUCCCAGAUACCGUAGGAGUGCUUUGGGUGUACCAAACGUCACAACAUAACUGGGUGACUAUAAAGGUGCACUAUAGGUAUCUCUGAAAGUGUCUGUUUGGUUGACACGGAUCGAGACUGGGAUUUGUCACUCCGUAUGACGGAGAGGUAUCUCUAGGCCCACUCGGUAAUGCAUCAUCAUAAUGAGCUCAAAGUGACCAAGUGUCUGGUCACGGGAUCAUGCAUUACGGUACGAGUAAAGUGACUUGCCGGUAACGAGAUUGAACGAGGUAUUGGGAUACCGAUGAUCGAAUCUCGGGCAAGUAACGUACCGAUUGACAAAGGGAAUUGUAUACGGGGUUGCUUAAAUCCUCGACAUCGUGGUUCAUCCGAUGAGAUCAUCGAGGAGCAUGUGGGAGCCAACAUGGGUAUCCAGAUCCCGCUGUUGGUUAUUGACCGGAGAGCCGUCUCGGUCAUGUCUGCAUGUCUCCCGAACCCGUAGGGUCUACACACUUAAGGUUGGAUAACGCUAGGGUUCUUUGAAUAUGAGUAUGCAGCAAACCGAAAGUUGUUCGGAGUCCCGGAUGAGAUCUCGGAUGUCAUGAGGAGUUCCGGAAUGGUCCGGCGGUAAAUAAUUAUAUAUGGGAAGUCGAGUUUCGGCCAUCGGGAAAGUUUCGGGGGUCACCGGUAUUGUACCGGGACCACCGGAAGGGUCCCGGGGGUCCACCGGGUGGGGCCACCCAUCCUAGAGGGCCCCAUGGGCUGAAGUGGGAGGGGAACCAGCCCCUNNNNNNNNNNNNNNNNNNNNNNNNNNNNNNNNNNNNNNNNNNNNNNNNNNNNNNNNNNNNNNNNNNNNNNNNNNNNNNNNNNNNNNNNNNNNNNNNNNNNNNNNNNNNNNNNNNNNNNNNNNNNNNNNNNNNNNNNNNNNNNNNNNNNNNNNNNNNNNNNNNNNNNNNNNNNNNNNNNNNNNNNNNNNNNNNNNNNNNNNNNNNNNNNNNNNNNNNNNNNNNNNNNNNNNNNNNNNNNNNNNNNNNNNNNNNNNNNNNNNNNCUGCGCCUAGGGUUGGGAACCCUAGGGGAGGGGGCACCUCCACUUGCCUUGGGGGGCACUCCAACCCCCUGGCCGCCGCCCCCCUUGGGAGAUCCCAUCUCUAGGGCCGGCGCCCCCUGGGGUCCCUAUGUAAAGAGGGGGGGUGGGAGGGCAGCUGCACCCCUGACCUCUGGCGCCUUCUUACCCCCUUGCUAUACCUCCUCCUCCCGUAGUCGCUUGGCGACGCCCUGCCGGAACCCUGCUGCAUCCACCACCAUGCCGUUGUGCUGCUGGAUCUUCAUCAACCUCUCCUUCCCCCUUGCUGGAUAAAGAAGGAGGAGACGUCACGCUGACCGUACGUGUGUUGAACGUGGAGGUGCCGUCCGUUCGGCGCUAGGAUCUCUGAUGAUUUGGAUCACGACGAGUACGACUCCCUCAACCCCGUUCUCUUGAACGCUUCCGCUCGCGAUCUACAAGGGUAUGUAGAUGCACUCCUCUCUCUCGUUGCUAGAUGAACUCAUAGAUUGAUCUUGGUGAAUGUAGGAAUUUUUUUAUUUUAUGCAACGUUUCCCAACAGGGGGGGGGCGCACCAGCCCACCAGGGGCUGGUUCCCCUCCCACUUUAGCCCAUGGGGCCCUCCGGGAUGGGUGGCCCCACCCGGUGGACCCUCGGGACCCUUCCGGUGGUCCCGGUACAAUAUCAGUGACCCCCGAAACUUUCCCGAUGGCCAAAACUCGACUUCCCGUAUAUAAUUCUUUACCUCCGGACCAUUUUGGAACUCCUCGUGACGUCCGGGAUCUCAUCCGGGACUCCAAACAACUUUCGGUUUGCUGCAUACAAAUAUCUCUACAACCCUAGCGUCACCGAACCUUAAGUUUGUAGACCCUACGGGUUCGGGAGAUACAUAGACAUGACCGAGACGGCUCUUCGGUCAAUAACCAACAGCGGGAUCUGGAUACCCAUGUUGGCUCCCACAUGCUCCUCGAUGAUCUCAUCGGAUGAACCAUGAUGUCGAGAAUUCAAGCAACCCCGUAUACAAUUCCCUUUGUCAAUCGGUAUGUUACUUGCCCGAGAUUCGAUCGUCGGUAUCCCAAUACCUCGUUCGAUCUCGUUACCGGCAAGUCACUUUACUCGUACCGUAAUGCAUGAUCUAGUGACCAGACACUUGGUCACUUUGAGCUCAUUAUGAUGAUGCAUUACCGAGUGGGCCCAGAGAUACCUCUCUGUCAUACGGAAUGACAAAUCCCAGUCUCGAUCCGUGUCAACCCAACAGACACUUUCGGAGAUACCUGUAGUAUACCUUUAUAGUCACCCAGUUACGUUGUGACGUUUGGUACACCCACAGCACUCCUACGGUGUCCGGGAGUUACACGAUCUCAUGGUCUAAGGAAAAGAUACUUGACAUUGGAAAAGCUCUAGCAAAUGAACUACACGAUCUUGUGCUAUGCUUAGGAUUGGGUCUUGUCCAUCACAUCAUUCUCCUAAUGAUGUGAUCUCAUUAUCAAUGGCAUCCAAUGUCCAUAGUCAGGAAACCAUGACUAUCUGUUGAUCAACGAGCUAGUCAACUAGAGGCUCACUAGGGACAUAUUGUGGUCUAUGUAUUCACACGUGCAUUACGAUUUCCGGAUAAUACAAUUAUAGCAUGAAUAAAAGACAAUUAUCAUGAACAAGGAAAUAUAAUAAUAAUCCUUUUAUUAUUGCCUCUAGGGCAUAUUUCCAACAAUAUGCAAAUUCCUCAAUAGUGUUUGCUCAUGUUUAUCUACUGUUGUAGUUGCUCAUGUACAUGUUCUUGAGUGGUCCUGUUAUAUGCAACAUUGAAGUGGUUCAAUUGUGCCCAAGUGGCCUUUUGUUGUUUCCAGGGAAUGAAGCCGAGUGGCCUAUGUGUUGCCGGAAUGUUGAUUCAUUUCCAUUCCAGCAAAUUUUAGGUGCUCGAUUUGUCCACUUUUAUAGCAAAGCUCGUGCCAAAAUUUUCCUUGAAUUUCGGCAUGACUUGUGCUACAAACUAGGACAUAUCGAGUGCCCGGGAUUUACCGCACCAGAAAUGAAUCAACAUCCCUUCAAAAUACAGGCCUUUUUUAUGUCAUUAUUCAUUUUAUUAGGUCUAGAAUUAAUUGACUAGAUUUAAUUGUAGGAAACAUGGCUAGCAACGGUGUUUGCAACGUCUACGAGGUGGCAGACGUUUAUUUGAACCUUCUCGACGAGCAACGGUUGUUGCAUGGCCCACUUGUCACAUCCGAGACUGAGACCGACAUCGGGACUGGUAUCGAGACUGGCGCUGAGACCCAGACCCGCACGAAGACUGGUGAAGCCGGUACAGAACCAAAACCAAAGAGGCAACGGCGCCCAAACCAGCUCAUCACUAAUAGACUGGUGGUCACGGUGGUGGACGAUGACAAUUUUGAGCCAAAAGAGCCUACGGAAGCGCACGCGUGCUAUGGCAAUCAAAUAGGCUGCAUCCUAUGAGCAAGCGCCACCAACAACGAUGAGAAACUAAAGAAUAUACCAGAUAUGAAGCAGUCCCUCCGAACUAAGCUGCACUAGGUAUUCUUGUUACCGGGCCGGGAUGAAAUCAAAUAUACUAAUCCAGAUAAAGACCCGACAAUGAAGAAGAUAACAAACGCGCCAUGAGCAAUUUUAGUAGUGCAUUGUCCGCCUGAAAGUAAGGGUGAAACAUAAGAUCAUCGACAAAAAAGAACCCUACUCCUAGAUUGUAAAUGAUAAUCCGACAAUUACGGAAGAGCAGUUUGAAAUAUUCAAGGCGACUUGUGUUGAAGAAGCUGCCAAAGAAAAGUCGGAGUACAUGAAGGGGCUCCAAGAGAGGAACAUGGGGUGCCACCACCUCGAAAGUCGUGGUUACGCGGGAAGAGGUCCAUAUUGGCCAAGGAGGACGCAAAACGCGAAAGUCUGGGCAUCCCAGACCCCUUGGCGGUGUUCACUGUCCAGCAGGAGCAUAAUGUCAUCAGGGCCCAGUACCCUUGGGACCUAGUCAAGAAGGUUUUUGAGAUGUACGCGAUCACAAGGAGUUCAUGAGACUGCUGGUAAUUUUUAAUUUACCCCCUAAUUUUAGCUUCUGAUCAAUUCGACUGCACAUUUAGUCAUAUAUUUAUACGAUUCUUGUUCCUUUUGCAAAAAGAGCAGCACAUAAUUGCGGCCGAAAGCGGCUCGUCGUCUGAGGCAUUGCGAGGCCUGUCGGUGUCAAAACCGGCGGAUCUCGGGUAGGGGGUCCCGAACUGUGCGUCUAGGCGGAUGGUAACAGGAGACAAGGGGCACGAUGUUUUACCCAGGUUCGGGCCCUCUUGAUGGAGGUAAAACCCUACGUCCUGCUUGAUUAAUAUUGAUGAUGUGUGUUACAAGAGUGGAUCUACCAUGAGAUCAAGGAGGCUAAACCCUAGAGGCUAGCCUAUGGUAUGAUUGUUGUUCGUCCUACGGACUAAAGCCAUCCGGUUUAUAUAGACACCGGAGAGGGCUAGGGUUACACAGAGUCGGUUACAAUGGUAGGAGAUCUACAUAUCCGUAUCGCCAAGCUUUCCUUCCAUGCCAAGGAAAGUCCCAUACGGACACGGGACGAAGUCUUCAAUCUUCUAUCUUCAUAGUCUUGGAGUCCGGCCGAUGAUGAUAGUUCGGCUAUCCGGACGCCCCCUAGUCCAGGACUCCCUCAUUAGCCCCCAAACCAGGCUUCAGCGACGACAAGUCCGGCACGUAUAUUGUCUUCGGCGUUACAAGGCGGGUUCUCCUUCAAACUUCAUGUUCCUGCCGAAUAGUGUCCGACUUCCUUAUAAAUGUUGCGCUCCUUGGCUUCUACGCCCAAUAAUGGCCUUCUUCCACGUGUUGUAUGAAUGCGAAAAGCUAGGGUAUUUUUACAUCUUACCCCCUAGCCGUGCGAACGAGCCGCCUAUAAGAGAUGUGAGGAUCUAGAUCCAACUCACACCAUCCUCCUUCCGCAAGUACUCAUCGAAGCGCCUCUGACAAAAAUCCAUUCUAUCAUGGAUAGUCGACGCGGCUCCUCCUCUCGCGCUCCCAGCCCUAAGCCAGGAGAUUGGGGGAGAUGCUCAGUUCCACACAGCGAGCUAGUGGCGCUCCAAACCGAGGGAUAUCUUCCCCCAGCCUUCAUGGUUCCGGUUCGAGCCGGACUGGCCACCUUCAGGGGUGGAAAGCAGGCGGAGAGCGUCCCCAACCCUUCCAAAGGAGAGCGGGUAUGCUUCGUCCCUUAUCUAAUAAGGGGACUCGGAUUUCCCAUACACCCGUUUCUCCGGGGGCUCCUGGAGUUCUACGGACUCCAGCUUCACCACCUCACACCUGCCUCCAUUUUGCACAUCGCGGGCUUUGUAGCCCGUUGCGAGCUGUUCUUGGGCAUCGAGCCCCACUUUGCACUGUGGAAGAGAUUGUUUUGCCUCGCACCCCGUUCUCAGGAGGGGUCGAUAUAUCAAGUGGGCGGAGCCGAAAUAUGGCGCAUCGCCGGGACCGGAUAUCUAUCUGGCACCCCGAAGAAGGCGUCCGAAGACUGGCCUUCGGAAUGGUUCUACAUGGAGGACGCCCCUCUGCCGGAUCCAGUUCGGAUCGGCCUCCCGGAGUUCAGCAAUGCUCCCUUGAAGAAACGCCUGAGUUGGCGCCCGCAGAGCCCUCAACGGGAGGAUGAUGGGAGCGUCCAUUAUCUGAUGGGCCGGAUUAGGUUACUGGCCCACUCUUGAUUGACCAUGAUCGGAAUCAUGGCCACGUGCAUUAUGCGAGGGGUGCAGCCGCUCCAAUAUAGGGGCCACCCUAUGUGGGAUUUCAAUGGGGAAGAUGACGCCACCCGUCAUGGCCGCAGAGGGCCGGGCUCGGCAGCCGAUCUGGUAAAGAUCCUAUCCGGCUUGUACAAGGGGGAGGAGGAGGACUUCCUCCGCACGAGUCCAUUGAAUGGAUUUUCCAUGAAUAACCCUCGGAGCUGGGUAAGUGGACGUUUAUCUACCCGAUCCAUACUUCCAAAGUCAAGUAUUUUACUUUAUGAUUUCGACGCAGGAGCUGCGCCAGGACAUGGAGGGCAUACAAAGCCUAACUCCACAGCCCAAGGAUCCGGAAUGAUCCCUUGAUCUGGCCUCCGAAGAGGAUCCGAACAUAAAGGUGGAGCUGAUUGAUGGGGUGUUCCAACAACUUAGCAUGGACAAUGCUCUAGUCGCCAUUACGGCUGACUACCCCGAUUAGUUUCCGGCCUCCCAGGUGACUACGACCGAGGUCUUGACACCAUCAUUUGAUCCAUGCUCAAUUCUGACCAUCCUAUACUGAUGGUGCAUCGUAGGAGGUGCCUUUCGAGCGGGAAGCCGAAGCCACGGCGGCUGACCAGCAAGGGUCAGUUCGGCCCAGCAGGCGGAAGAGGAGUGCGACGCGAACCGAAACAUCGCCGCAAUGGUACGACGCACCGCUGUUUUUAAGGGAAGGAUCCCUAGGAGGUAUAUUAAUGCUCAUAACUUUUCCAGGAGAAAGAGCGCUCGCCGGACAGUGUCCGGAGAGGUUGCCAAUCAAGCCUCCGCAAGCCAUGCUCCAACGCGUGGUCCAGAAGGGGAGGCGAAUACAAGGCAUGAGACGGAUGCUCCUCCGACGGAGGAUGCCGACAGGCUGUCCGCCACCCCGUCUGAGGUGGAGAGCGCCAUGAAUCACAGGCGUCGCCGGACAAUUCUUUGUGACGCGUGUUUCUCCCCGGAGGCAUUGAAUGCCUUUGAUGCGGGAGACGCGCACCUCCAUGCCGCUCAAGAUGGUUUAACCAGAGCCAUGGAGCAGUAUGUGAAGGACAUACGAGUAAGUAAUUUUAAUAGUUAUAUAUAUGCCAGUAGCCCCCGAGACUUAAAAUAGUUAAAAUAACUGAUUUAAGGAUCAUUUAUUAUGUAGGAUCUUACGGAGAAGAAUACCCACCUGUCCCAGGAGCUUCAAGAGUGCAAGGCCCAACUUGAGGCUGCACUGGCCGCCACAGGGGGAGCCACAAAGACCCUCGCUGGUAAUACGUACUUCGAAAAGAUAAGUAGUUAACAAAGUGCGGCGUGUGCGUAAAUCUAACAAUAAUAUUGCAGAGGGCGCCGGACUAGAUCCGGAAAAGCAACAGCUACUGCGUCAGCUGAAGGCCGGUGAGAGGGUGCUUAUGAAGGUGCAGCAGGAGAGGAACAAGCUCCAAGAUGCCCACACCCAGCUAGGAGAAGAGCUGAAAGAUGUUCGGGCCCAGCUGUCUGGCUCCGUGAAGGAGAAUCAGCGGCUUCGUCGCGGCAUUUAUAGUAAGUGCUUGAGCAAAUUCCAUUGAAAAGAAGAAUUUGGCGAGGAAGUCGAUUGACAGAAAUGUGUCUUUAGGUGUGCUCACAGGUCGCCCUGCGGAGGAAAUGCCCGGUUCAACGGGUGACCAACUUCCCAAGCUGGUGAAACUGUUCGAACGUGUUCGGCAGGCGAUGAGUGGUGUCGUUCAGGCCUUAUCGCCUUCCGUCUCCCUACCUGAGGGCCUUGGAGGGCUUGCUGAGAAGCUUCAGGGAGUACGGCGACGUCUCCGUCUGUGCAAGAUAUCAGCCUGCCGUCAAGGCGCCAGGGAGGCCUGGGCCAUGGUGAAGACGCGGUACCCGAAGGCUGACCCAAACCACAUGGCCGAGGUCGGACCUAUGGGGCCUGAUGGGAAGGAGAUCCCUAUGAGCUUGAUGUACGGCCAAAUAGAGCUGGCCGCGAAAUAUUCCCAACAGGACUGUAAAUUAGACAGCCUGUUAGAUGGGAUUGAAGAGGAGUACAAUUAGUCAGUUUGGCGAUGUAAUUUUAAAAUGACAUAUAGAAUGCCUUCUAGCCGGAUUGUAGAUCCUUUGUCUUUGCGGACCUUUUCGCUUCAACCUCGGGACCCAACAGUCCGGAGUGUGUCCGAAUACCCUUACGGUUAUAAAAGAACCGGGGCGUGCAUGGAGACAAGGCGUCGGGGUCAUAAUUGCUUUAUCAGACAAGUGCCCAACUAGCUAUGUUAUAUUGCAUGGUUAGUAAGAAACAUCUUCCAGGGAGAAUAGUUCCGUUAAGGGUUCCUUUCCCUGGGAGGCAUUCCCUAAAGUGCAUGUUCGGACUGCGAAAUUAGCAGAAAAAGCAUCUGGGGGCAGAUAAAUAAGUAAGCAAUAAAUCAUCUUUCAAGUCACCGACCGAAUAUUCUCUUAAGAACGCUAGCUUUCGGCUUCACCCAGUCUGAGGUACACAUCCGGCUGACCCGGCAGUAACAAUCGUAGAGGUGCUCCCUUUACCUCCUAGCUGAACAAUCAGGAACGUAGGGGUAAGCACAGGAGCCAGGCAGCCCAGCUUGGGCAAAACUUAAGUCAUAUCGAUGCAUAUAAUGGUGAAUAAAAGGUACAUGCGGAAGUAUAACACAUGUGUUGGGCAUGAAGCCCAUAUAAAUAAGCUUCUGUUAAAGAAGCCCCCUGGUAUAAUGAGUGCUAGGAGCACAUCAAGUGUGUGCGAACAAUGCGCAAAUCAGCCUAUAAAAGGUAUCGAAAAAAUAAGUGGGAAGAAGGAGGGGGACAAGAGACAGUGAAAAUGUAAAAAGGUGGACGGAGGAGUGAGACGAACUCUGAGUCCGGCGUUAGGCGUAGAAUCUUCGGAGACGGGCUGCGUUCCAUGGGUUCGGCUCGAGUCGAUUGUCAGAUGCGUUACGUAGACGGUAUGCUCCGCCGGUCAGGACUUGGUCGAUGAUGAAGGGACCUUCCCACUUGGGCUUAAGUUUGUCCUUUUUCUUGUCCGGCGGGCGUAGAACAAGUUCGCCAACAUUGUAAGUUUUGGCCCGUACUUCUCUGCUUUGAUAUCUUCGAGCCUGCUGCUGAUAGAAUGCGAAACGAGCUUUUGCCACGUCCCACUCCUCUUCUAAGGCGUCCACACUGUCCUGCCGAUCCAACUCGGCUUCUCUUUCUUCGUACAUGCGCACGCGAGGUGAGUCAUGAAUUAUAUCGCAGGGCAGAACUGCCUCUGCGCCGUACACCAUAAAAAAUGGUGUGAAUCCGGUAGUGCGGUUUGGCGUGGUCCGCAGCCCCCAGAGUACGGAGUCGACCUCCUCUACCCAGUGCGUGUUAGAUUCCUUGAGGGACCGCACUAGUCUGGGUUUGAUGCCGCUCAUGAUUAGACCAUUUGCUCGCUCGACUUGACCGUUAGUUUGGGGGUGAUAGACUGAAGCGUAGUCGAGCUUGAUGCCCAUGUUUUUGCACCAGAGUUUAACCUCGUCGGCCAUGAAAUUCGUGCCGUUAUCAGUGAUGAUGCUGUGGGGGACGCCAAAACGGUGUACUACCCCGGAUAUGAAGUCUACCACAGGUCCGGAUUCUGCCGUUUUAACCGGCUUGGCCUCUAUCCAUUUGGUGAAUUUGUCCACCAUGACCAAUAAGUAUUUGUGCUUGUGGGUUCCCCCUUUAAGGGGUCCAACCAUGUCAAGCCCCCAGACCGCGAACGGCCAGGUGAUGGGUAUAGUUUUGAGGGUGGUGGGUGGCAUGUGGCUCUGAUUAGCAAAGAGCUGGCAACCGACGCAUCGUUGGACUAAGUCCUGAGCAUCUCCUGGGCUGUCAGCCAAUAAAAUCCUGUAUGGAAGGCCUUGCCUACAAGGACCCGGGCUGCAGCGUGGUGCCCGCCGAGUCCGGCGUGAAUUUCAGCCAGGAGAUUUCGCCCUUCCUCUUCGGAGAUACACAUUUGAAGGACUCUGGUUGUGCUUUUCUUAUAAAGUUCUCCGUCAUGGAUCUUGUAGGCUUUAGAUCGCCGAACUAUGCAGCGGGCCUCAUUUUGGUCUUCGGGAAGUUCCUGCCUGAUUAAGUAGGCUAGGAAUGGUUCCGUCCACGGGGCAAUUACUGCCAUUAUUUCGUGGGCUGAAGGUGUUAUUUCAUUGGCUGAGCCACGAUUGUGUCAGAAUGGUCUGAGUUAGGUGAUGCAACUGGUUCCGGAUUGUUGUUUCCGGACUCCUCUUGCCAUAAUACGGAUGGCUUAAAGAGCCGUUCCAGGAAGAUGUUCGGAGGGACGGCGUCGCGUUUUGCGCCGAUGCGUGCCAACACGUCUGCUGCCUGGUUGUUAUCCCGGGCUACAUGGUGGAAUUCGAGUCCUUCGAACCGAGCUGACAUUUUUAGGACGGCGUUGCGGUAGGCUGCCAUUUUCGGAUCUUUGGCGUCAAAGUCUCCAUUUACUUGGGAUAUUGCGAGGUUUGAAUCCCCGCGCACCUCUAGGCGUUGAAUGCCCAUGGAGAUUGCCAUCCGAAGGCCAUGUAGAAGGGCCUCGUAUUCGGCUGCGUUGUUGGAGUCCGUGUACAUUAUUUGAAGUACGUAUUGGACUGUGUCUCCGGUUGGGGACGUCAAGACGACGCCAGCCCCCAAGCCAGCCAACAUUUUGGAUCCGUCGAAAUGCAUGAUCCAAUUGGAGUACGCGCCGUACUCUUUAGGGAGUUCGGCUUCGGUCCAUUCGGCGAUGAAGUCAGCCAGAACUUGCGACUUUAUAGCUCGCCGUGGUUUGUAGGUUAUGUCAAAUGGUAAGAGCUCAAUGGCCCAUUUUGCAAUCCUGCCCGUUGCGUCGCGAUUGUUUAUAAUAUCGUUGAGAGGUACUUCGGAGGCCACCGUUAUGGAACACUCCUGAAAGUACUGUCGCAGCUUCCGGGAUGCCAUGAACACCGCAUACGCUAUCUUUUGAUAAUGUGGGUACCGGGACUUGCAUGGAGUUAAGACAGUGGAUACGUAGCACACUGGUUUUUGAAGAGGGAAUCUGUGCCCUUCUGUUUCUCGCUCGACGACGAGUACCGCGCUGACAACUUGAUGUGUUGCUGCGAUAUAUAAUAACAUAGGUUCGCCCAGGUUGGGCCUGGCCAGGACCGGAUUAGUUGCCAGUAUGGCCUUGAUUUCUUCAAGUCCGGCCGUGGUAGCAUCCGUCCAUUCGAAGUGUUCGGUGCGCCGGAGGAGGCGAUAGAGGGGCAGAGCCUUUUCUCCCAAACGGGAGAUGAAGCGGCUUAGAGCCGCUACGCAUCCAGUUAGUUUUUGUAUUUGCUUGAGGUAUUUUGGGAUAUCUAAUUGUGACAGAGCUCGGAUCUUGGCUGGGUUUGCUUCAAUUCCUCUACCGGAUACAAUGAAGCCCAAAAGCUUUCCGGCUGGUACUCCGAAGACACAUUUUUUAGGGUUGAGCUUAAUGUCAUAUGCUCGGAGGUUGUCGAAUGUCACCCCCAAGUCGUCUACUAGAGUUUCGACGUGUUUGGUCUUGACGACCACAUCGUCUACGUAUGCCUCUACUGUUUUGCCUAUUUGGGUAGCCAGACAUGUCUGAAUCAUGCGCUGAUAUGUUGCGCCAACGUUUUUGAGUCCGAAGGGCAUUGUGUUGAAGCAAAAUGGCCCAUAUGGAGUAAUGAAUGUCAUUGCGGCCUGGUCUUUUUCCGCCAUCUUGAUUUGAUGGUAUCCGGAGUAUGUGUCGAGGAAGCACAAUGAAUCGUACCCUGUGGUAGCAUCGAUGAUUUGGUCGAUGCGAGGGAGAGGGAAAGGGUCCUUUGGACAGGCCUUGUUAAGGUCUUUGAAAUCGACGCAAAGGCGCCAGGAUUUGUCCUUUUUUGGUACCAUUACUAGGUUGGCUAGCCAGUCCGAAUGUUUUAUAUCUCUGAUGAAUCCGGCUUCUAAGAGUUUGGCUAGCUCCUCUCCCAUUGCCUCUCUUUUGGGUUCGGAAAAUCGCCGAAGAGCUUGUUUGACUGGCUUGAAUCCUUUUAGGAUAUUUAGGCUGUGCUCUGCCAGCCUGCGUGGGAUUCCUGGCAUGUCUGAAGGGUGCCAGGCAAAAAUGUCCCAAUUUUCCCGAAGGAAUUCUCGUAGUGCGGCUUCUACAUCAGGAUUUAAUUGUGCCCCGAUGGAGGCCGUCUUUGUGGGGUCCGUUGGAUGGACCUGAAAUCUGACUAUUUCGUCUGCUGGUUUAAAAGAGGUGGACUUGGACCUCUUAUCGAGUAUCACAUCAUCCCUAUCCACCGUGGAGCGCAGCGCAGUUAGUUCCUCUGCCGCUAGGGCUUCGGAUAAUGCCUCUAGGGCCAGUGCGGCUGUUUUAUUUUCAGCGCGAAGUGUUGUAUCUGGAUCACUAGCGAGAGUGAUUAUUCCAUUGGGUCCGGGCAUUUUGAGCUUCAUGUACCCGUAAUGGGGUAUAGCUUGGAAGAUUGUGAAUGCCUCUCGCCCUAACAAGGCGUGAUAUCCGCUGCCGAAUGGGGCCACUUGGAACGUGACCUCUUCAGACCUCUAAUUGUCCGGCGAGCCGAACACUACAUCUAGUGUGAUUUUUCCUGUGCAGCAUACUUCUCGACUAGGGAUUAUUCCCCUGAAGGUUGUGCUGCUUUGCUCAAUGCGGCUCCAGUCAAUUUCCAUUUUUUGAAGGGUUUCUUAGUAGAUGAGGUUUACUCCGUUGCCGCCAUCCAUGAGUACCUUGGUAAGACGAAAGUCGUCCACUAUCGGACUGAGGACUAAUGCGGCUGGUGCUCUAGCUGUUCGAAAUUUAGGUUCGUCGCUGGCAUUGAAGGUGAUAGCCGUGUCACUCCAUGGAUUUGUUGUUGCUACUUGGUAGACUUCGGCGAGGCUGCGGAUUGUUCGUUUCCGCAUGUUAUUUGAUGCGAAAUUCUCGAAGACUGUUAAUACCGUACUGGUACUGCUGGGCUGGUUGCCCGGGGCUAAAAAGCCUUCGCCACUUUUGGCCAACUGCCAUAAUAUCCAACAUGCUCGAAGGCUAUGUGUUGCAGUGGCGCCCUCCGUACUGUGGAUUUUGCAGGGUCCGUUGAGCCAUCCCUCCAGUAUAGUUCCGUACCCUUUAGGGGGGUUUUGCUUUUUAGAUUUUAACCCAGGUGCUUGAGUAUGACGCACCCUUUUAUUUCAGACUGGGAUUGUAUUCAGGGCCGGAUUGUCCCAAAACCUAGUUUCGGUUUUCCAGGCACUCUCCAUCGCGCAGUAUUUUUGUACGAUGGUCGCUAGGUCGUAGAAGCGUGUAACUUCGCGACGACUAAUGGCGUUUAUGAUUCCCUCGUCCGUGCAAUUGUUGCAGAAAAUUGAAAUCGCGCUUUCUUCACGGUAGUCCUUUAUCCUGUUCAUAACCAGGAGGAAUCUGGCCCAGUAAUGAUGUACUGUUUCAUCGGGCUCUUGCCGUAUUUGAGAUAGAUCGCUUAUGUUUGGGUGGGCGGGUGGAAUUAAGUUCGGAACCCCGCCCGAUCUGAGGCUCAAAGGCCAAGAAGCUUCCGGAUUUGGAAGCUUGGUUUGUUGGAUGCUUUCCAACAAAUCUGGUCUGAUGCCUGACUUUAGGUUCAGUAUUUGAUUGGCGUCCGUCCCUUCGCGGGAAUCCGGCCUGGAGGGAUCGGGAAUCCGGACAUAGUUUGGUUUUUAACAUAGAAGAAGAGUCGCCGCAUUGUUCCUCUACCACAACAACGUGGUGGGUAACCUGGGGAGAGUUAAUUUCUCUCAGAUCGGUUUUAAGCCCAAUCUGAUCGUAGUCGGUCACCACGCUACUCGGCGAAUUCCGAGCUGACGUGAAGAUUGCUUUUAAUGACCUGAGAGGUCAUUGUCAGAGCGAUGGCCGAACAGGCGGUCAUAAGGAAACUGCCUAGCCGGAUAGUCUGGCCGGCGGCCAAAGCUCCCUUGACGACGGUGCCAUCUUUAAAGACGGGAAAAGGCAUCCUUCCUGAUGGUGACGACACAGAGGAACUCUCAAUGAAAGCACCAAUGUCGAUGUCAAAACCGGCGGAUCUCGGGUAGGGGGUCCCGAACUGCGCUUCUAGGCGGAUGGUAACAGGAGACAAGGGGCACGAUGUUUUACCCAGGUUCGGGCCCUCUUGAUGGAGGUAAAACCCUACGUCCUGCUUGAUUAAUAUUGAUGAUGUGUGUUACAAGAGUGGAUCUACCACGAGAUCAAGGAGGCUAAACCCUAGAGGCUAGCCUAUGGUAUGAUUGUUGUUCGUCCUACGGACUAAAGCCAUCCGGUUUAUAUAGACACCGGAGAGGGCUAGGGUUACACAGAGUCGGUUACAAUGGUAGGAGAUCUACAUAUCCGUAUCGCCAAUCUUGCCUUCCACGCCAAGGAAAGUCCCAUCCGGACACGGGACGAAGUCUUCAAUCUUCUAUCUUCAUAGUCUUGGAGUCCAGCCGAUGAUGAUAGUUCGGCUAUCCGGACAACCCCUAGUCCAGGACUCCCUCAAGGCCCAAGUGGGAAACCCCAUUCAACCGGGCCUUGAACAUAUUGAUACGUCUCCAAUGUAUCUAUUAUUUAUGAAGUAUUCAUGACAUUAUAUUAUCAUUCUUGGAUCUUUUACAAUCAUUUUAUAGCAACUUUAUAUCAUUUUUUGGGACUAACCUAUUGACCCAGUGCCCAGUGCCAGUUGCUGUUUUUUGCUUAUUUUUUACAUCGCAGGAAAUCAAUAUCAAACGGAGUCCAAACAUAGUGAAACUUCUUGUGGAUUUUUUAUGGACCAGAAGACAUCCAGUGGGCCAAGGAAGCACCUGGGGGGGUGCCUCGAGGGGGCAGCACACACCAGGGCGCGCCUGGGGGGCCAGGCGCGCCCAGGUGGGUUGUGCCCACCUCAGGUUCCCCCUGAACUGCCUCUUCACCCUAUAAAUUCCCAAAUAUUCCAAAACCCUUCGGGGUAGCCCAAGAUCAGAAGUUCCGUCGCUGUAAGGCCUCUGUAUCCACGAGAUCCAAUCUAGAACCUGUUCUGGCACCCUGCCAGAGGGGGGAAUCAUCACCGGUGGCCAUCUUCAUCAUCCCGGCGGCCACCACGAUGAGGAGGGAGUCGUCCACCAUCGGGCCUGAGGGUUUGUACCAGUAGCUAUGUGUUAAAUCUCUCUCUCUCUCUCUCCCGUGUUCUUGAGAUGUCAUGAUCUUGAUGUAUUACUGGCUUUGUUAAUAUAGUCGGAUCAUAUGGUGUUUUCCCGUCUCUAGUUGUGAUGAAUUGAGUUUUUCCCUUUCAGAUUUCGUUGUUAUCGGAUUGAAUACUUUCAUGGAUUUGAGAACACUUGAUAUAUGUCUUGCAAUUGAAUACUCGUGGUGACAAUGGGGUAUCGUAUAGAUUCACUUGAUAUAUGUUUUGGCACUCAACUCAUGGAUUCUCGUGGUGACAUUGGGGUAAUCUAUGCAUAGGGGUUGAUGCCCGUUCUUGUCUUUGUUUCUCCGGUACAAAUCUUGGGGCACUCUUUGAAGUUCUUUGUGUUGGAUUGAGUAUUAUGAAUACGAAUUUGCUUUGGUGUUAUUUUAGUACGAACUCUAGGAUAGAUUGAACGGAAAGAAUAGCUUUGUGCUAUUUUAGUACGAACUCUUGAAUAGAUCAAACGGAAAGAAUAACUUUGAGGUGGUUUUGUACCCUACAAACAAUUUAUUCUUAUGUUCUCUGCUAGAUAGUAACUUUGGAGUGAUUCUUCAUCGCACUUUGAGGGAUGGUUAUAUAAUCCAAUUAUAUUAGCAUUGUUGAGAGAUUGGACUAGCAAAAGUAAGGACCCUAGGCAUCACUUUAUAUCAUUGCAAUACCGUUUGUGCUCCGUUUUAUCAUUUACUACCUUGCUGUUUUUUAUUGUUCGCACUACAAAAACUCAUAUCUACUAUCCAUACUACACUUUUAUCAUCAUCUCUUCGCCAAACUAGUGCACCUAUACAAUUUGCCAUUGUAUUGGGUGUGUUGGGGAGACAAGAGAUUUCUUGUAUUUGAUUGCAGGGUUGCUUGAGAGAGACUAUCUUCAUCCUACGCCUCCCACGGAUUGAUAAACCUUAGGUCAUCCACUUGAGGGAAAAUUGCUACUGUCCUACAAAACUCUGCGCUUGGAGGCCCAACACGAUUCUACAAGAAUAAAGUUGCGUAGUAGACAUCAGGCUCUUUUCUGAUGUCGUUGCUGGGGAGUUAUGUGCUUGAAGGUAUAUCUUUAGAUCUUGCAAUCGAAUAUUGUAGUUUCUUUUUUUAUCACUAGUUUGGUUUAUAAAAGAAAACUACAUAAAAAAUGGAAUUGAGGUUGCAUCAUAUUAUUGAUCAUCUUUAUAAUAUCUUGCUUGAAAAUGAUGGUUCGGGAAAUUGUGCUCAAUUGAUAGAAGAAGAAUUUAAUAAAAUGAUUGUCAUGAAUGAUGAGCAUGAUUGCAAUGUUGUUAGUAUGAAUUAUUUGAAUAUCCAUGAUGUUAAUGAUAUGCAAAGCUACAAGCUUGAGGAUGCUAUGUUUGAUGAAGAUGAUAUUUUUACUCCCCCAAGUUUUGAUGAGAUAAUUUAUUAUGAUGAUAGCAUGCCUCCUAUUUAUGAUGAUUAUAAUGAUAAAAGUGGAUUCGGAGAGGUCAUGACAUUAUUUAAUGAUUAAUCCACCAUUUUGGAUGAGGCUUCAAUAGACUAUGAGAACAAGGUCGCUAUCUAUGAUUAUUAUGGUGAUGACAUGUAUACUAUAUUGAAUAAUUAUACCCAUGAAACUUGUCAUCAUGAUUUUAAUUUUCAAUCUCACGAUAGUUAUUUUGUUGAGUUUGCUCCCACCACUAUUCAUGAGAAUAAAUUUGCUUAUGUGAUGGUUAUUGAUAUGUCUCCAAGGUAUCUAUAAUUUUUUAUUGUUCCAUGCUAUUAUAUUAUCUGUUUUGGAUGUUUAAUGGGCUUUAUUAUACACUUUUAUACUAUUUUUGGGACUAACCUAUUAACCGGAGGCCCAGUCCAAAUUGAAGUUUUUUUUGCCUAUUUCAGUGUUUCGCAGAAAAGGAAUAUCAAACGGAGUCCAAAUGGAAUGAAACCUUCAGGAGAGUCAUUUUUGGAACAAACGCAAUCCAGGAGACUUGGAGUGGACGUCAAGGAAGCAACGAGGCGGCCACGAGGCAGGGAGGCGCGCCCCCCACCCUCGUGGCUCCCCUUACCGACUUCUUUCGCCUAUAUAUAUAUACACUCAUAUACCCUAAAAACAUCAGAGAGCACCAUGCAACCCUAUUUCCACCGCCGCAACCUUCUGUACCCGUGAGAUCCCAUCUCGGGGCCUUUUCCGGCACUCUGCCGGACGGGGAAUCAAUCACGGAGGGCUUCUACAUCAACACUAUAGCCUCUCCGAUGAUGUGUGAGUAGUUUACCUCAGACCUUCAGGUCCAUAGUUAUUAACUAGAUGGCUUUUUCUCUCUCUUUGGAUCUCAAUACAAAGUUCUCCUCGAUCUUCAUGGAGAUCUAUUCGAUGUAAUUCUUUUUGCGGUGUGUUUGUCGAGAUCCAAUGAACUGUGGGUUUAUGAUCAACAUUAUCUAUGAACAAUAUUUGAAUCUCCUCUGAAUUCUUUUAUGUAUGAUUUGUUAUCUUUGCAAGUCUCUUCGAAUUAUCAGUAUUGUUUGGCCAACUAGAUUGAUCUUUCUUGCAAUGGGAGAAGUGCUUAGCUUUGGGUUCAAUCUUGCGGUGUCCUUUCCCAGUGACAGCAGGGGCAGCAAGGCACAUAUUGUAUUGUUGCCAUCGAGGAUAAAAAGAUGGGGUUUAUAUCAUAUUGCUUGAGUUUAUCCCUCUACAUCCUGUCAUCUUGCCUAAUGCGUUACUCUGUUCUUAUGAACUUAAUACUCUAGAUGCAUGUUGGAUAGCGGUCGAUGUGUGGAGUAAUAGUGGUAGAUGCAGAAUCAUUUCGACCUACUUGUCGCGGACGUGAUGCCUAUAUACAUGAUCAUGCCUAGAUAUUCUCAUAACUAUGCACUUUUCUAUCAAUUGCACGACAGUAAUUUGUUCACCCACUGUAAUACUUGUGCUAUCUUCAAAGAAGCCACUAGUGAAACCUAUGCCCCCGGGAUCUAUUUUCCAUCAUAUAAGUUUCCGAGCUAUUUUAUUUUCUAAUCUUUACUUUCCAAUCUAUAUCAUAAAAUUACCAAAAAUAUUUAUCUUAUUAUCUCUAUCAGAUCUCACUUUUGCAAGUGGUCGUGAAGGGAUUGACAACCCCUUUAUCGCGUUGGUUGCAAGGUUCUUAUUUGGUUGUGCAGGUACGAGGGAUUUGAGUGUAGCCUCGUACUGGAUUGAUACCUUGGUUCUAAAAAAUAUAGGGAAAUACAUACACUACUUUGCUGCAUCACCCUUUCCUCUUUAAGGAAAACUAACACAUGCUCAAGAGGUAGCAGUUAUAGUGUUGAAUUUCUUCAUGAUGCUACUGAAAAUUAUUAUGAGAGAGGAACAUCUGCUUUUACAUAUCUCAAUAAUAUCAAGUUUCCUCUCUAUGUGUUGAAAGUUUUGAAGUUAUGCAUGUUUGCCUUCCUAUGCUGGUUGAUUCUUGUUCCCAUGAAUUAUUUGCUCACAAAAUCCCUAUGCAUAGGAAGUAGGUUAGGCUUAAAUGUGCUUGCCAUGUGAUUCAUGAUGCUCUUUUUCAUGUUUCAAUUCUUAUCUUUUAUGCGAGCAUCAUUGAACUCAUCAUGCCUAGCUGAAAGGCAUUAAAGAAAAGCGCUUGUUGGGAGACAACCCAACACUUUUACCUACUGUUUUUGUGUGUUCACAUGAUUAGGAUACUAUAGUGAUCAUGUUUUAUUGCUUUCGUUUCAAUAAAGUGCCAAUUAAAGCCUUUGGGAUCAUGUUGGGUGAUAGUUGAUUUGAUUUUACUGAAAAACAGAAACUUUUGCGCUCGCGGAAAUAACUCUCAUUUUUAACAGAAGAGUGCUUUGAGUUGUUUAUUUUUGCAUAAGAUUAAUAGACACACGUGGUCAUAUUUUUUUCAUAAUUUUUGGAGUAGCAGAAGUAUGGUUUGAGUACAGAUUACUACAGACUGUUCUAUUUUUGACAGAUCCUGUUUUCAAUACAUAGUUUGCUUGUCUGAUUGUUUCUACGAAUUAUAUUGCUCAAUAUAAAUUGUGUAAAUGAUGUGCUACCAUAGGAAUAGUGUGGAAACAAUUAUGAAUCUUGUCUUUGACAGUACCAAAGUGAAAUGGUUUGCUCUUUAUCAUACUAACCUAUCUCACGAAGUUUCGUUAAGUUUUGUGUGAUUGAAGUUUUCAAGUUUUGGGUGAAAUGUCGAUAUGAGGAGAAUAAGGAGUGACAAUAACCUAAGCUUGGGGAUGCCCAAGUCACCCCCAAGGUAAUAUUCAAGGAAGAUCUAAGCAACUAAGCUUGGGGAUGCCCCGGAAGGCAUCCCCUCUUUCGUCUCUAACAUUAUCGGUAACCUCACUUGGAGCUAUGUUUUCAUUCGUCACAUGAUAUGUGUUUAGCUUGGAGCGUCAAUUUAUUUUGUUAGGAUUUGCUUUCUAUUAUUUAGAAGAAUGUUUUUCAUCCUUUAUUUCAAUUAAAAUGGCAAUGAUAGCAUUUUCCAUGCUUAUUUUGCAAGUAUACAUGUUGCUGUUUCAAAACAGAAAGUUUAUCGAUGUUGAAAAAAUUCCCUAGAAAAAUCAUAAUAUGAUAAAAUGUUGAAACUUUUUGAAAAAUAAGCUAUGAUAAAGUUUCUACAGUGUGGUAUUUUUUUUCAUAAUUUUUGGAGUCUAAGAAGUAUUGAUACUCUUGCAUUCUUUAAAGAUUGUACUGUUUUGGCAGAUUGCUGUUAUGUUUGCAUUGUUUGCAUAUGUUUGCUUGUUUAAUGAUUCUAUUUGACGAUAGGAGUAUUAAAUAUGUAGAGGCAUUUAGUAUUCAAUAUUGAAUAAUAAUUUUAGUGACUUGUUACAGUAUAUAAUGAUAAGGUUUUUGCAUUGGUUUAUACUAACUUAUCUCACGAGUUGUUGUUGAGUUUUGUGUGGAUGAAGCUUUUGAGAUUUAGGAAAACCAUGAUAUGAAAAUAAUUAAGGAGGAACAAAAGCUCAAGCUUGGGGAUGCCCAAGGAAUCCCAAGUUAAUAUUCCAAGAAGUCUCAAGCAUCUAAGCUUGGGGAUGCCCCGGUAGGUAUCCCACCUUUCUUCUUCAACAAUUAUCAGUUAGUAUUGGUUGAGCCAAUGUUCUUACUUCUUCACAUGAGUUGUACUAUUCUUGGGGUGUCAUUUUGUUUUGUUUUGGUUUCUGUUUUAAUAAAAUACUUAGAUCUGAAAGUUUUUAAAUAAAAUAGAGUCCUCAAUUAGUUGCCAGGGAGGCUAGGUAAGCGGCGUUCACAUUCCGUCAACGAAUCUCUUUUCUAUGGAAUUUCUCUAGUGCUUCACUUAUAUCUUUUUGAGCAUGGUGUGCUUUAGUAUUUUUGAAGAAAUUCUCUCUUACUUCACUUAAAUUAAUUUGAGAGAAAGAAAUAUUAUGCUCAUGAUCAUCAUUUAUAUCUUUUUGGAGUAGCUUGUCAUCUAAUCUUGUGCUUCACUUAUAUCUUAUGAGUAAAUUAUUGAAUGAGUUGAAUAUCAUGAUGUUGAAAUUACAUGUUCAUAUCAUGCCUAAUAGUGGAUUCACAUUGGGUUUAGAAAGUGAAAGCUUUUGAAGCUUGACAAUCACAAUAUUUUUCAUACAAGAAAUUCAAGAAUAAUUAGUAUAAGGAAGAGAACUUUCACAUGCAAAUACACUAUCUUGGAAAUGUUUUGUGAUUGUGAGCCCACAUAAAAAUAUUAUAUGCCAAAAUUGUUGAUGUUGGACAAGGAAGACAACGUAAUGAUUUAUGUUUGUUCAUAUUCACAUAGAAGUUAUAUUGUCAUAGAUCCUUCAACAUGUGGUGCUUUCCCCCCAUCUUUUCUAGCCAAAAAUUCCGCACCAAGUAGAGAUACUAGUUGUGCAUCAAAAAACUCUUAAACCCAAAUCUUGGUUUGAGAGUCCACCAUACCUACCUAUGGAUUGAGCAAGAUCCUUCAAGUAAGUUGUCAUCGGUGCAAUAAGGCAAUAAAAAUUGCUUCUAAAAGUGUUAGAUAAUUUAGUUUAAGAGAAAAUUGAGCGUUGUACGAACUUGUGAUGGCAAAGAAUAAAAACAACAGACUGCAUAAUAAAGGUUGCUAUCAUAAGGGGCAAUAUAACGUGACGUUAUUUUGCACUAAGGGGUUGAUCAUACAAGCAAAUAAGCGCAUGGCAACCUCUGCUUCCCUCUACGAAGGGCCUAUCUUUUACUUUUAUGUAUUUACUUUCAUGCAAGAGUCAAGGUUUUUCUCUCUAUUCCGUUUUAUUUUUCUCCUUUGGCAAGCAUCAUGUGGUGAGGAAAGAUCUAGGCACAUAUAUCCAGUUGGAUAUGGUUAGCAUGAGUUAUUAUUGUUGACAUCACCCUUGAGGUGAAUACGUUGGGAGGAGAAAUGAUAAGCCCCUAUCUUUCUAUGUGUCUGGUUGAAACGUUUUGCUCAUGUGUAUGCAGUGAGUGUUAGCAAUCAUAUAAGACUAUAUGAUGGUUGAGUAUGUGGAGCUCUUACUUAGACUCUGUUGAAUAAGUAGAAUUGCAAUUGCUUGGUGACUGAGAACAUAGGUUGUUGAGUUUCAAGAGAAUUCAUUGUUUGAACCGUAACAUGUGAAUUGGUUGCUACUAUAACAUGAGAAGUUUCAUAAGAAAGAAUUGCUAAUAUGAUGCUAGGAAAAGUGAUUGAAAUUAUCAUCGAUCAAACCUAUGCACUUUGCUAGCAUUCACUCUAUAAAUAUUUCUUUUAUCAUUUACCUACUCGAGGACGAGUAGGAGUUAGCUUGGGGAUGGUGAUACGUCUCCAACGUAUCUAUAUUGUAUGAAGUAUUCAUGCCAUUAUAUUAUCAUUCUAGGAUUUUUACAAUCAUUAUAUAGCAACUUUAUAUCAUUUUUUUGGGACUAACCUAUUGACCCAAUGCCCAGUGCCAGUUGCUAUUUCUGCUUGUUUUUUAGAUCGCAGGAAAUCAAUAUCAAACGGAGUCCAAAUACCACGACACUUCUUGUGGAUUUUUUAUGGACCAGAAGACAUCCAGUGGGCCAAGGAAGCACCUAGGGGGGUGCCUCGAUGGGAGCAACACCCACCAGGGCGCGCCUGGGGGCCCAGGCAUGCCCAGGUAGGUUGUGCCCACCUCGGGUGCCUCCUGAACCGCCUCUUUUCGCCCUAUAAAUUCCCAAAUAUUCCAAAACCCUUUGGGGUAGACCUAGAUCAGAGUUCCACCACCACAAGGCCUCUGUAUCCACGAGAUCCAAUCUAGACCCCAUUCCAACACCCUGCCGGAGGGGGGAAUCAUCACCGGUGGCCAUUGAGGGAGUCCUGGAUUAGGUGGUCCUCGGACAUCCGAACUAUAUACUUUGGUCGGACUGUUGGACUAUGAAGAUACAAGAUUGAAGACUUUGUCCCGUGUCCGGGUGGGACACUCCUUUGCGUGGAAGGAAAGCUUGGCAAUCCGGAUGUGUAGAUCUCCUUCUCUGUAACCGACUCUGUGUAACCCUAGCCCCCUCCAGUGUCUAUAUAAACUGGAGGGUUUAGUCCAUAGGACAAGAACAAUCAUAAUCAUAGGCUAGCUUAUAGGGUUUAGCCUCUACAAUCUCGUGGUAUAUCAACUCUUGUAAUACUCAUUUCAUCAAGAUCAAUCAAGCAGGAAGUAGGGUAUUACCUCCAUCGAGAGGGCCCGAAUCUGGGUAAACAUUGUGUCCCCCGCCUCCUGUUACCAUUAGCCUUAGACGCACAGUUCGGGACCCCCUACCCGAGAUCCGCCGGUUUUGACACCGACGUUGGUGCUUUCAUUGAGAGUUCCACUAUGUCGUCACGGUAAGGCUUGAUGGCUCCUUCAAUCAUCUGUAACGAAGCAAUCCAGGGUGAGGUUUUCCUCCCCGGACAGAUCUUCGUAUUCAGCGGCUUCAUACUGCGGGCCAACUCGCUUGGCCAUUUGGAGCAGAUCAAUAGCUAUGCCCCUGGCCAUCAGGUCAGGUUUGGAAGCUUGAACUACACUGCCGACAUCCGCGGAGACUUGAUCUUCGACAGAUUCGAGCCCAUAACAGGUGCGCCGUAUAGUGACGAUGAGCAUGACUUAGAUCUGCCAUCAGAUGGUGUUCAGGAGAACACACCUGCAGCUGCCCUGGCCUUAGAUCCGGAGCAGAUCAUGCCAUCCGAGGACGGAUGGAUAGACCCCGCCACAGAGGCCGCACACUCAUCGGCGCUAGAGCUGAUCACAGACAUCACCUCCAAAGAGAUCUGUGUCAUCGGACCCUCGUACUCGUCUCCGGUCAUAGGUUUCGAACCACGUGCAUCCAUGCCUAUCGAAUCUGAUUGGGCACCGAUCAUGGAGUUUACCUCCGCUGAUAUCGUUCAGCACUCACCCUUGGGCGAUGUGCUAAAUUCAUUGAAAUCUCUCUCCAUGUCAGGAGACUCUUGGCCGAACUAUGUCCGGCUUGAGUGGGAAGCGGACGACGAAGAAAUUCGUUCCCCACCCACCACCCACUUAAUAGCCAUUGUCGACGACUUAACCGGCAUGCUUGAUUUCGACUCCGAAGACAUCGACAGUAUGAAUGACGAUACCGGAGAGGAACAAGAACCACCGCCCACAGGGCGCUGGACAACCACCUCAUCAUAUGAUAUAUAUAUAUGGUGGACACCCCCAAAGAAAGCGAUGGCGAUGAUACAACAGAGGAUAAUCCCCUCGAGAAGCAAUCUAAGCACCGGCGUCAUCGGCGCCACUCUAAGCCUCGCCAUAGCAAAAAUAACAAUACCGGCACAAGAGACAAUAACGCUCCGGAUAAUGCCGAGGACGAAAACAACCCCACCCAGCCAGGCUUCGAGCAGGCCGGACGGGAGAAUGGGCAAGCUAGCCCCAAGUAACAGGCAAUGGAUGGAGAAUCAGAGGAUGAUAAUUACAUGCCCCUCUCCGAAGACGAGGUGAGCCUCGGCGAUGAAGAAUUCAUCGUGCCUAAGGAUCCCGUAGAGCAGGAGCGCUUCAAGCGCUGACUUAUAGCCACAGCAAAAAGCCUGAAGAUAAAGCAGCAGCAGCUUCAAGCUGAUCAAGAUCUGCUAACUGAUAGAUGGACUGAGGUCCUGGAAGCCAAGGAAUACGGACUCGAGCGCCCAACCAAAAGUUACCCAAAGCGCAGGUUGCUACCUCAACUCGAGGAGGGGCAUUAAAGCCCACACUACUAGUGCAUGAUGUGGCUGACCGGCCACUUCGUGGCCGAGACAAAGCGGAGUAUCAGCUCGAAGUCCAGCCCGCACCCCGUCACCAAACAAGCAAAAACAUGAAGGCCUGGGGCUCCACACAUGACCUGCGAGACAAAUUGGAAAACAAAGCAGGACAGUCAAGAUCGAUCUAUGGAUCACGGGGGCGCGCCCCAACACAUGACGAUGACCGUCACACCGGAUAUGCUAAAUACAAAUCCGGCCGGGCCGAAUACAACAGAUCAGACUCGUUUGAGCUGCGUCGUGAUGUAGCCCGGCAUAGAGGCACCGCACACCCCCUAUGCUUCACUGAUGAAGUAAUGGAUCAUGAAUUCUCAGAAGGGUUUAAGCCCGUGAACAUUGAAUCAUAUGAUGGGACUACAGACCCCGCGGUAUGGAUAGAAGAUUUCUUUCUCCACAUUCACAUGGCCCGCGGGGACGACCUACACGCCAUCAAAUACCUCCCAUUAAAACUCAAGGGACCGACUCGGCAUUGGCUGAAUAGCUUGCCGGCAAACUCCAUCAGAAGUUGGGAGAACCUGGAAGACGCAUUCCUGGAUAACUUCCAGGGCACGUAUGUGCGACCACCGGAUGCUGACGAUUUAAGUCACAUAACCCAACAACCCGGAGAGUCAGCCAGGAAAUUCUAGACUCGGUUCCUAACUAAAAAGAACCAAAUCGUCGACUGUCCGGAUGCUGAAGCCCUAGCGGCCUUUAAGCAUAAUAUCCAUGACGAGUGGCUUGCCCGACAUCUCGGCCAAGAAAAGCCGAAGUCCAUGGCAGCCCUCACGACACUCAUGACCCGCUUUUGUGAGGGCGAGUAUAGCUGGUUGGCUCCUAGCAACAACACAGCAAGCAAUCCUGGCACAUCAGAGGCCAGAGAUAGCAACGGCAAGCCCCGACGCAACAAACACAAGCGUCGCAAAAAUGGUGACAACACCGAAGACACGGCAGUCAAUGCCGGAUUCAGUGGCUCUAAGUCCGGUUAGCGAAAAAAGCCAUUCCAAAAGAACAAUUCGGGCCCGUCCAGUCUGGACCGCAUACUUGAUCGUCCAUGCCAAAUUUGUGGCACGCAGGAAUACCAACCAAUCAUACCAACAGAGAAUGUUGGGUCUUCAAACAAACCGGCAGGUCAGGUGCCGAAAACAAGGAGAAAGGGUCCCAAAGCGAUGACGACGAUGAGGAGCCCCGAUCACCAAACAAAGGAGGGCAAAAGAAAUUUCCCCCGCAAAUCAAAACGGUGAAUAUGAUAAACGCCAUCCACAUUCCCAAACUGGAAUGGACGUGCACUCUUAGGGAUGUCGACUUAACGGAGCCAGUCGCCCCACAAUAUAAACUAUGGCCAAUCACUUUUGAUCGUACGGAUCGUCCAGCCAAUAGCAAUCAGGGAAAUUCAGCCGCAUUCAUCGUUGACCCAAUAAUCCACCUCACACGAGUCCUUAUGGACGGAGGCAGCAGUCUAAACCUGCUGUAUUAGGACAAAGUGCGCAAGAUGGGUAUUGAUCAUUCGAUGAUUAAGCCCACUAAAAUCACCUUUAAAGGUGUUAUACCAGGUGUGGAGGCCCGUUGCACAGGCUCCAUCACUCUGGAGGUAGUCUUCGGAUCAUCGAACAAUUACCGUACCGAAGAGUUAGUCUUCGACAUCGUCCCUUUCCGCAGUAAUUAUCAUGCACUGCUUGGACGAACCGCAUUUGCUCGAUUCAACACGGUGCCACACUACGCCUAUCGUAAGCUCAAGAUGCCCGGUCCGCAUGGCGUCAUAACAGUUAAUGGCAAGGCCGAACUCCACCUCUGCACAGAAGAGUGUACAACCGUCUUAGAAGCAACGAAAGGCAUCUUUCAAUCGAACCUCGAGUCGAUGGCCAAUCUCCCGAACACCGUCAAGGGAGUCUGAUCUACUCUGCGGCAGGAUAGCCUGGCUCGUCCGGAGCUCAACUAAAACACUCUGUAGCACAUAAAUUUCCUUUUUGCACUAUCUUUGCAGGUCCACUUUUGCGUAGGCCAGGACUGGCGGCAUGGAAACAACUCGAAUGCAUAAGGGAAUCCUUAGAGAUGCCCCUUGAUGACCAUACGGUUACACUCUGGAUCCGCACACAGCCUCCUCCCGCUUGAUCUCAGCAGGUUCCGAAGUCAUAUCGCUUUUUAUCACAUUACCUGUACUCAUACGCAUCAACGUGUUAUUCAAUGACAACAUGUGGCUUUAUAUGAUGCUCAUCUGCUGUUGUUUCUUAUCGACACUCUUUGUCAAAUGGCAUCUCUACAUCGCGAUAUGCCUUAAUAUGCCAGGGGCUUCAUUGUACCCAUAACACGGCAAUAAAGUCCCGACCACCAUCACGGUCGUUCGGCACCCCGAACUUAUAGCAUUAUAUGCUUCAGCUCCAAAUCAUGUCUUGGGUCAAUAGUUGGGUUUGCCCGGCUCCUAUGUUUUGCUGCCUUACGUUCCGCUAUAUCGGCUAGGGCGGCACAGGGAGAACUACUGCGAUUGUGUCCCGGUUCUUCCGGACGAGCGCCUUAGUAGAGAAAGCUGAAAGCUGACUGUCAUGAUACGGCGAGAGCUGGUCAGCUGUUCGAGAGGUUGUAAAAUCUUUAAGGAUUUCUUCCGCAUAAUGCCAUAACCAAUGUAGCGUGCGAUGGAUCGGCUUUUCUUCCGAUCAGGCGCUUAUAGAGCCCCUCGUGCGGUCUUCCGAACACCAGGGGCUGCGCCUACCUUCCUUUUGUUAAACUCCUAUGGCUAAGUGAGAGCGAUAAAGCCCUAUAGUCCGAUUGCCUAGUUCGUUGUGCUGAACACCUCCUUCAAGGACCCAAAACUAGGAUAAAGAGUGCUCAGGUUUAUCUCGAACACCCCCGUACUUCCUACGUGGGGGCAGAAGCCGACGACUGGCCAACUCUCAGGAUUAAUAUAUAAAAUGGCCACGCAGGAGGGAAAACUUUCAAAUAACAGGCAAUAAACAAUAGAAAUGACCUUGUUCAACAUUACAAAGGACAACAUGACUGUAUUCAUGCAAAUAUAAUGUCCUUGGUGCAUUGCUCCGCCGCAAGGCGGGAUCCUUUUAGGAUAUUAUCAUAAUAUAAUUCGGGCUUGCGGUGCUCCUUCCCCUCGGGCGGUCCCUCGGUCAUCAUCUUUUUAGCAUCCAUCUUCCCCCAGUGCACCUUUGCGCGGGCGAAGGCCAUUCACACACCCUCAAUACAGACCGACUGCUUGAUGACAUCAAGUCGAGGGCAGGCACUCACAAGCCGCUUCACGAGCCCGAAGUAGCUGCUUGGAAUCGGCUCGGCGAGCCAUAGCCGGAUAAUUAAAUCCUUCAUGGCUAGUUCGGCCGCCUUAUGCAGUUCGAUCAACUGCUUCAGCUGAUCGGCAAGUGGCACCGGAUACACCGGCACCAGAUACUACGACCAGAAGAGCUUCUCCGCAGUGCUCCUUUCUUCAGCUCAAUAGAAUUGUGCGGCAUCAGAUAUGCUGUGUGGCAGCUCCGCAAAUACCCCUGGAGAAAUCAGAAUUCAAAUUAUCAACUUGAUUUUCUCCUUUUAAAUACCCGCUUUGUAUAGAAAAAGCCUUACCAGCCGCAAUCUUCCUCGCCUCCUGGAUUUCCUUCAGGGCACCUUGGGCUUCCCCCCGGGCAUCACUUGCGGCUUGGCGAGCUUGGGAGAGUUCGGAUUCUUUCCCUGAUAAACUCUGCUCCAAGGUCUCGCAUUUAUCCACGGCCUCUUGAAGUUGUCGCUCAACUUCAAUAACCCUGGCCUCGUGCUUUUCACGACGAGCCUACUCUGUGGUUGCCCUCUUCUCGGCUUCGGCCACAACCUUCUUAAGAGCCUCAAUUUCGGCCGUCGCCCCUAGAGCACAUCAUAAAAAUAUUUUCAUCAUGCAAACUUAUUUAUUUGUGUUGAAUAGGAACAAGGUUUCUGCAUACCUUGGUUAUCCUCCAACUUCUUCUUCUCUCGGCCGAGUUCCCCUUCGGCCCGCUCAGACUCUGCCUCAGUCCGGAGACUUCCGCAGUUUGAGAGGAGGCCAUUGCUACAGACGCCUGCUUUUAAAUAAAAGAGAGAUGACAUAAAGUGAGUCUCCUGCGAACACUUAUUUGAUCCUCUGUUUGGUUCCUUUUUUCACCAAAUAGUGCAUCAGGGGCUACUAUCGAUACUAUGACACUCUUCAAAAUCUCACAAAACAUACCUCUAGGCCCGUUAUAAGGCUAAUGCAGGCUUCAUUCAGUCCACUCUCAGCGGACUGAAUCUUCUCAAUCACCGCACCCAUAAGGGCACGGUGUUCAUCGACGAGGGAGGUGCUUUUAAGCAUCGCCUAUAAAGUAUCCGACACCUCUGGUUGGACAGAGGUUGCCGGUGGAAUAGGCACAACCCCUCCAGCUGAGGGAGGUCGCCUGCCUGCUUCUGGAGCCGUAUUGGUCUCCAGAAAUGUGUCCGGCUGGGGGCCAAAUUUGAGAUAGCCCCCGCCGUCGACGUCCGUGGGAGUCUUCUCUCCCAUGUAUUCGGCCCCCGAAGUUUGACCUCCUGGCACCGCCUUUACGAUCUCCCCCCCCCCUCCUUGGCCUGGGUCCUUCUGGGAUGAAACCUCGGUGUCAUUCACAUGUUUGGGGAAGGGGGCCUUCGGGGGUGUCGCGCUCUCCAUAGCAUCCGAGCCUAGUAAAUCCUUUGACGAGGAUUGUUCGGUGCGGGACCUCGCCGGACUGCAAAAAAGUAUGGCUCAGAUUCAAAUAUUAUGCCAUGAUGAGUCUGGACGCAUAAACAUAUUCGAAUUUUAUAUACUCACGAGUUCACCAGGGACUGGGCCCUGGGAUCCCACUCCGGGCUGCUGUCGGCAGCAGCGGCGGACUCCUCUGGAAGGGGAGUUUUUCCCUUCUUAGGCGACUCGGCCUCCAAAGAUGUGGAGGCCGUCCUUUUCUUUCCUCCCCUCGCCGGGGAUGGGUCUUUCUCCUCCUCCUCGUCCUCUCUGGAGGAAGAUCGGGCAUCAGAGUCUUCGGACAUGGUGUCCGAAGUGCCACGGCGACGAAGGCCGCCCCUAGUCUUUUUGCCCCCCUUCUCGGCCUUCUUCUUCGGCGCCUUGUAAGGUGAUACGUCUCCAACGUAUCUAUAAUUUUUGAUUGCUCCAUGCUACUUUAUCUACUGUUUUAGGCAAUAUUGGGCUUUAUUAUCCACUUUUAUAUUAUUUUUGGGACUAACCUAUUAACCGGAGGCCCAGCCCAGAUUUGUUGUUUUAUGCCUAUUUCAGUGUUUCGAGGAAAAGGAAUAUCAGACGGAGUCAAAACGGAACGAAAUCAACUAGAGAAGUUAAUUUUGGAAGGAAACCCACCUGAUGGACUUGGACUCCACGUCAGAAGAUACGGGAGGUGCUCACGAGGGUGGGGGGCGCGCCCACCCCCCUAGGGCGCGCCCCCCUACCUCAUGGGGCCCCCGAAGCUCCACCGACAUACCCCUUGCACCCAUAUAUACCUACGUACCCUAAAACUUCCAGAACAGAAGAUAGAUAGGGAGUUCCGCCGCCGCAAGCCUCCAGAGCCACCAAAAGCCUCUUGGGAGCCCGUUCUGGCACCCUGCCGGAGGGGGGAUCCUUCACCGGUGGCCAUCUUCAUCAUCCCGGCGCUAUCCAUGAUGAGGAGGGAGUAGUUCACCCUCGAGGCUGAGGGUAUGUACUAGUAGCUAUGUGUUUGAUCUCUCUCUCGUGUUCUCUCUCGUGUUCCCUCUAUGGCACGAUCUUGAUGUAUCCCGAGCUUUGCUAUUGUGGUUGGAUCUUAUGAUGUUUCUCCCCCUCUACUCUCUUGUGAUGAAUUGAGUUUCCCCCUUUGAAGUUAUCUUAUCGGAUUGAGUCUUUUAUGAGAACACUUGAUGUAUGUCUUGGUGAUCAACUUGCGGGUUUCGUGACAUUGGGAACCUAUGCAUAGGGGUAGGCACACGUUCUUUACUCUCCGGUAGUACCUAUGGGGCACUCUUUGAAGUACUUUUAUGUUGGUUGGAUGAAUCUGAGAUUGUGUGAGGCAUAUCGUAUAAUCAUGCCCACGGAUACUUGAGGUGACAAUGGAGUAUCUAGGUGACAUUAGGGUUUUGGUUGAUUUGUGUCUUAAGGUGUUAUUCUAGUACGAACUCUUUUAUAGAUAGAUCCGAAAGAAUAACUUUGAGGUGGUUUCGUACCCUACCAUAAUCUCUAUGUUUGUUCUCCGCUAUUAGUGGCUUUGGAGUGACUCUUUGUUGCAUGUUGAGGGCUUGUUAUAUGAUCUAUCUAUGUUAUUAUUGUUGAGAGAACUUGCACUAGUGAAAGUAUGAACCCUAGGCCUUGUUUCCUAUCAUUGCAAUACCGUUUACGCUCACUUUUAUCGCUCGCUACCUUGCUGUUUUUAUUAUUUCAGAUUACAAAUACCUUUAUCUACCAUCUAUUUUGCACUUGUAUCUUCACCUCUUCGCCGAACUAGUGCACCUAUACAAUUUACCAUUGUAUUGGGUGUGUUGGGGACACAAGAGACUCUUUGUUAUUUGGUUGCAGGGUUGUUUGAGAGAGACCGUCUUCAUCCUACGCCUCCAAAUGUACGCCACAAAAUAGACAAAAUAGAUAUUGCAAGAGCCAUAUGUAUUUAAAAACUAAAGGUUUGCAAGAAAGUCUUGAUGAGUGUGCUAAAAGAUUCAAUAUUUUUCGCGCUCCUUGUGAACUUUGCAAUGAAUGUGGUCGUUUAAAUCUCCAAUGCAAAUUGUUUUAUGAUCAAAUCGUGUCCAAAAAUUGUGAUAGCUUGAUUACCCUUGGGCAUCAUAAAGAGCUUAGUCUUCUUUUGGGGUAUGAAGAAAUGAAAUGUAUAACCGAGGGUAUUCCAAAAUUUAAUCUUGAUAGAUUUCUUGAUUUUGAUCUAGAGGAUAUUUAUUUGUAUUGUGCGGAGAAUUGCAUUGAAAAUCCUUAUAUUGCCAAUUACCUAAAGAUGACGAGAAUGCUAAUGAAAGGGAAGAGACUUCCCAAUAUCCUCCUAUUAUUUCUUAUGAUGAAUCAGGUGACGAGGAGGAGCAUCCUAUUCAACCAAUCUCAUCAAUAAGGAGAUCGAAGAGGAAGGUUGAACCUACACAUAAUGUGAAGAAGAAAAAGAAAAGAAGGAGCAACAAAGGUAGAAAGGUAUCCCUCCGAAAUGAUGUUGCUCCUACUACUCAUUGUUAGGGUGAUAAUUGCUUUACUAUUGGUGCUAUCCAUAUUUUUAAUGAUGAGAGUGAUUAUGCUUAUGAUAUGAAAGAGCCCAAGCUUGGGGAAGCUAUGUUUGAUGAUGAUGAAAUAUUUGAGAAUAUAUUUGCUGAAAUUAAUGUUUGUCCCAAGCUUGGGGAUGCUACGUUUAGUGAGGAUGGUAUUUUUAGUCUCCCAAGUUUUGAUAUACAAAGUAGUUAUGAUGAUAGCAUGCCUCCUACUUAUGAUGAUUAUAUUGAUGAAAGUGGGUUCGGAAGAGUGUCAACUUUAGGAAAUAGUGAUUCCACUAUUUUGGAGGAUGUUGAAUUAUAUUGUGAUGAAUAUGAAAGUGGAUUUGGAAGGGUGUCAACUUUAUUUAGUGAUGAUUCCACUAUCUUGGGAGAGGUUUCAAUCGAUUAUGAUGAGAACGAAGUUGCUACUCAUGAUGAUUAUUGUGAUGAAACUUAUGCUAUAAAAAGUAGUGAUGAUUAUAUUUACAAAUCUUGUCAUGAUUAUGAUUACCCUUUUUCUGAACAUUACUAUUUUAAUGUGGAAACAAUUUUUAGUGUUCAAGUCUCUUAUGAUACUCCCACUAUUCCGAAUGAAAAGAAUUUUGCUUAUGUGGAGAGUAAGAAAUUUUCUAUGCUUGUAGAUCAUGAAAAGAAUAAUUUAGGUGCUGGUUAUAUUGUUGAAUUCAUUCAUGAUGCUACUAAAAAUUAUUAUGAGGGAGGAACUUAUGCUUGUAGGAAUUACAAUAAUGUCAAGCUUCCUCUCUAUGUGUUGAAAUUCUUGAAGUUAUGCUUGUUUUACCCUUCUAUGCUAGUUGAUUAUUGUUCCCGUAAGUUGUUUGCUCAAAAAAUCCCUAUGCAUAGGAAGUGGGUUAGGCUUAAAUGUGCUAGUAAUAUGCUUCAUGAUGCUCCCGUUAUGUCUCAAUUCUUAUCUUUUAUGUGAGCAUCAUUAUCAUCAUCAUGCCUAGCUAGAAAGGCAUUAAAGAAAAGCGCUUGUUGGGAGACAACCCAAUAUUUAUCCUUACUGUUUUUGUGUGUCCACAUGAUUAUGCUACUGUAGUAAUCAUGUUUUAUAGCUUUUGUUUCGAUAAAGUGCCAAGUAGAACCUUUGGGAAGACUUGGGUGAAGUUUAUGUGAUCUUGCUGUGAAAAACAGAAACUUUAGCGCUCACGAGAUUAUCUGCCAUUUUUUACUGGAGAGUGAUUUUAGGUUGAUUAUUUUUGCAUAUGAUUAAUAUACAAAUUACUCAGGUCCAGAAAUUUAUUUCAUAAUUUUUGGGGUUCCAUAAGUAUACGUUUGAUACAGAUUACUACAGACUGUUCUGUUUUUGACAGAUUCUGUUUUCUAUCUGUUGUUUGCUUAUUUUGAUGAAUCUAUGGCUAGUAUGUAAGGGUAUGAACCAUAGAUAAGUUGGAAUACAGUAGGUAUUACACCAAUAUGAAUUUAUAAUGAGUUCAUUACAGUACCUAAGUGGUGGUUUUACUUUCUUUUACUAACGGAGCUUACGAGUUUUGUUUUGAGUUUUGUGUGGUUGAAGUUUUCAAGUUUUGGGUAAAGAUUCGAUGGACUAUGGAAUAAGGAGUGGCAAGAGCCUAAGCUUGGGUAUUCCCAAGGCACCCCAAGGUAAUAUUCAAGGACAACCAAGAGCCUAAGCUUGGGGAUGCCCCGGAAGGCAUCCCCUCUUUCGUCUUCGUUCAUCGGUAACUUUACUUGGAGCUAAAUUUUUAUUCACCACAUGAUAUGUGUUUUGCUUGGAGCGUCAUUUUCUUUUGUUAGUAUUUGGUUGAUGCUAGUUAUAAUAAUGUUUUGCAUCUUUAGUUUCAAUAAAAAAAGUCAAGGAUAGCCUUUGCCAUGCUUAUUUUGCUUGUAUACAUGUUGCUGUUUGAAAACAAAAAGUUUACCGCUGUUGCAAAAAUUCCCUAGAAAAGCCAGAGAAUGGUAUAACGUUGAAUCUUUUUGCAUAUUAAGAUCUGAUUAAUUUAUUUAAUUGGGAAUUUUAGUUCAUAAUUUUUGGAGUCAGGGAAGUAUUGAUACUCUUGCAUUCUUUACAGACUGUACUGUUUUGGCAGAUUGCUAUUAUGUUUGCAUUGUUUGCAUAUGUUUGCUUGUUUAAUGAUUCUAUUUGAUGAUAGGAGUAUUAAACAUGAAGAGACAUUUAUUAUUCAAUGUUGAAUAAUAAUUUAAGUGAUUUGUUACAGUAGAAGAUGAUAUGGUUUUGCAUUGGUUUAUACUAACCUAUCUCACGAGUUCUUUUUGAGUUUGUUGUGAAUGAAGCUUUUGAUAAAAAGAGAAACCAUGAUAUGAGAGGAAUUAAGGAGACACAAAAGCUCAAGCUUGGGGAUGCCCAAGUUACCCCAAGAUAAUAUUUCAAUAAGUAUCAAGCAUCUAAGCUUGGGGAUGCCCCGGUAGGCAUCCCACCUUUCUUCUUCAACAACUAUCGGUUAGUAUCGGUUGAGCCUAAGUUUUUGCUUCUUCACAUGAGUUGUGCUAUCCUUGCAAUGUAGUUUUCUUUAGCUUUUCUUGCUGUUUGAAUAAAGUAUCAAGAUCUGAAAUUAUUAAAUGGGAGAGUCUUCACAUAGUUGCAUAAUUAUUCGACUACUCAUUGAUCUUCACUUAUAUCUUUCGGAGUAGUUUGUCAUUUGCUCUAGUACUUCACUUAUAUCUUUUAGAGCACAGUGGUGGUUUUGUUUUUAAGAAAUAGAUGAACUCUCAUGCUUCGCUUAUAUUAUUUUGAGAGUCUUAAAUAGCAUUCUAAUUUGCUUAAAAUCCUAAUAUGCUAAGCAUAAAAGAUUUGUAAGAAUUUUUAUGAGUGUGUUGAAUACUAAGAAAAGUUUGAUACUUGAUAAUUGUUUUGAGAUAUUGGGGUAGUGAUAUUAAAGUCAUGCUAGUUGGGUGAUUAUGAAUUUAAAGAAUGCUUGUGUUGAAGUUAGAAAGUCCCGUAGCAUGCACGUAUGGUUAAAGUUGUGUGACAAAUUUGAAACAUGAAGUGUACCUGGCUUGUGCAUCCUUAUGAGUGGCGGUCGGGGACGAGCGAUGGUCUUUUCCUACCAAUAUAUCCCCCUAGGAGCAUGCGUGUAGUACUUGGUUUUUGAUGACUUCUAAAUUUUUUCAAUAAGUAUAUGAGUUAUUUUGACUAAUGUUGAGUCCAUGGAUUAUAUGCACUUUUACCUUUCCGUCUUUGCUAGCCUCUUCGGUACCGUGCAUUGCCCUUUCUCACCUUGAGAGUCGGUGCAAACUUCGCCGGUGCAUCCAAACCCCGUGAUACGAUACGCUCUAUAACACAUAAACCUCCUUAUAUCUUCCUCAAAACAGCCACCAUACCUACCUAUCAUGGCAUUUCCAUAGCCAUUCCGAGAUAUAUUGCCAUGCAACUUCCAUCAUCAUAUUCAUGACAUACAUUACUUUUGUCAUAUUGCCAUUGCAUGAUCAUGUAGUUGACAUCGUAUUUGUGGCAAAGCCACCAUGCAUUAUUUUUCAUACAUGUCACUCUUGUUUCAUUGCACCAUCCCGGUACACCACCGGAGGCAUUCAUAUAGAGUCAUAUCUAGUUCUAAGUUUCGAGUUGCAAUCCUUAUGUUGUAAUCAAUAGAAGUGUGAUGACCAUCAUUAUUAGAGCAUUGCCCAAAAAAAGAGAAAGGCCAAAAAAAAGAAGGCCCAAAAAAAAGAGAAAAUAAAUAAAAAAGGCAAUGCUACUAUCUCUUUUUCCACCCUUGUGCUUCAAAGUAGCACCUUGUUCUUCAUGUAGUGAGUCUCGUAAGUUAUCUUUUUUUUAUACUGGUGGGAAUUUUUCAUUAUAGAACUUGGCUUGUAUAUUCCUACGAUGGGCUUCCUCAAAUGCCCUAGGUCUUCAUGAUCAAGAAAGUUGGAUGCACACCCACUAGUUUUCUUUUGUUGAGCAUUCAUAGCUCUAGUGCAUCCGUUGCAUGGCAAUCCCUACUCCUCAUGUUGACAUCAAUCGAUGGGCAUCUCCAUAGCCUGUUGAUUAUCCUCGUCAAUGUGAGACUUUCUCCUUUUUGUCUUCUCCACUCAAUCCCCAUCAUCAUAUUCUAUUCCACCCAUAGUGCUAUAUCCAUGGCUCACGCUCAUGUAUUGCGUGAAGGUUGAGAAAGUUUGAGAUUAUUUAAGUAUGAAACAAUUGCUUGGCUUGUCAUCGGGGGCAUAGAAGUUGGGAACAUCUUUGUGUGAUGAAAAUGAAGCAUAGCCUAACUAUAUGAUUUUGUAGGGAUGAACUUUCUUUUGCCAUGUUAUUUUGAGAAGACGUGAUUACUUUGAUUAGUAUGCUUGAAGUGUUACUAUUUCCUUUAUCAAUAUGAAUCAUUCGGAUCUGAAUAUUCAUAUCACAAGUAAGAAGAAUUACAUUGAAAUUAUGCCAAGUAGCACUCCGCAUCAAAAAUUCUUUUUUAUCAUUUACCUACUCAAGGACGAGCAGGAAUUAAGCUUGGGGAUGCUUGAUACGUCUCCAACGUAUCUAUAAUUUUUGAUUGCUCCAUGCUACUUUAUCUACUAUUUUAGGCAAAAUUGGUCUUUAUUAUCCACUUUUAUAUUAUUUUUGGGACUAACCUAUUAACCGGAGGCCCAGCCCAGAUUUGUUGUUUUAUGCCUAUUUCAGUGUUUCGAGGAAAAGGAAUAUCAGACGGAGUCAAAACGGAACGAAAUCAACUAGAGAAGUUAAUUUUGGAAGGAAACCCACCUGAUGGACUUGGACUCCACGUCAGAAGAUACGGGAGGUGCUCACGAGGGUGGGGGGGCGCCCCCGAAGCUCCACCGACGUACCCCUUGCACCCAUAUAUACCUACGUACCCUAAAACUUCUAGAACAGAAGAUAGAUCGGGAGUUCCGCCGCCGCAAGCCUCCAGAGCCACCAAAAACCUCUUGGGAGCCCGUUCCGGUACCCUGCCGGAGGGGGGAUCCUUCACCGGUGGCCAUCUUCAUCAUCCCGGCGCUAUCCAUGACGAGAAGGGAGUAGAUCACCCUCGAGGCUGAGGGUAUGUACUAGUAGCUAUGUGUUUGAUCUCUAUCUCUCUCGUGUUCUCCCUCGUGUUCCCUCUAUGGCACGAUCUUGAUGUAUCCCGAGCUUUGCUAUUGUAGUUGGAUCUUAUGAUGUUUCUCCCCCUCUACUCUCUUGUGAUGAAUUGAGUUUCCCCUUUGAAAUUAUCUUAUCGGAUUGAGUCUUUUAUGAGAACACUUAAUGUAUGUCUUGGUGAUCAACUUGCGGGUUUCGUGACAUUGGGAACCUAUGCAUAGGGGUUGGCACACGUUCUUGACUCUCCAGUAGUAGCUUUGGGGCACUCUUUGAAGUACUUUUAUGUUGGUUGGAUGAAUCUGAGAUUGUGUGACGCAUAUCAUAUAAUCAUGCCCACGGAUACUUGAGGUGACAAUGGAGUAUCUAGGUGACAUUAGGGUUUUGGUUGAUUUGUGUCUUAAGGUGUUAUUCUAUUACGAACUCUUUUAUAGAUCGAUCCGAAAGAAUAACUUUGAGGUGGUUUCGUACCCUACCAUAAUCUCUACGUUUGUUCUCCGCUAUUAGUGGCUUUGGAGUGACUCUUUGUUGCAUGUUGAGGUCUUGUUAUAUGAUCUAUCUAUGUUAUUAUUGUUGAGAGAACUUGCACUAGUGAAAGUAUGAACCCUAGGCCUUGUUUCCUAUCGUUGCAAUACCAUUUAUGCUCACUUUUAUCGCUCGCUCCCUUGCUGUUUUUAUUAUUUCAGAUUACAAAUACCUUUAUCUACCAUCUAUUUUUCACUUGUAUCUUCAUCUCUUCGCCGAACUAGUGCACCUAUACAAUUUACCAUUGUAUUGGGUGUGUUGGGGACACAAGAGACUCUUUGUUAUUUGGUUGCAGGGUUGUUUGAGAGAGACCAUCUUCAUCCUACGCCUCCUACGGAUUGAUAAACCUUAGGUCAUCACUUGAGGGAAAUUUGCUACUGUCCUACAAACCUGUGCACUUGCAGGCCCAACAACGUCUACAAGAAGAAGGUUGUGUAGUAGACAUCAUAAGGCGCUGGGACCAGCAUCUUCGUCAGAAGUGGGUCGGACGUAUCUUCUGGCAGAGGGGCCGGAUAGUAGAUCCGCCCCACCUUCUUUGUCCAUCCCUAGGAGAGUUGUGGAAAACACAUUAAGCAUUUUCGUCAGGAUAUGCGAAUAAAACAUAUGAAUUGCCAACAUACAAUGACUUACCAAACUUGCAGGGCGGGACAGUUGGUACCCACAGUCCUCGGCGGAGUCCGGCCACGAUUUGCUGGACUUAAAGAGCACCUUCCAAAUGUCCUUAUGCAAGGAGCCAAAGAGCUCGAGCAGGGUCUGGUGCUUGGCCGGGUCGAAUUCCCAUAAAUUGCAAGCCUUGUGUUGACAAGCAAGAAUCCGGCGAACUAACAUCACCUGGACUACAUUGACAAGUUUGAUAUUCUUGUCUUCCAUAUCCUUGACGCGCGUCCGGAGCACCGACAGUUUGUCGGACAAGACCAGUUCAGGCCCUUUUUGGGCCAGGACGUAAGCCGCAGGGGGCUCCGGAUCUGAAUUCAGGAGUAGCGGCCCAUUCCGUGCUGCGCGGCUCAGUGAUGUAAAACCACAGCUGCUGCCACUCUUUGACGGAAUCAUUGAAAGUACCUGCUGGCCAUGUGACAUUGGGCAUCUUGCUCACCAUGGCACCUCCGCACUCGGCAUGCUCGCCGCUCACUACCUUGGGCUUCACAUUAAAGAUCUUCAAUCAUAAGCCGAAGUGUGGCGAGAGGCGGAGAAAGGCCUCACACACGACGAUGAAUGUCGAGAUGUUGAGGAAGGAAUUGGGGGAUAGAUCAUGAAAAUCGAUCCCGUAAUAAUACAUGAUGCCGCGAACGAAUGGCCCACGGACAAAAUGAGGGAGGAAUAGAACCCUCUCGUGUGGUUCUAGAGUGGGGACAAUUUGUCCCGCUGUCGGAAGACGGUGGCUAAUUUUCUUGGCCAAAUACCCGGCCUCCCAAAGCUUUUUGAUAUCCUUCUCCCGGACGGUAGAGGCCAUCCACUUGCCUCCUGUUCCGGAUCCGGACAUUUUCGGAAGGCCUUUGUGGGCGGAGAAGACGAACUCUUGGGUGCUGGAGCUCGAGCAAGGGGGAAUGGAUGAGAAGAGGAAGAAGAAGGCGUGGGCGAAAGAGGGGAGUCCUUAUCUCCUUAUAAAGGCAGCAGGGGAUCCUGCGCCUCCCCACUUGCCCGGUAAACUCGCUUAUUCCCCAAGCGUCGCGUUGAUGGCGCGGUUGGGUUACCCACACCCGUAUUGAUGAGAAUCCCGUGAUAAGGAGACACGAUCUCUGCUUCGACAAGACGUGCCAAGGAAAACGCCUCACGAUAUGUGCGGUAGCAGGUUGGAAAAAAGGUUUGCAUAAUGACCGGACCACAUCGUAAUGUCACGCUGUGAAAAGUUGUCAGCAGAUUAGAUUUGUGGAAUAUUCUACUCUCUACAGUGGUAUGUGGAACUUGUUUUGCGGAGCUGGACACGAUCCUUGUGUUUAAAAUCUUCUAUGGAAUAUUCGGAGAAGGAACCCGCCUUGCAAUGCCGAAGACAAUCUGUGCGCCGGACUCAUCGUCAUUGAAGUCUGGUUCAGGGGCUACUGAGGGAGUCCUGGAAUAGGGGGUCCUCGGACAGCCGGACUAUAUACUUUGGCCGGACUAUUGGACUAUGAAGAUACAAGAUUGAAGACUUUGUCCCAUGUCCGGGUGGGACUCUCCUUUGCAUGGAAGGCAAGCUUGACAAUCCGGAUAUGUAGAUCUCCUUCUCUGUAACCGACUCUGUGUAACCCUAGCCCCCUCCGAUGUCUAUAUAAACUGGAGGGUUUAUUCCGUAGGACAAGAACAAUCAUAAUCAUAGGCUAGCUUCUAGGGUUCAGCCUCUACGAUUUUGCGGUAGAUCAACUCUUGUAAUACUCAUAUCAUCAAGAUCAAUCAAGCAGGAAGUAGGGUAUUACCUCCAUCGAGAGAUCCCGAACCUGGGUAAACAUUGUGUCCGCCGCCUCCUGUUACCAUUAGCCUUAGACGGACAGUUCGGGACCCCCUACCCAAGAUCCACCGGUUUGGACACCGACAGCCAUCUUCAUCAUCCCGGCGGCCACCAUGAUGAGGAGGGAGUAGUCCACCCUCGGGGUUGAGGGUUUGUACCAAUAGCUAUGUGUUUAAUCUCUCUCUCUCUCUCUCUCUCUCUCUCUACCGUGUUCUUGAGAUGUCACGAUCUUGAUGUAUCGCGGGCUUUGUUAAUAUAGUCGGAUCAUACUGUGUUUUCCCAUCUCUAUCUUGUUGUGAUGAAUUGAGUUUUUCCCUUUGAGAUUUCGUUGUUAUUGGAUUGAGUACUUUUAUGCAUUUGAGAACACUUGAUAUAUGUCUUGCAAUUGAAUACUCGUGGUGACAAUGGGGUAUCGUAUUGAUUUACUUGAUAUAUGUUUUGGCACUCAACUUGCGGAAUCCCGAGGUGACAUUGGGGUAAUUGAUGCAUAGGGGUUGAUGCAAGUUCUUGUCUUUGUUUCUCUGGUAGAAAUCUUGGGGCACUCUUUGAAGUUCUUUGGGUUGGAUUGAGUAUUAUGAAUAUGAAUUUGCUUUGGUGUUAUUUUACUACGAACUCUAGGAUAGAUUGGACGGAAAGAAUAGAUUUGUGUUAUUUUAGUACGAACUAUUGAAUAGAUCGAACGGAAAGAGUAGCUUUGAGGUGGUUUCGUACCCUACAAAUAAUUUAUUCUUAUGUUCUCUGCUAGAUAGGAACUUUGGAGUGAUUCUUCAUCGCACUUUGAGGGAUGGUUAUAUGAUCCAAUUAUAUUAGCAUUGUUGAGAGAUUGCACUAGCGAAGUAGGGACCCUAGGCCUCAUUUUACAUCAUUGCAAUACCAUUUGUGCUCUGUUUUAUCGUUUACUACCUUGCUGUUUUUAUUGUUCGCACUACAAAAACUCAUAUCUACUAUCCAUACUACACUUUUAUCAUCAUCUCUUCGCCGAACUAGUUCACCUAUACAAUUUGCCAUUGUAUUGGGUGUGUUGGGGGACACAAGAGAUUUCUUGUAUUUGAUUGCAUGGUUGCUUGAGAGAGACUAUCUUCAUCCUAUGCUCCCACGGAUUGAUAAACCUUAGGUCAUCCACUUGAGGGAAAAUUGCUACUGUCCUACAGACCUCUGCGCUUGGAGGCCCAACACGAGUCUACAAGAAUAAAGUUGCAUAGUAGACAUCACAUAUUGAAAGGACUCCCGAUGGACACUCUAUUGUCGUAUGGACGUGUGCACGGCGUCGGAGACGGCACCACGUGGAAGAAGUACUACCGUGAGACCACAGAGGAAAGAAAGGAAAGACGAAGGUUAAAUGAAGAAAACAUCCGCAAGAAGGUUGCUGUCGCAAAACAGGAGGUUGCAGCUUCGUAUAGUGUCUUGGUUCCGGCUAUCGACAGUUGGACCAAGAAAAAUACAAAUAAGGAUGCAGCGGACUUUCCCCUUUCCAACUUCUUGGGGAGGAGCUCCACUAGCGUUGCACCAGCACCUGCUACCGCACCUGCUUCUACAGUGGCUCCCGCACAUGCUCAUAACAGCCUGUCCUCCUUCUCGGAAGUGCUCGACGGUGCUUCGUCUUUAGCUGAGCUCGACGUCCUCACGGUACCUGUCACAACGACCCUCUUCAAUAUAUGUAUAAUCUCCCGUUUCCAUCGCCUUUUAGAUGCCUCACGUUGCAUACAUGUCUUUGCAGGCCGAUGUAACCCCGUGUACCAUACUUUACACCAUUAGCGGCCCGAAGCUGGACGUGGGGAAGGCGGCGAUAAUGCAGCCGAAGGAAGAAUUGUUCCACAACCGACCGAUCCCCCUGACGUCUUCAAGGUUUCCGUGGCCAGUGUUGAACCGGGCCACGAGAAUUUGGCUCCUCCGGUAGCACUAGGGGGAGAUGACGAUGAGACCCCGCGGCGGCUUGGCGAUUGCAAUCGUUGGGUCCUGUUGUGGCCGAAGAGUCUGCUUCGUGUAGAGGCGGCCGGGAGCACACCCACGACCAAGCAACCUCAGCAAGGUGUGAACACCAACACCCCACCUACCAAAUUAGCGUCUCCUAUUGUGCCGGGUGAGGAAGAGGCUCCAGUAAUGGCUGAUGAUGUCACCACCGUAGAAGAAGCAAUGCAUGAUGCCAUCGACGAGGAUGACGAUGACCCUCUAUAGUAUCUCCAUACCGGCACCUCUAACGAUGGAGGAUUGAUGGCUUAGCAGUAUGAGUAAUCAGGGUUUGAGAGUGAUGAGUUGGUGCCUGAAUUGCUGGAGGAUGAACGCAUUAUAGGCUCACUUCUAGUAGGAAAGAAGCAUAGGAAGAGAACGAUGAAAGCCAACAAAGCUCCUUCUAUGAUCUAGCAGGCUCGGGAUAAAGACUGUAUCCCUAUCCCCGAUGCGGCAAAAUGUCAUAUCCCCGGUGAUCCGAUUCUACCUAAGGCAGCGGUAGAGGGCAUAUACGACGAUCUAAGGAGACUUCAUGACGAUGUGCUGUAGAGAGAGAAAAGCCUUGUACAUGGUUAUCGUGCGGCAGCAAAGGUUGUACGUCAACACAUUCCCCACGGAAAAGUUCUUCCUUCGAUUCAAUUACAUCUUCGACAUGUUUCACUUGAAAAAGCUGGAUUUUACGUUUGUUCGCCUUUUUGCCUUGCACAUGAACCACUUCAUCAGGAUUGAGCAGAUACCUUAUAUCUGUGUCACUGACCCAUACUUCAUGCACGAGGGCUUCUUGGCAGUCUGUCCAGAGCACCGUGAAUAUGUGAGUAACUACAUCACCGAUUUCAUGGUCACCAAUAAGGACAAGGAGACGAUUCUCGUGCCUUAUCAUCCCAUAUAAGUCAUCCGCGGAUAUCUUUCCUUCGAUUUCAAUCAUUCAUUUGCACGCGUGGAGGCUAAUUUGAGGUGUACUUAUUUUGCGCAGCGACGGGCGCACCGUCCUCAUCAUCCUUUACCCCCGAUUCUCCCACGCUCUUUACUUGGACUCAUCGAAGAACAUGAAGAAAAAGGAUUACACCCACAUCAAGUUUGUUCUCGACAGUGCUAUCUUGAGCUAUGGCCUACGGGGUGGAGAGAUCAAGACCAGGAAGUCAAGGAACCACACGCCCGCCUUCGGCCAUAAGACCGACUUCUGCUGCAUCCAGCAACCGAGUGGUACUAUUAGUGAUGGGUUUUAUGUCCUCCACCACAUGCUGGAGUACAGAAGGGAACAACAAAACCUUCGCGUGUCACCUAGAUCCGGCGAUGCCCAUAUUCUAUAAUAGGCAAAGAACAUAGGAGAUAUCCCAGAUCAUCGACUUCGAGCUGAGUUCUAUCACGUCCAGCGUGAACUUGCCCAAAUCAUCAUGAAGGAGGUCAUCAAAAAAACAGGGAUGUUCUACGAAGAAGGGCAAAUGUCGCGGGAAGACAUCGGAACACGCGUAUCGGCUCAGUGUCUUGACCUGAAGCCUUUCACUAUGCUAAGGGACUAUCUCCCUGACUUGGAUGGAUGGCAUGACAUGUUGGAGUGAUUGACGAUAUAUGACAAAGUGUCCAUUUAGUCCUUUGUUUCUCUAGACGAAACUUUGAGUUAUGCACAACGAAACUUUAUUUGUGAUGUAAUUAAACCGUCCUCCUCAACUGGCAAAGUUCACUCUAGUUACGGCACUUUGGGUACAAUGAACUUUGUUAUUUAUGCUUAUGAUAUGUUACUUCUAUUUUUGCCAAGUCUGACUCUUUCUGUUGCUCAACUAUAUAUGUUGCAUAUCAUCGACUCAUGUGACAAUGCAGGUGCAUAGAUCAUCGAUGGCGAAGAAGUGCUACGCCAAGAGUAUACGAAGAGUGGCCGGAGUGUCAUGCCCAAGUGUACCGGUUUUUGAGCGAUAGCCAGUAGUUAGUUUAGGUUCACGCUAGUGCGAGAGAGGGAUAUGAACCGACGCCUCAAGAAGUACUACAUUAUGUAUGAUGAGACAUGUCAUGUAACUUGUAGCUACAUCAUGAUUAUGAUGUGAUGACAUGAUUUGUGUUGGAUGAUAUGAUGAGACUAUUAUGUGUAUGAUAUGAUGAGCAUAUUGCAUGUUUAUGAUAUGAUUAGAAUAUUGUAUAAAACCUGUAAAAAACAUCGCAAAUAUGCAAAAAUAUAUAUAUGAGAAAAUAUAGUAGUAGCGCUCUUUAGCGCUGGACAAGAAAACACUACUGCUAAAGCACUUAGCAGUAGCGCUGGUAUGGAAAGCGCUACUGCUAAGUAGGUAUAGCAACAGCACGUGUCAAACUGCGCUACUGCUACAUGUUAGCUGUAGCACCAUAUCAGUAGAGCGGUUCCCCGCGCUACUGAUAGCCCUUAGACCCGCGCUACUACUAGGCUUUUCCCUUUGUUUUCGUGGAUAGAUAAGUAUGUAAGUGUUGUUUUUAACUUUUUCCUUGGUUUCUCUUGUAAAUAUUUUUGCUUCCUUUUGUUUUCAUGGAAUCAAGGACUAUAGAGCUGUUGCUCCAUAGUAGUUACAAAAACCCUAGGUUUUUCUUUAUUUUCACUAGUACCAUUACAAUCCUUCACAAAUAGCUCAGGCAAAAGUUCCAUAAUAAGUAUUGAAUGCUGUCGCUAUAUCGAGUUCAGUUAGAUUCUUAUUAUACUGACCAACAAAACUUCUUUAGCAAGGGUCUAUGAGAAGAAUAUGUUUCAUGAGACUGGCUUUUCUACUCCCGGGGGUCGGGAUACCCUACUAUCCCGUUCGUUCGUUGUACUUGUCUUGCCUCGCGAUCCGUACCCUGGUCUGCCAUCCUAUUUUGAUUUGCAGGCCUAGGUGUACAGUAAUAGGAGCAUCUCUGAUAUGACGUCGUACAUACACACUGAGCCAUCUGCACCUGUGUGCGGGAUACAUAUUGUUUAGCAUAAAAUUUUCUCUUCACAUGCAAAAAGUGUUCUGUCGUUCUGCUAGCCUGGUCGACCACUGUUGACGUUUGGGAUUCAAACCUGUGCGGAGCAUAAAUCUACUGCAAGUAACUAUUUGUCAUAAGUCUACGCCGUGUGAAGCAUCUUGCUAGUAGCAUUUUUGACUUAUUAGUUACGGUCAACUACAGGUAACACAGUAACUAGUCUAGGGAAGUGGGUCCGUCCCAUAGGGUGACGGUUGGCUCUCGUCCGGGAUUUCUGGAGGCGAUCAGGGAGGCGAUCACGUCCGUGUCUUGCCGGGCUAGGGUUCUUCGAGAUCCGUCGUGCUAGGUCUCCCUGGCGUUCUUUGCGCCGGUGUGAGCCCAUCCAAAUCCGAGUCCUGUCCACCAUACUCCUUCUCCGCGUGGCCCUAGGGCGCAGGGUCGUAAAACACUUUUCCUAGGAGGUGCUUGGAGGGAGCAGGAGGGUAGUCAUGGCGGUGGAGGGAGUAGCUGGGCUGAUGAAGGGGUUGAAGUUGACGGAGGAGGAGAAGAAGGGAGUCAAGGUUCGAAUCUCAUCCGUGGGGAAGGGCAAGGAGUCGGCUCCGCAGGCUGUUGGCAAGGUAAUGUCAGAAAAAUUGGCGCACCGAGACGCGAUCUGCCUCUCUCUUGGCAAGGUUUGGUGCCCGAUUAAAGGGAUCGACUGCAGGGAGAUUGGGGCCAACCAGUUCCUAUUCACUUUCCACCAAGAGUCGGGGAAGCAUAAGGCGAUCGAGGAUGGACCAUGGAUGUUUGCUAAGGAGCUGGUAGUGGUUGAGGAUUAUGUGCCCAAUAAAAGGCCAGAAGACUACGCUCACAACAACAUCCCCAUCUGGGUUAGGGUUUAUAACCUACCCCUCGGUAUGAUGAACGAAGAAGCUGCAAAGGACAUAGGGAACACCAUAGGCGUGUAUGUGGAGGCAGAUACUAGACCAGAUGGGAAAGCUUUUGGAAGGUUUCUUAGAGUCAAAAUCAGGAUGCAGAUCGAUAAGCCAUUGAUGAGGGGUUUUACCCUAGAUGAAGAAGCUGUAGGGGGAGAGGAAGGGGACAAUGGGAAGGCCGACAUGGUGAGUAGUGAUGGCGAGGAGGAGAAGGGCUGGUGUCGGUUGGAGUAUGAGUUCUUGCCGGAUUUUUGCUAUACUUGUGGGACUAUCGGCCAUGGAGACAAAGAUUGUACCAUCAAACUUAUGAAGGGAGAGCAAGCCCAAUUUGGUCGAUGAUUGAGAGCGGAUGUAGGCCAACGUAGAGGGGGAAUGGAGGAGAGGCUAUGGAGGGAUGGAGGGAGAGGUUUAAGCGGAACCCGUAACUUUGGCUUUAGUAGAUCGAGCGGGAGAUCUAGUGGAGGAAGUGAUAGUCUAUCUUGGAGGAAGAAUGACUCUCGGUCGGGUGGAGGGGAGGAAGAGAAGAAUGGGAAGAGUGGGAAGGAGGAUGAAGUUACUAGCCCGAUCAAAAAAUUUCUGUUACUGUUGAAAAAGGAGCCGCGAGGAAACUAGUGCUUGACCAGAGCGCAAUGGUGGUACAUGCUGGCUCGGGAAGUCAGAUAGAGAAGGCCAUAGCCAAAUCUGAUGUUCAUGGCGAGGCUUCGCAGGAGGGGGUGAAGGUACUCGGCGGCUGGUUAUGAAUAAGGAGGCGAGUGGCAGUGACAAACUUCCAGGUGGUAAGAAGUACAGGAAGAAAGGCAGGGAGGGCAGGGAGAGGGUCGUAGGUGGGGAAGGCCAGAGGGUGGUUGCGAUCUCAGGAGAGAAGAGGGACAUAACUAAUGAAGAAGAAGAAAAGCUCAGUAAGAAGGGAAGGGUUCAGGAGAUGAGUCAGGAGGGUAACCUGGCGACGGACACCGCAACGAUCGCUGCUAAUGAAAUCACAUCAGCCGAGCUGCAGGAGCAGUCCUGCCGGGAGCUAUGAAACUGAUCGGAUGGAACAGUCGGGGGCUUGGGAAUGGCCCGACAGUUCGCAGCCUCCUCGACUUGGGGAGGGCGGAGGAUCCCGACGUUCUGUUUUUGGCGGAUACGAAGCUAUCGGUGAAGGAGUUGGAGAGGUUCCGUUGGUCAUUGGGUAUGGUUAACAUGUCUGCAUGGAACCCAGUGGGGAGGAGUAGAGGGGUGGCGCUGUUUUGGAGGAGAGGGUUGGAUGUUGCCUUAAGAUCUUAUGGUCGGAGGCAUGUGGAUGUGGAUAUCACGGAAGAAGAUGGUCGGGUCUGGAGGUUAACAGGAAUAUAUGGUGAAUCUGAAUCGGAAUGCAAGGUGGAGACGUGAAGGCUCUUAAAAAUCCUUGGACAGCAACACCAGGACGGACGCCCCUGGCUUUGUUGGGGUGAUUUCAAUGAAAUCCUAACUUGUGAUGAGAAAAUUGGUGGGGCUGACCGAAGUCAAAGACUUAUGGAUAAUUUCAGAGAGGCGCUCGAGGCGUGCGACCUUAGUGACUUGGGAUAUGAGGGAGAUAGAUUUACGUGGAGGAACCACAGCAAGAGGGUGGAUACAUAUAUUUGUGAAAGGCUUGAAAGAGCGACAGCAAAUGCAUCUUGGUGCAAGUGGUUUCCGGAGUUCACAGUCAUAAACGGCUCUCCACGACACUCCGACCACCGACCGGUUAUCGUAUGUACACAAGGCGCUAUCAGGAGGCAGGGGGGAGGAGAUUGUAGUUUCCGUUUCGAAGCGUGGUGGCUCCGGGAGGAAGGGUGUAGUGCGGAGGUGCAGGGGGCAUAGGAGGAAGGUUGUAUGAUGGGCCAUGGGAAUGUGGCUUCUGCCAUGAAGAAUGUGGCUGGUAGGAUGAGGAGAUGGGGUAAGGAAGUGGCGGGAGAGCUUGAAGGAAGACUUAGGGAUACUAGGAGAGCAUUGGAGAGAUGCAUGAGGGCACCGGUCUCGGCAGAAAAAGUGAGGGAGGAAGGGAGGCUGCGAGGAUUGCUGGAGGAGCUGGAAGGCAAGAAGAACACCAAAGCUAGGCAGCAUUCACACGCCACGUGGCUGAAGGAUGGAAAUAAGAGCACAAAGUAUUUCAUGGCUGUAGCUUCUGCAAAACGGAAGGCGAAUAGAAUCAAGAAGUUGAGGAGGGAAGAUGGCAUGGAAGUGAAGGAGGGGAGGAACUAAAUGACUAUGUUUGCUCUUUUUCCAGGACCUUUUCACUACCGCCGGAGUCAACCGUUUUUCUGAACUUAUUGAUAAAGUUCAGCCCCGUCUUACGGCAGCUAUGAGGGCGAUUCUGGAGGCAGAAGUUACCAGGGAAGAAAUUAAAGAAUCCCUUGAUCACAUAGGGGACCUUAAAGCCCCUGGGCCGGACGGCAUGCCCUCGGUGGUCUAUAAGAAACAUUGGCAUUUCAUGGGGGAGAAAGUUAUAGAGGAGGUCAUGGCUGUUCUCAAUGGUGGGGCCAUGCCGGAGGGAUGGAAUGAUACAACUGUGGUCCUGAUUCCUAAAGUGAAAUGCCCAAGCAGGAUCAAGGAUCUCCGGCCGAUAAGCUUAUGCAAUGUUAUAUACAAAUUGGUCUCUAAGGUCAUCGCCAACCGUCUCAAAAUUAUUCUCCCAGACAUUAUCUCUUCCAACCAAAGCGCCUCUUUGUCCCCGGGAGAAUGAUAACGGACAAUGUUCUAGUGGAGUAUGAACGGUCACACCAUCUCCUUAAUAAGAAGAGAGGAAAAGAGGGAAUAGUUGCUGUCAAGGCGGAUAUGAGUAAAGCUUACGAUAGAGUCGAAUGGGAUUUCCUCAGAGCUAUGCUGACCAAGCUGGGUUUUGGGACUAGGUGGAUAGAUCUGGUCAUGUCAUGUGUUUCUUCUGUUCGCUACCAGAUUAAAGUGAACGGCGAAUUAACCGAACAAUUUUCACCAUCCAGGGGUUUAAGGCAAGGAGACCCUGCCUCGCCCUAUCUUUUUGUCAUAUGUGCGGAGGGCCUCUCGGCUCUCUUGCAUGAUGCGGAGGGGAGUGGGAGGAUCAGUGGUGUUAGAGUAUGCCAGGGGGAUCCAGUGGUUUCACAUUUGCUCUUCGCGGAUGACUCGCUCCUCCUUUUGAGAGCUAAGCAGGAGGAAGCCCAGGAACUGCGUAGGGUGCUUGAUCUCUAUGAGGCCUGCUCGGGGCAGUGCAUAAACCUUGAGAAAUCGGCCGUGAUGUUCAGCCCAGACACUGCAGAUGGGAUUCGUGAUGCUGUCAAAGACUCGCUGCAGAUCCAAACUGAAGAAUGGAAUGACAAAUAUCUGGGGCUGCCAGUUCAUGUGGGCAAGUCUCGGGAGAAGGCUUUUGCUUUCGUUAAGGGCGCGAUGGCUGGCCGGGUUUACGGAUGGAAGGAACGACUCAUUGCAAAGGCCGGAAAGGGCACCUUAGUAACUACAGUUGCCCAAGCUAUACCUACCUUCGCCAUGUCGUCUUUCGAUCUAACAAAAUCUUUCUGCGAAGAACUUGGCUCGUUGCUCGGAAACUAUUGGUGGAGUCAACAAGAUAAGGAGAGCACCAUCCACUGGAUCGGCUGGAAAACACUUACGCUGCCAAAGGCCCAGGGAGGUCUCGGCUUCCGGGGUAUGCAUGGGUUCAAUAUCGCCAUGCUGUCCAGACAGAUUUGGCGCCUCAUUCAGCACCCGGACUCCUUAUGUGCGCAAGUGUUACGUGCUCGAUACUACCCGAACGAUCAAAUCCUCACGGCUGUACCGGGAGUUGGCAUCUCCUACUCGUGGAGAAGUUUGCUACACGGGCUCCAGCUUUUCAAAGAAGGUUAUAUAUGGAGAUUAGGAGACGGCACCAAAGUCAACAUCUGGUCGGAUCCUUGGAUACCUAGGCCUUGGUCGCGCCAGGUUAUUACUGCUAGGGGUCCUAAUCUUCUGGAAAGAGUAUGUGAUCUUAUCGAUCCGUUAACUGGCCAGUGGGACAAGCUGCUCAUGAGGGAUACGUUCUGGCCUGAUGAUGUUAAACACAUUCUCCAGAUUCCGUUGAGAGAGGGGGCACAAGAUUUUAUUGCUUGGCACUACGACAGCAAAGGUACCCAUUCAGUCAAGUCGGCUUACAAACUGUUUGGCCACCUAGAAAAAGCGAGGAGGACAGGAGGAGUGGGUGGCAGCAACACGGAUCCGGGGAUGCUUAACAGAGUGGAGGAUGAUUCGUGGAAACGGAUAUGGAAACUACCUUGCCCAAAAACCCUACAGAUGUUCACUUGGCGCAUUAAGCAUGACUCUCUUGCACUCGGGACUAAUGUGGCCCGACGUGGUAUCCCCAUUGCUGACACGAAGUGCCUGUUUUGCGGUAAGGCAGAUGAAGACGGGGCUCACCUAUUUAUCAAGUGCAAGAUGGUCAAGGCUGGAUGAAGGGAGCUAGCCAUGGAGAGCGAGCGGGUUGCUCUUGAACGUAUCACGUCCGUGCAUGCAACCAUGGAGUUCUUAUGGGGGCUGGACCUAAAACAUCGUCUUCUAGUUCUCACCUUCUGGUGGUUAUGGUGGACCAACAGGAAUAAACUUCGAGAAGGGAACAUGCCUACAGCGGCCGACGAGCUGCUAGGAGGGCGAGAAGCAAUGUAAGCGACUACAUGCAGAUCUUUGUGGCUAAUGCACCCAAGAUCCCUCCUGACAAGUGGCGACCCCCAACCAACGGUGAAUAUAAGAUCAACGUCGACGGCUCCUUCAUCCCGGGUCAGAACCAUGCUGGGUGAGGGGUCGCAGUGCGAUCAUCUGAGGGUCUUCUGCUUUGUGCACGGGCAGGAUGCCAGGAGAAUGUACUCGAUGUUUUCGCUGCUGAAUCACAAGCCAUGUCUCAAGCAAUAAACUUGGCAGCAGAGCUAGGCAUGGUCAGGCUGCAGUUUGAGACCGACUCACAACUACUAGCUGAAGCCCUGGAACUGGGGAACGUGGACUCUUCGGCUUAUGCAGCGGUGAUCGAAGACAUGAAAUACCACCUAAAACUUUGGUUCUCUAAGGUCUCGAUUUCGGUUUGUAGGAGUGCCAACUCCGUAGCUCAUGAGUUAGCUAAUCUUGAACGUGUGUCCCUAACCACUAUAUUCAGUGGGAGUCCGAUGUACCUGCCCAUGUGGGCGCUUGUGUCUUGGGUGAUAUGCCCAGCCACCGUUGAGUAAUAAAGCUUUGGUGCUUUCAAAAAAAAACAAAAAAAAAACUACAGGUAACACAGUCUACACGUCCUUAGAUAUCCCUGACAUCAACUAUUCACAUACACACAGUGCCCUGACAACCCCUGCUGCUACACGAGGACGAGUCCCAAGCAGGCAGUCGCUGCAUGGCGAAGAGAAAACAGUGGCCAUGUGACUACAGCGACAUGAACUACCGACUCUGUCCAUGUCUGAUAUUUCAACAGUACAGCCGCAUGUGUCCGGUCAGGCCUACUUCUAUGCCCUAGCUGUCCCUAGAGCCUAGAGGCACGGCCAUUAGCACCGACGAAUUGCCUGGAUAAGCCAGCUGCAGUUGCUAAUCCUCUGCUGUUCGGCAGAACAUGGCACGAAUCUCUAGCAGGUGAACGAUCAGAUAAUGGGGUGUCGGGACCCCCGGUGCCAUCACACCUUUCCGUUCAUUCUAUUCUACUAGCAAAAACCGAUGAAGAUUAUGGUAAUUACAUGGAAAAGAAACCAUAAUUUUUUUGUAUUUUUUUAACUCAACUUUUUGUAUUGCUAUAAGUAAAGAAACUAAAAUUUGUAAUUGCCAAUCAGGAAAUCUUAAUGUCAAAUGCUGAAUUCUUCCACCAACUAGCUGUGAGACAUAUCCAUUGCAGUGCCAAAUAAAGAAGGUUUGCUGACAAUCAACAGCAGGACAAUGGUCCGCUUGUUGUAUAUAAUAAAUGUCACAGUGGUGUUGUAUAUGUGUAGCCGGUGCUAGAAUUUACAUUUUUUUGAAAAGGAGGUUAAACCCCCGGCCUGCAUCAAUCGAUGCAUACAGCUAUGUUUAUUAGACAAGAAAAUACAUCAAGCCACCCGAAACCACCACUCACACCUACAAAUUCGAUAAUGUGGAGUGCUUUCACCUCCAUAUCUAAAACCGGUGUUGUCGCCGAACCAUCCACAUAAUGUAUCGGGACCAACAACCGGUGUAACAGACCUAAAGCAUGCACCACAUGCACAUGUUUUAGAAGUCAAACGCCACCAUCAUCCUUGGACCGCUGACCCAUCUUCAAGAUAGAGAUCAGCAUCAUCCUUGUUAGUCCAGACAUCGCCGACGCCGCCACCGCCCCCGCGCGCAUUCAUCAAGACGCGAAGACUGUGAAAGAUCUAUCGUGCGUAGCACCUGCCGACCAAGCAUGACACAACGUAGCACUUGUCAGCCAGGCAUGACUUGACAUCUCCGCUGAAGCUCCGUGCAAGACUUUGCCGCUCCACCUCAUGCCUCUAUCUUCCUGCGCUGCUCCACAAACGAUGCGCCCAAGAGAGUAACGACACCACAGUACCGCCAUCGUCCGAUCUGGAUGACCAAAUCUUAGUCUUUCCCCCGAAGCAGCACGACUGGGUUGACAGAAGUUACACCACGAUGCCUUCAUCAAGGUAAUGACGCAAGAAGCCGCCAUCGCCCGCCACCGGCUCUGUUUUCACCGGCAACUCUGUCUCCCCAACUCGCAGCUGGGAUUAGAUGACGGAUCUAGAGAUCCAACCACCCAGCCUCAGGCUGACCAUCUCCGGCGAAGGAGACGACCACCACCGCCACGCCCAGGCCGGGCCGGAGCCCCCGACGUCCUCGUGAUGCGGGUCGAUCCCAGGGGUAGCCUGCCGUUGACAGGAUGUUAUACGACAUCAGCAAGUGUGACCCGCCCGAAGCCCAUCUGGACCCAGAUCGGGUGCCCAAGCCGCUGCUGUUGGACUAGUCGUCGAAUGCCGCCUGCCUGGCCGCCACCGCCCCGCACCACUGCUGUAGAUCCGACCAUCACGGACCGCCGCCGUCCUGACCGAGUCUUUGGCGAGGAGAAACGCCGCCACCACCAAUGCGGCACACAGGCUUUGCCUGCGACGCCCCUGGCGGCGGCGGCAGGGAGAGGGUGUGCGCUGGAGUGAACGGGAGACGGACGGCGGGGGCGCUCUGGUGCAGCGCGGCGGCGGCACAAGGGAGCGGGUAGGGUUAGCAGCGGAGCCCCGAGCCCCUCUCGACUUCAGUAUAGAUUUUUCGCUAGAAUUUACAUAUGCAUGCUCCACAACCUAUGUUCGUACAAACACAGAUCAUAUGGAACGAGAAAUAUGCUCUGGUCGGAAAGCAGAGUCGUGGACAAAAGUGAAGUUCACAAAUGACCAUCAUACAUAGGCCAUUGUUUCAACUUGUAGUUUAGGCCUUGCCGGACUCCUCGCAACCUGGUGGCCUGAAGGCGAUGAAGCUGACGCACUGCACCUGGCGCAGGUUGUCGAAGCCGAUGACACGGACAUAGGCAUCAGGGUACUCCUUCUUGACCUCCUCCACCUCGUUGAGCACCUGCGUGGCGUCGGUGCACCCGAACAUAGGCAGCUUCCACAUUGUCCAGUAUCGACCGUCGUAGUACCCGGGAGAGCUGUUGUGCUCACGGAAGACGAAGCCAACCUUGCUGAACUCGAGGCAGGGCACCCACUUGGAGCGGAUCAGGUAGUCUACCUGCUUUAGGAGGGCCUCUGUGGAGAGGGGUGGCAAGUAAGACAGGGUCUCGAACUUCUUGAUACCCUCAAUCGGCCACACCUGAAUGGAUGGAAAUUAUGGAAUGCACACAACUGCUUAACACUUGGUGCUAGUAAAUUGUACGUACUGAGGAAGAAACUCAUAUCAGUUUUGUGCCUCUGACAUACCUGCAUGCACCUGAUCCUUCCGCCAUUGCUGACGCGGCCGAGGCUGCCGCUGGAGCGGCGGCUGACGGGCAGACCGGCUGUGGACUUGAGCCCCUGGAAGGGUGCGACGGUGGUAGCCGACGAAGCCAUCACGGCGGGGGCCAUGGUAUUGUAUUAUCGGAGGAGAGGAGGAUGCCGGCUACAGGUGAGGCCCCCAUUGCCGGGUCACUACGGUAUAUAUAGCCAGACACUUAGCGCCGUUUCUUUGGUACAGAUGUGGUUGGGGUGGCUGACGUUCUCUGGUUGCCUCGUUUCCUUAUCUUCUCCGGAUCAGUGGAAGAAGCAUGGCCGUCGGAUGCAUUGUGUGUGCUGGAAAUUUCAGUCCUUCAUGUCAUUGGGUGGCUGCCACACAACCUUUUUCCAGCUUUUCUUGUUUUUGGUUUCAUUUGAAGCCAAAAGUUUCUUGAGUACAAAUUUUCUGAGAUGCGACUUGAGUGGUGGUGUGGGCAAAAUAUUUUACAUUUUAUCAUAAGAUCUGAUGGCUCACUCCCUUGAAAGUAUGCCUAUAGGCAUAGAGUGUGCGUGUGUGCAUUUAUAGGGGGUGUUAUACAUGCGCGUAUGCGAAUGUCUACUUUUGUACACCGUUUCUCAAAAUAAAAUAUAUGUUUUGUUGGUACAAUUAAUUGACCUAGCAUAGUAACCUCCACACGUAGAACAAGUUCUUUCCCCUCUCGCAAGGUAACUAUUGAAAGCUUUCCACCCCUCUAUAUCCGCCAGUGAGCCUGUGGAUCCGCCUCCCCUCUGCGGGAAGGGGGAUUCCUGGUGCCUCGGCUCUGGCUAAUAAACAAGUAGAAUUUUAGUCCUCAUGGGUGAGGUGCUUGGACGGAUGGCGGUCUUUCUUCUUCGAGCCAAUCUUUCGGGAUCCUAUCCUCUUCAAGUUCCUCUGUCGGGGGAGCUCCGACGUAGACUCCUGCCAGUUCCUCAGGCGGUGAGGUUAGGAUUUCUCAUCAUGCGUACGCACAAUGAGAUUUGGUGUCAGGUUCUUUAAAUCGAUUCAGGGAUUCAACAGCGAUGGCUGCGGCUCCGGAGCACUGGUCCUUAGGGGCAUGUGCAUGGAGACUUCCUGACUGUCAUCGACAAAGUCAAGGUAGCUCUAGAGUGGGAGCAACGACAACGGUGCAUUAGUGGCUUGUCUCUGUGCGUAGGAACGAAAAGAAAGCCCUAUAUCUCAAAUUUUUGACAACUCUCCGUGACAAUGGGCAUAACUUAUUUUAAACAUCAGUGGGUAGGAACAAAAAGCUCUAUAUGUCAACUAUUAACAUGUAUGGCUAAAUAUGUACCUUGCAUUAUAGGAUAUGGCAAUCGAUCAAAAAGGUGGGCAGUCUCUCACGUAACAUUGUCUCUCAAGUAGGGCUGCAAAUGAGUCGAGUUCGAGCGAGUUGGACUUGCCUCAGCUCAACUCAUAUUAAAAUUCGAGCGAGCUCAAACUGAGUGAAGCUCAAGGUCAAGUUGUAGAACGUGACUCAUGCUUAACUUGUAAGAUCUUGAGUCGAUCUCGAGCUAGUUUCGAGUUAAAUGAGAUGAUAAAAUCUAUUAAAUUUAUGACUAUUAUUCCAACUAGAUAAGCACAACACGACAUAAAAAGGCACAAAAAAUAUUUUUUCAAUCAGAACAAUGAUAAUACAAUUUUCUUUUGAAAUGAUACAAAUUUUGUUAGAAGUAGUUUAACUUAUUCUAUCACAACCGAAAGUCUAGUAUCAACUAAGAUAACGAUUCACGAAGGUGCAUAUGCUAGGAACUUUUAGCAGAAACAACAGAAUAUUUAACACAUGACCGACCAUGUACCAUAAAAAAGCCUAAAUUUUCUCUACAACUAAUUAAGCUUCGAUGUCUGUUUGUAAACAAAAUGGUGAAAAAUCCAGGAUGACACAUAUGGUAUUAAAUUAUCGUAUUUUCAUUUAUUAUAUGGAAUGAUCAUUUAACAUAAUGAUAUUAGGCCGAGCUAUCGAGCUAAAAUCGAGCGAGCCAGUAUUGGCUCAAGAUCGGCCCAUUUCUUGAAUGAGCUAUAGAAAGUGUUCGUACUCAACUCGUUUCUUUUCAAGUUGAGUCAAAAAACGAGUUGAUCUCGAGCCGCUAUCGAGCCUCAAGCUUUUCUUACAACCUUACUUUCAAGCAGUGUCAUGUUGACACAACUCAAUCAUCCUACUUCUCAUCCCAUAUCAGCGGCGGAUAACGAAAAGACAUUAAUAUCAAAAGGCCUGGACCGAAGGUAAUAAGUUCUAUGGACAACCGCGAUCCCUAGAAUAAUUAUGUUCCUCUCAUGAUAUUGAUGCCCUGUCACCUGGAGGUCUCUCGAUUUGCACGCCUCUCUCCCAUAGCCAACGAUUACUCAAAUAACAUCACAUAUAAAAGAGUUUAAGAGUUGUUACAACCCAUUAGGGAGACCGUGAUGGGGGGACGAGAAGGGGUAUGGGUGAGGACGGAGUGGCGACGGCAGCGCUUCUCCGGCAUUGCCUCCUUCAAGGUUGCAAUGAUAGAGAUGGAGGCUUGGCACAACCCUCAAGUGUUUUUUGAUAUCGAUGGAGCUGGACGUAUGGAUUGUGUCCCCGAGUGGCUAGGGUUGGAGGUGUAUUUAUAAGAACUCUCCAAAGCCUCCUUCGUUGAUGUAGCAUCUCUACUUUGCUCCAAGUGCUCUAGGUGAGCCCAAUCUUUUCCAAAACAUCCCUUGAUGGCAAAGAAAGUAGUAGGAACAUACCGGGACAAAAUCCUUGAGGAAUCCCCGUCUGAAAGGGCAGCUUCUCAUUUUUUUAUGCAUCAAAGGUUGUCAAACGCUUUAGACUCUUUGGUAAAAUCGCCGCAACUUUUACAUCCGAACUCUGUUUUUGACGUUCAUGUGCUCGUUGGAAUGACGAUUACGGCGCCGAUGCACUUGUGGUAUUAGAUAUUGAUUUUGAGCACUUUGGAAAACAACUUUUUUCACUCUCUGAAAUGCCCAAGUCUGGUGUCUCGAUGUCCUUCGUUUGGAUCCUUUUCAUCGUGUUAAGUGAGUGAGAGUUCCACAUUACGUACAAACACACAAAGAAAGAUAAUACUGAUAUGAACAAAUAAAGAAUAAAUAUUAUGCAAUGCUCGCGUUGAAAAUGUUAAAUACUGGAGAUCAUGCAUAUGGGCAUGUAAUUGGCUCAAUGGCACAUGAUAUAUGGAGAUAAUAGGUGACAAAUGAGCUCUAAACGUGCGUAAAAGUAGGAGCUAUCACUUGGAUCAAUUAGAUACUAUCUUGUGGAACACCUUACAUCCUUUUGAAUGGUGUACCUAGUAGGCAAUUCCAAUGAAAACAUGGGAUUCACCAGGGUGACACACCGUUACCACUUCUAUUUUUCUUGGCAGUGGAUUUACUUCAAUCUAUCCUUAGUGACAUGUAUCAUCGCGGGAGCUCUUUUUUCCAAUCCCAUCUCAUGAUCUAAACUCUCCAAUUGUGUAGUAUGUUAAUGAUAUGUUGUUGAUUAUGCCGGAUAUUGAUUCUCAGCUUCUUGACCUAAAAGAAAUGCUACAACUUUUGUCUAAAUCCACUUGCUUGAAAGUGAAUUUUGGUAAAUCCUCCAUGGUUCUUAUAAAUGUGAUUGACGAUGAAGCUUCUCAUUGGCCAGUUUGUUUGAGUGUCAACAGGGUAAGAUGCCUUUCACUUACCUGGUUUACCUAUGGGUAUCACUAGGCUCAAGAUCUAGGACUUAAUGCCUUUGGUUGAUAUAAUGAAAAGGAAAUUGGCAGCUAGCUCUUCUCUGCUCUCACAAGGUGCUAAAUUAAAACUUUUGAGGUCUACCAUUUCAUCUAUACCGACAUACUAUCUUUGUAGUCUCUAGAGUCUAGACCCCCCUUGGUAUAAUUAAACAACUGGAGAGAAUUGAGCAGAAUAUCUCUGGCGUGGCAAUGCUGAUAGCUCAAAUCAACCAUUCGUGAUAUGUCAUCUGGUAUGUAAAUCAAAGGAGAAUGGUGGUAUUGGUAUCAUUAACCGUCAUAUUCAAGACCAACCUUUGCUUACAAAACACUUGCACAAAUUUUAUAAUAAAGUUCAUAUUCCAUGGGUAACUUUGAUAUAUAUUUCUUACUAUCAUGGAGUCAUACCUGAUGUAACAGUCCUUCGUGGUUUUUUUCCGGUGGAGGGAUAUUUUGGAACUUAACGAUCAGUACAUGACAAUCUCUUCAAUCAAAGUUAAUAUUGGCAACUUUGCCCUGUUCUUGUCUGAUGCCUGGUUGAUUGAGGGGUCUUCUCUACCUCUUCGACAUCGUUUGGAAAGGCUCUUUUCAUUGCCUUCUAUGACAAUAAUUCUGUAAGAUUUUACAGAAACCCCUCAUUAGGCCACUCUUUUGCACCUGCCAAUUUCUGCUGAGGCGAUGGAUGAAUUGUAACCUCCGGAUGGUUGGUUACAUAGCCUUAAGGGAAACCCAACCCUGUCUGAUGUUUGUUCUUGGUAAGGAGAAUCAUUUUCCGCCAAAAGCUUCUACUGCAUGAUGCACAAGCACAUGCCCACCGAUGAACCUUGCAAAUGGAUAUGACAGAGCACCAUGAAGAUCAAGAUCUUUGCUUAGAUCCUAUUAUUUUAUCGGUUGAACGCUCGGAAAUUGCUUCUUAGAAGGCACUGACAUUCUGCUCGGAUUGAAACCCAUUGUGCUCACAUGAGCGAAGAGACCACUUGUUUUUCUCCUAUAAUUUUAGUCAAAGAAUUUGGACUUAUUUACAGAUUGAUUGGAGCCCCAGAUGAAACACUAGAUAAUGUAUUGAUGUUGCAUGUAGAUGACGUUUUUUCGUGAAUACACUAAGCAACGUAUCAUUUCAUUGAUAGGUGGAAAGAAAGAGUAUAGGGUGCAGCUCUCACGGGCAUACAUGCAAUGGCGUCCGUGAGAGUGCAGAGCGAGCAGCGGAGGAGGAUGAUCAGCCUCGAUGCCGCAUGGUCAGGUUACAGGGAUGAUUCUAUGUAAUCCUCGAUCGUCGUCCUUGGCCCACCGACGCGCGUCGUCCUUGAUUAGCUGCCCAAGGUCAUCUGUGGAGGGUCCGGCACCGUUGACAAUGGCCGCAUUUCGAUGUUUCCAGAUAGCCCAAGUGGUGAGAGCGAUAAUGAAGUUUAGGCCUCGUCUGAGGCUAUCCGGGGAUGCUGCCGUGGCCUGGAGCCAACAGUCGAAGAAGAUGGUCGAGCCUAGUAUGGGUGGUGUAACCAGCCAACACCAAGAAAGAAUCUCAUGCCAAGUGAACCACGAGAUGACACAACUAGUGAGGAGAUGGUCGAUAGUCUCUAGCUCCUGGGAACAGGAGAUGCACUCUGGAUCGUGCGGGAGGCCGUGCCUUGCACGACGCUUCGCAGUCUAGCACCGAUCGAGGAAUACGAGCCAAAGGAAGAAUUUGUUGGUAAGAGGGGCCCAGCCCUUCCAGAUCAAACGCCAAGCGGGCGGGGAGGUUGAUCCAAAGAAGAGCGCCUUGUAGCAGGAUUUGACGGAGUAGAUACCACUAGCAUUCCAUUUCCAACUGAUUUGGUCCGGGGCAUGACUGAGUUGGAUGCCCUGAAGAUGACGCCAGAGAUCGAUGUAUUGGACCACUUUGAUGGGACCUAGAUUGCAGUGGAUAUCGUGAAUCCACGCUUGCUGGUGAAGGCCAUCAGAAACCAGGGUGCGGCGGUGCCGAUGUCGCGGCACAAGAGCAAGCAGUGCCAGAGCGAGCUUAGAGAUGGUGUCGGUUCUAUAUCCGGCAUAUCUCGUAGUAGGGGUCCUAAGCUAGGCGUCUUGGAGCGAUGGUAACACGGACACAUGGUUUUACCCAGGUUCAGGCUCUCUCGAAGAGAUAAUACCCUACGUCUUGCUUUUGAUUGUAUUCAUAUGGGGGAUAGUACAUAGUACAUGUGUCUACCACGAGAUUGUUCUAAUGAACAUAAGUUGAUCUAAUGACUAGCCUGGCCUCGGUUUAUACAACACACCGGAGGCCUAGGGUUUAGAGGAGUCCUCGUCUUGUGCACCAAAUCUUGUGUAAACCUCCUUGUAUGCGGCAUGGGCUGCCCGAAGUGGCCCAUUAGUACACCGCCAUGGGGGCCCUCGGCACGAUCCAGCUGGUCGAGAGACGACGUGGUGAGUCCCCCCCCCCCGAGUCCAGGACACUGUCAAAUGGCCCUCCCGUCGAGCCAAUGGUUGCACCAGAAACGACAAGUUUUGUCGUCGCCGAGGGUCCAAGUGGUCGACGCACGGAAGAACUGCCUGGUCUCAUCAUCACAAGGCACCUCAAGAUGGUGCCAAGGGAGGGAGGGGUCAGUGGUCUGCAGCCACAGCCAUCGGGCAUGCAAGGAGAUACUGGUGAGGUGGAGAUCGCGCACGCCAAGCCCACCAUACUCCAGCGGGCGACAUACGCGCCUCCAAUUAACAAGGCAACAGCCGGACUUGGCAUCCUUCCUAGCAUGCAAUAGGAAGUCACGAAUGAUCUGGGUGAUUUUCUUGAGGAUCAUUGGGUUGAUGACCAUGAAGAGGAGAAUUUGGACAGGUAUAGCAGACAGGACAUGCCGCACGAGGGCGAGUCGCUCGGUGCGUGAGAGAAGCGAGGCUUUCCAGGUGGCGAGUUUCUUGGUAAGUUUUUCCAACAGUGGGAGGAGCGCCGAUGUGGGAGUCUUGCGGACCGAGAGGGGAAUUGAUGUGGACCAGAUCAUGACCAAGGCAUCCAAGAGUAAGGUUAAUGCUAGCACAAAUGCUGAACCAUUCGAGCAUCUAAAUGAAGACAAGGUCAAAACCAUUAUCUUUGUUGGGAAGCUUCCGGUGCCUAUUUUGGGAGAAAUGACACAUCAGAUUUCCAGCAGCAACUUCCCACCUAAACCUAAUUAAUUCUGGAAGUCUCUAGCACUUUAUAGAGGCUGGAAGAUAUGGUCUUAGAAGUCAGCUUUCAUUUAAAAAAAAUUGUGCAUCAUUUGAGGUCUUGAGUCAAAAGUUGUGCAAGUUUCCAUGCAAGCUGUCCAGGAAUUUAUUACAGCGCGAGGCUCAACAAGUUUGCUCCUGCUACAGCUUCGGGCUCACGAAUUUACCCUUCUUUUUGAGUUGUUUUCACACCUAACUAGUGGGUGCUUCUAGUAUAAAUACUCCCUAGCUGUUCCAUGUGAGGGGGGAUGAGAUUUCUGAGUUUAUGUUUGUAGACAGCCGGUGAGGUUGUGUUGUGCUGUGAGCACUAGUAUCGUCGAGUGUUAGCUCGUGUGUGUGGAUUGGAGGGCCUGUCCUCAAUUCAUAUAGGAUCCUUGUGGUUCCCUCUUGUGAUUCUUCAUAGGUUCACAAGCUUCAUGGUUUGGGUUGCAUCCUUGUAAACCCAGCUAGUUGUCCGCUGCAAUUUAUCUGAGAGUGUUUCCUCUUGUUCUUCCCCCUUGAGAGAAAUAAAGUUUGUUGAAACAAGUAUCGAGUGAGUUUGUUGCUGCUCCUUGUGAGUUCUUUGGCACCGUGAAAGAUCGUUUCUGAGGCAUCCCACAUCAUCUUGGCAUCAGAGCUUUAGGUUGUUCGCGGUGCAAUUUUUUAUCUUGCUGAUUUUGUUCUUGAGAAGCUUCCAUGGGUUCAAGGAGAUCCAGCAGUGUUGAUGGUGUGCAUGGAGGUGCCGGCACCUCGUGGAGGAGGAGCUGCCACUCCCCGUAUAUGAUCCAAGCUUGCAGCCCGCCUAUGUGUUGGCAUUGGAGAAUACACGAGAGUAUGUGUUGAACAAGGUGGAGAGGCGCAUAUCGGCCGUGGAGACCAACCUUGGCCAGAUAAUCGACUCCCUCACCGAGGAACUCCGUCGAGAUAGGCUUGCUGUACGGGGUCGACAUUGACAAAUCCCCAAACAGCAGGGCCAACGCCACCUUGAGGAGGAGCAUGGAGAGCACAACCACGUCUACUCGGGUGAUGCUCAUAGCUACUACGCUGCACCACCUCGGCGUGCUUGCUAUGACCAGCGAGGUGCUACUUGGGCACCACUGUCACCACCAUGAGAUGGGCUUGUGGAACGGGUUCGACAUCGACAACUCCCCAUACAGCAGGACCACCAUGGAGAGCAUUGGAGCGACCACUCCGAUGAUGCUCGAAACUACUACGAGCCUCAACCAUGACGUGUUCAUCAUGAUCAUCGCGGAGAAGGCCAAGAAGGCUUUGCCAUGGGAGGAAGAGGUCAUGGGCGUGCUCAUCGUGACCAUGAAGAUGAUGGGAUUGGUAAAUUCAAACUUACCAUACCAUCGUUCAAUGGGAAAACCGAGACCGAUGAUUAUUUGGAGUGGGAGAUGCGUGUGGAUUAGAUUUUUGACAACCACCGCUAUACGGAGGAGAAGAAGGUACGAUAUGCAUCCAUUGAGUUUACUGGAUAUGCUUUGAUUUGGUGGAACCAAUUGUGUCGUGCUGGAGGUCGUCCAGAGACAUGGGUGCAAAUGAAAGAUCUGUUGCGGAGACGGUUUGUUCCUGAAUAUUUCACAAGAACCUUGUACAAUCGACUCCAACGGUUGUGCCAAGGUAAUUCUAGUGUUGAUGAGUACUAUAAAGAGAUGGAGAUUUUGAUGAUUAGGACAACGGUGAAUGAGCCCGAGGAGGCCACAAUGUCAAGAUUCUUUCAUGGACUGAAUGAAGAUGUGCAAGAAAGGAUAGAGAUGAUUACAUAUCAAGAUUUGCAAGAACUUGUGCAUCAAGCUAUUCGUGUAGAGCAGCAGCUGAAGCGUCGCCAAAAUCGCAGCCAAACCUAUACAUCAAGCACUUGAAGAAGUUCAGCUCAACGAGAAGUAGACGGAAGUGUCGCUGCAGAUUUUCGCUCACACAACAAGAUGACUACAAAGGAAGCUAAUGCAUCAAAGGUUGAAUCUUCCAAUACUUCUGCCACUCGCGUUAGUAAUAUUCAGUGCCAUACAUGCAAGGGUAGAGGUCACUUCAAGAAGGAUUGUCCUAAUCUGAAGAAGGUUUUACUCACAAAUGAUGGAUAUGUCACCGAUGACUCAAGUGACAAAUCUGAAUCUGAGAAGAAAGAUGCAAAUUAUUGUACUUUUGAGACUGGAGCACCUCUGAGUUCAGAUGGAGGAGAUGGUGUUAAUCUCAUGGUUCGCAAAGUGGCUCAUGAUGAUGCUCCUAUUAUUGAGAAGGGCCAGCGACAAAAUGUGUUCCAAUCCAUUUGCAAGAUCAAGAACAAAAAUUGCAAGGUGGUCAUCGAUGGAGGCAGCUACAACAACAUCAUUAGUAGUGAUCUUGUGCAUGCUCUUGGGAUGUCAACAUGGAGGCAGCCCCAGCCAUAUUAUGUGAAGUGGCUGAAUGGUGUUGGUAAGUUGAAGAUUACGCAUCAUGCGAGGGUGCAAUUUUCAGUGGGAAGUUAUGUGGACAAAGUGGUAUGUGAUGUGGUGCCAAUGCGAGCUUGUCAUCUUCUUUUGGGAAGACCGUGGCAGUUUGAUCAUGAUGCUACUCACCAUGGGAGGUCUAACAAGUAUUCUUUCAUGCAUCAAGGAGUGAACCAUGUCUUGGAACCUAGGGUGGAUCAAGUACUCAAGGUUGAGCAAUUCCCACAAGUGAAGAAGCCCAAAAAGAAUACCUCAAAACCGAGGAUGGUUUUGUUUGAAGGAAGGGAGGAUGAUGUGGACCAGAUCAUGACCAAGGUAUCCAAGAAUGAGGUUAGCACAAAUGCAGAACCAUUAGAGCAUCCAAAGGAAGACAAGGGAAAAAACAUUAUCUUUGUUGGGAAGCUUCCGGUGCCUAUUUUGGGGGAAAUGACACAUCAAAUUUCCAGCAGCAACUUCCCACCUAAACCUAAUUAAUUGUGGAAGUCUCUAGCACUUUAUAGAGGCUACAAGAGAUGGUCUUGGAAGUCAGCUUUCAUUUAAAAAAAACUAUGCAUCAUUUGAGGUCUUGAGUCAAAAGUUGUGCAAGUUUCCAUGCAAGCUGUCCAGGAAUUUAUUACAGCGCGAGGCUCAACAAGUUUGCUCCUGCUACAGCUUGGGGCUCACGAAUUUACCCUUCUUUUUGAGUUGUUUUCACACCUAACUAGUGGGUGCUUCUUGUAUAAAUACUCCCCGGCUGUUCCAUGUGAGGGGGGAUGAGAUUUCUGAGUUUAUGUUUGUAGACAGCCGAUGAUGUUGUGUUGUGCUGCGAGCACUAGUAUCGUCGAGUGUUAGCUCGUGUGUGUGGAUUGGAGGGCCUAUCCUCAAUUCAUAUAGGAUCCUUGUGGUUCCCUCUUGUGAUUCUUCAUAGGUUCACAAGCUUCAUGGUUUGGGUUGCAUCCUUGUAAACCAGCUAGUUAUCCGCUGUAAUUUACCUGAGAGUGUUUCCUCUUGUUCUUCCCCCUUGAGAGAAACAAAGUUUGUUGAAACAAGUAUCGAGUGAGUUUGUUGCUGCUCCUUGUGAGUUCUUUGGCACCGUGAAAGAUCAUUUCCGAGGCGUCCCGCAUCAGGAAUCCCAAGGUAGACGAUCGGGAAGGUGGUGACCGCGCACGUCAGCGUCGAACCAACAACAUCAGCCACGGUAUCAUCACAUUGAAUAGGGGUGGCAGAGCACUUGAGAAAAUUGGUGCGUAAGCCCGAAGCUUCAUAGGGAAGAGGCCAACCUUUCCUGCUUGGUGUUGUAAAUUUGUACAUGACAUCUCUUCUUGUAGAUAGAGUUAAUGCUUACCAAAGCUCCUGGAUUGGAUUUGUAAUCUCCAUUAGAUAAAUAGGUAGGUAGGAAAGUGUGGUUUUUCCUUUUUCUUGGUUCCCUUUGUAAACAUUUUUUGCUAGCUUUUGUUUUGAUGGAAUAAAGGACUGGAGCUGUUGCUCCAUAGUAGUUACAAAAAUUCAAGAUUUUUAUUGAUUUUUCACUAGUAUGAUUACACUCCUUCACAAAGGAGCUCUUUUUUUUUGAAAAGGAGGAUGUACCCCCGGCCGCAUCUGGGCUAUGCAUGUAGCCAUAAAGGAGCUCAUGCAAUGCAUGUUGGAGAUUUAUUUCAAUAGUUCCAUAACAUGUUUUGAAUGCUGUUGCUAUCUAGUUCAGUUAGAUGCUUAUUAUCCAGACCAACAAAAGUUCUUUAGUAAGGGUCUCUACAAGAAUAUCUUUCAUCCUAUUCUACUAGCAAAACCGAUGUAGAUGCUGGUAGUGACAUGGAAAAGAAACCAUAAUCUUUUUGUAUUGAUAUAUAAGUAAAGAAACUGAAAUUUGCAACUGCAAAUCAGGGGAUCUUAAUGUCAAAUACUGAAUGCUUCCACAACUAGUUGUGUGACAUAUUCAUUGCAGUGCCAAAUAAAGAAACUUUUCCAUGAAUUAAUAACAUCAAGACAAUGGUCCGCAUGUUUUAUAUAAUAAAUAUCACACAGGUUUUGUAUAUGUGUAGCCGGCUCUAGAAUUUACAUAUGCAUGCUCGAGAAUCUAUGUUCGUACAUACAUACACAGACCAUAUAGAAUGAAAAAUAUGCUCUGGUCGUCCAGCAGAGUCGUGGACAAAAGUGAAGUUCACAAAAGACCUUCAUACAUAGGCCAUUGUUUCAACUCGUAGUUUAGGCCUUGCCAGACUCCUCGCAACCCGGUGGCCUGAAGGCAAUGAAGCUGACGCACUGCACCUGGCGUAGGUUGUCGAAGCCGAUGACGCGGACAUAGGCGUCAGGGUACUCCUUCUUGACCUCCUCCACCUCGUUGAGCACCUGUGUAGCGUCGGUGCACCCGAACAUAGGCAGCUUCCACAUUGUCCAGUAUCGACCAUCGUAGUACCCGGGGGAGCUGUUGUGCUCACGGAAAACGAAGCCAACCUUGCUGAACUCGAGGCAGGGCACCCACUUGGAGCGGAUCAAGUAGUCGACCUGCUUCAGGAGGGCCUCCGUGGAGAGGGGUGGCAAGUAAGACAGAGUCUCGAACUUCUUGAUGCCCUCAAUCGGCCACACCUGAAUGAAUAGAAUGCGCAGAUGCUCAAUACUUGGUGCUAAGUCAAUUGUACCAACAAUGCUAGAAAAAUCUGUUGAUAAGCCAAAAAUUGCUCCUGAUGGGCAGGUCUCAUAUGUAUUGUUCGUUUGUCCACAAUGAAGAAAGCUUAAGGGUAGCCCUUAAACUGAUGGGCACUCUGGAGGUACUAAGAUAAUUUUAUCUAGUCCAUGCUGCAAUAAAGAGUAUUUCCAUUCACUAAGUUAUGAGUUGAUGGCUUUUACAUACGGAUCCCAGCUUAUGGACAAGGCUGAAUGAGCAUCCAAAGCCAAAUGGUUUCCAUAGGCAACAAACCAAACAGAUAAUAAGGUUUCGGAAUAAUCUAUUGACCAAAUUAUGUUAUACAUUGGGGAUGUUCUGUAAGUGAAUUACUUGUACUGACAAAGAAACUCAUAUCAGUUUAAUUAGUGACCGACAUACCUGCAUGCACCUGAUCCUUCCGCCGUUGCUGACGCUGCUGAGGCCGGCGCUGCUGGAGCGGCGGCUGACGGGCAGGCCGGCGGUCGACUUGAGACCCUGGAAGGGUGCGACGGAGGUGGCCGAGGAAGCCAUCACAGUGGGGGCCAUGGUGUUGGAGGAGAGAAGGUGGCAGGCUAAGCUUGGCCCCCAUUGCUGGGUCACCACGGUAUAUAUAGCCAUAUAUGGCCAGCUCCUAUCUUUAAUCAAGAUGUGGAAGGGGUGGCUGGCGUUCGUUGGUUGCUUGGUUUCCUUAUCUCUCCGGAUUAGUGUAAGAGGCAUGGCCGUUGGAUGAGUUGUGUGUGCCCAAAAUUUCAGUCGUCCAUGUCAUUGUGUGAUUGCCACAAUCCUUUUUCCAGCCUUGCAUUACUGUAUUAUUCUUUUCGUUUCAUCUUGCUAAAGGUAACGCUUGAAAGGUGCACGAAGAACUCCCUUUGUUGAUUUGCGAUUUAAGUUCAGUGGCACAGGCAUAACGAAUGUUAUAGUACAUCCUUUAUCCACUUUUAUAAUACAAAACUUGUCAACCAGUUAUGCUUGCUUCUAAUCUUUGGUACUUCAUUUUAUAACAUUUUAUACAGGUAACUAACGUAUACUUGCUGCAUGUAUGAUGUGUGUCAUCAUGACCUUUAUGUACUUUAUUCACAAUUAUUCAUUGGAACACAAAAGUGUUGUACUAUUUUCUACACCUAAUCAUUUACAUGCCUUGGAGGAUUUUUAGUAUAGGAAAUGCUAUUUAACUGGCUGUCCAGGCAAGGUAUAACUUUGUUUUAAUCUAUGAGCUAAAGUUUUAGAUCCCUCUGUUAUCCAUUUGCUCAGUUCAUGCCGUCCCCAGUGAACUCAUAAAUUACAUAUGGUGAGUGAAUAUAGACCACAAAAAAUGGUAGAUGUAUGUUCAUUCAUUUCAUGAUGAUGAAGCAACCUGCAAAAUGAUGGAAUCGACCAUGACUACUCAGUGAUAUGGCAAUCAUGUAGGACGAUCAUCGUGAUCAUCCUCCCGAGUCGUCCCCGUGCGGCGGCUGGGAGUACCCCAGAUCCCGUCGCCCCCGACUCCCCCUCUCGUCCCCUCCUCCCUCACCGCCGCCCGAGGGCGCCGCCGGGCAAAGCCUUGCCGUCGCCGGCGGCGGCAGGGACUAGGUGCCCUCCCGCUCGUGAGGAGCUGGCGCGGACCAGCGCCCCCGGGCUGGAGCGUGGCGUGCAUCUGGAUGUCAUGACGGGGGCUGGCGGCGCUCCUGCGAUCCCAUACCUCAUGGCAGGCGGCUUCAAGAUCUGGGGCGACACGGUUGCCAGGGUCGGCGGCGGUGGCGUGGCCGGAUCUAGGACCAGGUGUGAGCUUGGUCUCCGGGUCACGAUCGGCGCGAUGGCAAGUGCGACAUGUCGGCAGCUGGACGGAUCUGCGGGAUUCCAUCCUUGUCUAGUCCUUGACAACUCGAGCAACUCCGAGGGAAACCCUAGAUCCAUGGGAUCAAGCGAUGGCAGUGCUUUUGCGUCGUAGUCCCUCUUCGGGACAUCAUUUUAGAGUUUGCUAUGGUUGAAGGGACCAGCGAGGCAUGCGGCGUACGCCCGGUGUCGCAACUACCGAUGAAAAUUACGCCAACUACGGUCAUGGCGGACGAUGGCGGCGUCUUUGAUGUCGUUUCCUUGUCGAGACAUCGUCAUUGCAGUUGGCAUCAUCAUGCUCGGGAUGCUCCGGGGGAAACCCUAGAUCUGGGUCUCCCGGAUCGGACGAUAAUAGCGUUCUUAGUAUCGCUUUCCCUCAUCGGGGCAUCGUUUUGGAGCAAGUGAUGGCUGGAGGUGAUAAGAGGAGGAGCGGUGCUUCAUCAUACACAUUGGUGGUGUCGGAUCUCGAUGGCAUGGCACCCUGGAAAUUAGGCGUUUGAUGUGCGAUGAUGGACUCGCGUAGGAGGUCGACGCUCUCUGGCGUCGUGGUGGCAUCGGCGGCAGCUAGACCGGGCAAGGUACAUGCAGUAGUACAACUCUGAAGAUGGAUUGGUGGCAGGUGGCUGCGGCGGCCUCAUACCCGGCAGGCGUCCUGGUUGAGGAGCACGCUGGACUGGUGGGUGCCCAUGCCCGGCAGGAGUCCUGGUUGGGACCUCAGGUCUUAGAUGUUAGGUUUGGCUGCGAUGUCUCUUUGGUAUUAGGCCCAGACUAUCAGCGCCCCUUCAUCAACUGGAUUGGAUUAGCGACAGAUGUUGCUUAGACGGUGGCUUUAGUCUUAUUGUUGUAUGGUUUUGUAAGGUCUUGUGCUAAUAAUUAAUAAAAUGAUUGUAUGCAUCGCCCAGAUGCAGAGGCCGGGGGUCCUUCUCCUUUUCUAAAAAUCUAGUCAUUUAAGGUAGAUGUCGUGAUCUUCUUGUGUGACUGUCUCAUAGAUUUGAGCUGCAAAUCGAAUCUUAUAUUCUUCCAUUUUUUUUGAAUUUCCUGCAUGUAGUUAAUUAUUUUUUAUGAAUCCUUAAUGAUAAUUAACAUGGCCCAGAUAUUCACAAAAUAUCCAUAACUAUCAUGAACGAAUCAAUAAAUUACUAUUGCAGAAUGAAGAAUGAACCUUCCAUAGACCCCUCCACUUGGGCCCGUCGGUAGAGAGAUUCAUCACUCAUGGGCCACAAAAUGCGAGCCAAGUAGGACGACCUUCACUAAUGGGCCCUUAAGUUGGGCAUCAAUGGAGGGGCACCCAUGGGGCCCAAAGAUCCAACUGAAUGGACAGUCCAUCUCUACUGACGGUCAUACCGGAAUUUCCUAACGGACGCACAUUGUGUCAAGUUGCCACUGUUUCGCACAGAUGCCAGCGACUGGCGACCGAGAUGGGCCGGCCCAAUUACGAGCCCACAGAUGCGCUACAGUGUCCGGUUUUGGGAAACUUCUAGGAGGUUCCUGAGCGGUUUUGGGAACCUUCUAGAAGGUUCCUGAACCAGUUUUCCCUGGUUUAUUCUGUUUCUUUUUAUUUUUCUUUCAAUAUUGUUUAUUCUUUUUCAUUCUUUAUUUUUAUUUUUUCGUUUUGCCGUUUCUAUAUUCCAUUUUUUAUUUCUUUAAUUCCUUUUCCUUCUCUUUUUUCCUUCAGAAUUAAAAAAUAAUAAAAAUGUUCAGAAGUUAAGAAAAUUUUAUUGUUUAAAAAUUUUGUUCAUAAAUUGAAAAAUGUUCUUCUUUUCAAAAAACCUUCGCAUUUUUAAAAAAUGUUUGGCAUUUAAAAAAUGUUCCGCUUUCAAAAUAUUGUUCACAAAUUACAAAUAAUGUUCACUCUUUCCAAAUUUUGUUCAGAGUUUGGACAUGUUUGCAGACGUAAAAAUGUCCACCUUUUCCAGAAAUGUUCAUAUCUUUUUUUUCAAAAUUUGUUCACAAAUUCAAAAAUUCCUGUUUUUAUAAUUUGUUCACACAUCCAAAAAUUGUUCACACCUUUUAAAAAUUCUCAAAAUUUGUUCACAAAUUCAAAAAGCUUUCCAUUUUUAUAAUUGUUCACAGAUUAAAAAAUUGUUCAAAUCUUUAAAACUUGUUCGUGAUUCUAAAAAAAUGUUCAUAUCUUAAAAGAAAUCACAAAUUCGAACAAAUUCCUGUUCUCAAAAUUAGUUCACAAAUUAAAAAUGUUAUUUUUUGAAAAUUAUUCACAAAUUCAAAAAAAGUUCGCAUUUUGUCCAAACUUGUUCGUGAUUUGUCAAAAAAUGUUCGGAAUUUAAAAAAAUGUACCCGUUCUUUCAAGAUUUGUUCACAAAUUAAAAAAUUAUUUCCCUGUUUAAAUUUGGUUCACAAUUCAAAAAAUCAUGUUUUUUAAACUUCAAUUUUUUGCACGUGUCUAACAAAAUAGGUCAGAGUUUUGAAAAUUGUUCCUUUUUAAAAAAUUGUCCAGAACUGCAAAAUUGUUCCUGUUUUUAAAAUUCGAAUAAUUGCGACCAUUUGUUGAAACUCGUGUGCAUUUUUGCCAAAAACAUUUGGACUUUUAAAAAUAUAUUCAGAAUUAACAAGAAAAGAUUUAAAAAGGAAAAAUAAUGUGACCUGCCGUUGUGACCAGUACUAGUCGUGGUGGCUAGCUAGCUUCGUAUAAAAAAGCACGAUCGCGAGCUCGAGUCCUAGCUCUCGCUUCGAGUUUUUCGUUGCCUUUUUAACACUGCACGCUGCCUGCGUGGGCCGGCCCAGUCGGGCGCCUAACCUGUGCGAUCGCUCGACAUUCUGCCGCAGAAUGCGGCAGAUAGGAAGUCCCGGUCAUACCACACCACCCGUCAAUGUUGGGCGCCCCGUUAGUGCUGAAUUAAGGUAUUUCUAUCUGCUAGAGACGAAGUGGCCUUAUAUGGGCUUUCUCUUUUCUCCUAAACAAAACCAAGCCACCUCCCCCAAUCCAUUCCUCCCCAACGUCAUCACCACCCAAUGUUUUUGUCUCCUUACAUGUGUGCCCCCUCCUUCUUCCACAUUGAUCUGGUCCAACGCUACCGUCUCAUCCCCGCGAUCAUCGUCACUACUCUUCGAUUACUCGUGAUGGCGCGGGUUGUGGCUUCCCACUUGCUCUCUCGUAAGAGUGGUUGGGUAAACCCCAAGUGUAAGGAUGAAGUAACCUAGUAAUAAGCAUUUUCCCCGAUAGGUUUAUCAAACCAGUAGGAAUUUCUUCUACAACCCAAAUCCUCGGUACCUGCACACCAAACACAAAAUAAUCUUGCCCCAAACGUUUCAAGAAGGUUGUCAAGCUUCUUGUCCUGCUAGUUACAAGGAUUAGUUGUUAGUUGAAAGCAAAUAUCAGUUGCUAAGUAGCCUUAGUGUGGUUUGUACCUUCAGAUCUGCCAUGACACUGUCAACACUAUACUCGCCAUGCUUAGGGUUCAUCCUUUUUAUAUACACCAAGAUCAACCUAGGUGCUUCGCGUCGUACUAGCACUAAUCCAACCAUCAAUAUAAAUGAAAUGCCACCAUAAUUUCAAAGCUUAGUUGUUCAAAUACGAAUAUGAUGUGGUACUAAUAUUAGUUUAAAAUAGACACAUGUAGUUGGUCAGCCAAUGUUCCUUGUUGAGUUUCAAAAUACAUGUACACCACUUAUAGAGAGGCAUGAGUGAAUACUAUUUAUUUCUGCGAUCUCGUCCAUCAUGGAUGGGCAACGAACAUUGCAUUGUAUAGAAAGAAGGGUUAUAUAUAACCACCUUUUACAUAGAUGACGCUUUGCCUACGUGCUUUGUGUUGAAGUAGCAACACUCCACCUUUCAAGCUAAACAACAUGACACUCAUAAUUUCAAAGCUUAUUUUGUCAAAUACGAAUUUGAUAUGAUACUGAUAUUAGUUAAAAUGACACACAUUAAUUGUCAGCUAAUGUUCCUACUUCAGUUUUGAAAUGCAUAUCUGCCCCUUAUAGAGAGACAAGAGAGGUUUCUAUCUCUCUAUCCGCUCUUGUCAUCAUGGUUGGGGGGUGAACUUUGUAUAUCGUAUAGUUUGAAGCUGUCAUCUACCAACAAUCAUCACUUCUGGAGAUCUCAACUAGGAGCCUUUUUUGAGUAGUAGGGCCAUAUUAUAUUAAUACACACACCAAAUUACAACUCACAUAGCAUCUCUCGGCAGACUUCCAGAGAUAGUACGCAGGGGUUUAUAAGGAGUCACUAUUGGGGUAGAAUCGGCAAUGCAUUUGUUACACCCCGAUUCAGAGAACCGGAGGUCCCCGUGUUCCAGCCCAGAUAUCCAUUCGUCUGGAACACGACUAUAGCUUGGUACAGAUAGACCAAAAUAAAUAAGUACUUAUGUACAUUAAGGAGACAUGUCUAAGUGUGAGAAGCUCGAGGGCUUUAUUCUACGAGUGGCUUAAGGAAGUACUAAAGACGAAAAUAAUACUAAUGACACAACAGAAGACGGGGUACCAGUGGGGCUCCAAUCUAAAGAGACACUGCUGGUACACGAACUCUUAGGGGAACUCUUCUAUCGGCUCUCUAGUAUCUAGCAUGAUAAGUCAGGUGAGUACUUAAUUUGAAUGUACUCGCAAGCUCACAAACAAUCCAAAGCAAGCAAGAACGGAGCAAAUAAACAUAGCAACGAAGUAAGGACUAGUAAAGCUACUACUAUCAAGACUACUCCAUAGACUUCUUGUCUGCUCGUUUAACAUCUACUGGACUUCUUCUUGAAAUGAGUCCUGCUCAAACGACUCAACAAUAUAAGUUACCUGUUACCACAGUUACUAGAGUUGAAAGUAAAGGAAUAUGGGUACUUGGUCAAAUAGUGUGACCUAACACAAAUGGUGUCCCAUUGUCGGGGACUCGGCUAUUUGAAUAGUUUCAACACACACUCUGUAGAGGUCACACACUUUAAUUUACCCACACCAUAGAUUCUUUGUCUAAUGAAUCUCAUUCAUAGCAUGGCACUCUAACUAUUCCUCCGACCUCCCGCAGGCUAGCCCUGGGAGAGAGGAUCUGGGUCCUUGCCACUCUGUGUGGCACCACUUGUAUUCGCUUAGGAAUAUUUUCUAUUGAGCUCAUCCACAGACCCAGGCUCUCUUGACUGAAUGGCAACUUCCAAGCCAGAGGAAGUCUACACAUUCCAGCUUCCCUCUUCAGAGACACACAAAAGAUACAUACCUAGAAACGGAAUAAGGCCCUCCCAUUCGGCUAGAUGUGGCUAUACUGAGGUUGUUCCGCUUUGUGGCAUUUGGAUUGGCUAGCUAUUUAAAGUUGGGUUAAGAAGGAAAGUAAAACCGUAACUUUGUACUAGCUAUUCAAAUCCACAACUUGUUAUCCUACUAGGGUGAAGUAUUCACGAGGAUUCAUCAUCCUAAGUAGAGGCUUUCCCCGAGAUCCUUUGUGAACAUUGAUACCUAUUUUGCUUAUGAUUCAUGUUGGCAAAAUAAUUACCGGUUACGAGUCAUAGUUAAACUUCUAUUCCACUAGGACCAAAUAAAGGUAUCCUUGCUAGUGACUCACUAUGCUAUUUCAACCACAACAAACUUGACAUAAGCAAAGGGAAGCAAUAAAGAACACUGAAAGAAAAGUAAUGCGGGAAAAGAAAUGCAAGUUGAAUCCAUGGCCUUGCAAUGCAAGUUGAACCUAUAGUGUUAUAGCCAUGGCUCACGCUCAUGUAUUGCAUGGGGCUGAAAAUCUUGAAGCGCGUUAGAAGUGUUAAGCUUCAUGCACUAGCCAACGCAGCCAAAAGUCUGAACUGAUGGAAAGGGCUAGUACAAUCCACAUAUACUAUAACACCCUCUCUCACGUGGGACGGGGAAGACAAGUCAACACAUGCAACCGGAAGAGAGCGACGGCACGCGAAACUCAGGUAUGACUCAAGAGGCCUAUACGUGGACACAAAGGAGGGCUGUCAGCAAUUUUUAAAUAAGUUGCACAAACCAGGACUUGAACUCAAGACCUUAACUCCAAUACCAUGUUAAGCUUCAUUGACUCACUGAAAAACCAGCGGCAGUCACCACAGAGGCAAAACGCUCAAACAAGGCGCGGGGGGCUUGCUUAAGGCCAUAGAGAGAGCGACGAAGACGAGAUACCAUGCCAUCAGGAACAGAAUACCCAGGUGGUGGCUGCAUGUAUACCUCCAUUUGCCUGGUUUGACACCGGGGUGCUCAUGAUUUAUAUAUAUGCAAUGAAGGCGGAGUCAUGCCAUGCUAACAUGAUAAAAUGAGUGGGGAUAACAUUCGUUAAUGAUCGUAUAUUUUGAAAAAGUAAUGAUUAUGUUUCUUAUAUUCAUGGAAAUUAUUAUGUUGAUAUUGUUACUUCAUUGUUUCUCAAUAACUAUAUCAUAAAGAUAUUACAUGAUACAUAUGUUUGUUGGGGAACGUAGUAAUUUCAAAAAAAUUCCUACGCACACGCAAGAUCAUAGUGAUGCAUAGCAACAAAAGGGGAGAGUGUUGUCUAUGUACCCUCGUAGACCGAAAGCGGAAACGUUAGAACAACGCGGUUGAUGUAGUCGUACGUCUUCACGGCCCGACCAAUCAAGCACCGAAACUACGACACCUCCGAGUUCUAGCACACGUUCAGCUCGAUGACGUCCUUCGAACUCCGAUCCAGCCGAGUGUCGAGGGAGAGUUCCGUCAGCACUACGGCAUGGUGACGAUCUUGAUUUUCUACCGUUGCAAGGCUUCUCCUAAGCACCGCUACAAUAUUAUCAAGGAGGACUAUGGUGGAGGGGGGCACCGCACACGGCUAAGAGAUCAAGAGAUCAAUUGUUGUGUCUAGAGGUGCCCCCCUGCACCCGUAUAUAAAGGAUCAAGGGGAAGGGGGCGGCCGGCCAGGAGGAGGUGCGCCAAGGGGGGAGUCCUACUCCCACCGGGAGUAGGACUCCUCCUUCCCUUGUUGGAGUAGGAGAGAAGGAAAGAGGGGGAGAGGAGGAAGGAAAAGAGGGCUGCACCCCUUGUCCAAUUCGGACCAGAGUGGGGCUGUGCGCCUCCUUCCUUUCGGCCUCUCUCCUCUAUUCCCGUAUGGCCCAAUAAGGCCCAUAUACUCCCCGGCGAAUUCCCGUAACUCUCCGGUACUGUGAAAAAUACCCGAAUCACUCGGAACCUUUCCGAAGUCCGAAUAUGGUCGUACAAUAUAUCGAUCUUUACGUCUCAACCAUUUCGAGACUCCUCGUCAUGUCCCCGAUCUCAUCCGGGACUCCGAACUCCUUUGGUACAUCAAAACUCAUAAACUCAUUAUAUAACUGUCAUCGAAACUUUAAGCGUGCGGACCCUAUGGGUUCGAGAACUAUGUAGACAUGACCGAGACACGUUUCCGGUCAAUAAACAAUAGCGGAACCUAGAUGCUCAUAUUGGCUCCUACAUAUUCUACGAAGAUCUUUUAUUGGUCAAACCACAUAACAACAUACGUUGUUCCCUUUAUCAUCGGUAUGUUACUUUCCCGAGAUUUGAUCGUCGGUAUCCAAUACCUAGUUCAAUCUCGUUACCGGCAAGUCUCUUUACUCGUUCCGUAAUGCAUCAUUCCGUAACUAACUCAUUAGCUACAUUGCUUGCAAGGCUUAUAGUAAUGUGCAUUACUAAGAGGGCCCAGAGAUACCUCUUCGACAAUCGGAGUGACAAAACCUAAUCUCGAAAUACGCCAACUCAACAUGUACCUUUGGAGAUAGCUGUAGAGCUCCUUUAUAAUCACCCAGUUACGUUGUGACGUUUGGUAGCACACAAAGUGUUCCUCCGAUAAACGGGAGUUGCAUAAUCUCAUAGUUAUAGGAACAUGUAUAAGUCAUGAAGAAAGCAGUAGCAACAUACUAAAUGAUCAAGUGCUAAGCUAACGGAAUGGGUCAUGUUAAUCACAUCAUUAUCCUAAUUAUGUGAUCCCGUUAAUCAAAUGACAACUCAUGUCUAUGGUUAGGAAACAUAACCAUCUUUGAUUAAUGAGCUAGUCAAGUAGAGGCAUACUAGUGACAUUAAGUUUUGUCUAUGUACUCACACAUGUAUCAUGUUUCCGGCUAAUACAAUUCUAGCAUGAAUAAUAAAAAUUCAUCAUGAUAUAAGGAAAUAAAUAAUAACUUUAUUAUUGCCUCUAGGGCAUAUUUCCUUCAGUCUCCCACUUGCACUAGAAUCAAUAAUCUAGUUCACAUCGCCAUGUGAUUUAACACCAAUAUUCACAUCUGUAUGUGAUUAAUACCCAAUAGUUCACAUUGUCAUGUGAUCAACACCCAAAGGGUUUACUAGAGUCAAUAAUCUAGUUCACAAAUCUAUGUGAUUAACACCCAAAGAGUACUAAGGUAUGAUCAUGUUUUGCUUGUGAGAGAAGUUUAGUCAAUGGGUCUGUCACAUUCAGAGCCGUAUGCAUUUUGCAAAAAUUCUAUGUCUACAAUGCUCUGCACGGAGCUACUUUAGAUAAUUGCUCCCACUUUUAAUAUGUAUCCAGAUUAAGACUUAGAGUCAUCUGGAUCAAUGCCAAAACUUGUAUUGACGUAACCCUUUACGACGAACCUUUUUUCACCUCCACAAUCGAGAAACAUAUCCUUAUUCCACUAAGGAUAAAUUUGACCAAUGUCCAGUGAUCUACUCCUAGAUCACUAUUGUACUCCCUUGCCAAACCAGGACAGAGUAUACAAUAGGUCUGGUCCAUAGCAUGACAUACUUUUAUAGAACCUAUGACUGAUGCAUAGGGAAUGACUUUCAUUCACUUUCUAUUUUCUGCCGUGGUCCGGAUUUGAGUCUUACUCAAUUUCUUACCUUUGCAACAUAGGCUAGAACUCUUUCUUUGACUGUUCCACUUUGAACUAUUUCAAAAUCUUGUCAAGGUAUGUACUCAUUGAAAAUAUUAUCAAGCGUCUUGAUCUAUCUCAAUAGAUCUUGAUGCUCAAUAUGUAAGUAGCUUUACUGAGGUCUUUCUUUUAAAGAACUCCUUUCAAACACUUCUUUAUGCUUUCCAGAAUUUUUUUAUAUCAUUUCUGAUCAACAAUAUGUCACUCACAUAUACUUAUCAGAAAGGCUGUAGUGCUCCCACUCAUUUUAUUGUAAAUGCAUGCUUCACUGCAAGUCCAUAUAAAACUAUAUGCUUUGAUCAAAGCGUAUAUUCCAACUCCGAGAUGCUUGCACCAGUCCAUAGUUGGAUCGCUAGAGCUUGCACAAUUUGUUAGCACCUUUAGGAUUGACAAAACCUUCUGAUUGCAUCAUAUACAACUCUUCUUUAAUAAAUCCAUUAAAGAAUGCAGUUUUGACAUCCAUUUGCCAGAUUUCAUAAAAUGUGGCAAUUGCUAAUAUGAUUCGGACAGACUUAAGCAUCGAUACGAGUGAGAAAAUCUCAUCGUAUUCAACACCUUAAACUUGUCAAAAAACUUUUGCGACAAGUCGAGCUUUGUAGAUAGUAACACUACUAUCAGCGUCUGUCUUCCUCUUGAAGAUCCAUUUAUCUUCCAUGGCUUGCCGAUCAUCGGGCAAGUCCACCAAAGUCCACACUUUGUUCUCAUACAUGGAUCUCAUCUCAGAUUUUAUGGUCUCAACCCAUUUUGCGGAAUCUGGGAUCAUCAUCGCUUCCUCAUAGUUUGUAGGUUCAUCAUGGUAUAGUAACAUGACCUCCAUAAUAGGAUUACCGUACCACUCCGGUGCGGAUCUUACUCUGGAAGACCUACGAGGUUCUGUAGUAACUUAAUCUGAAGUUUCAUGAUCAUCAUCAUUAGCUUCCUCACUAACUGGUGUAGGAAUCACUGGAACUGAUUUCUGUGAUGAACUACUUUCCAAUUCGGGAGAAGGUACAAUUACCUUAUCAAGCUCUACUUUCCUCCCACUCACUUCUUUCGAGAGAAACCCCUUCUCUAGAAAGGAUCCAUCUUAGCAACGAAUAUUUUGCCUUCGGAUCUGUGAUAGAAGGUGUACCCAACAAUUUCCUUUGGGUAUUCUAUGAAGACGCACUUCUCUGAUUUGGGUUCGAGCUUAUCAGGUUGAAAUUUUUUCUCAUAAGCAUCGCAGCCCCAAACUUUAAGAAACGACAGCUUAGGUUUAUUGCUAAACCAUAGUUCAUACGGUGUCGUCUCAACGGAUUUAGAUGGUGCCCUAUUUUAACGUGAAUGCAGCUGUCUCUAAUGCAUAGCCCCAAAACAAUAUUGGUAAAUCGGUAAGAGACAUCAUAGAUCGCACCAUAUCCAAUAAAGUGCGGUUACGACGUUCGAACGCACCACUACGAUGUGGUGUUCCAGGUGGCAUGAAUUGUGAGACUAUUCCACAUUGUUUUUAUACGAAAGCCAAACUCGUAACUCAAAUAUUCUCCUCCACGAUCAGAUCGUAGAAACUUUAUUUUCUUGUUACGAUGAUUCUCCACAUCACUCUGAAAUUCUUUGAACUUUUCAAAUGUUUCAGACUUGUGUUUUAUUAAGUAGAUAUACUCAUAUCUUGCUCAAAUCAUCUUGUGAAGGUCUGAAAAUAACGAUACCCGCCACGAGCAUCAAUACUCAUUGGACCGCAUACAUCAGCAUGUAUUAUUUCCAAUAAGUCACUAGCUCGUUCCAUUGUUCCGGAGAACGGAGUUUUAGUCAUCUUGCCCAAAAGGCACGGUUCGCAAGCAUCAAAUGAUUCAUAACCAAGUGAUUCCAAAAAUCCAUCUUUAUGGAGUUUCUUCAUGCGCUUUACACCGAUAUGACCCAAACGGUAGUGCCACCAAUAAGUUGCACUAUCACUAUAAACUUUGCAUCUUUUUGGCAUCAAUAUUAUGAAUAUGUGUAUCACUACGAUCGAGAUCCAAUAAACUAUUUUCAUUGGGUGUAUGACCAUCGAAGGUUUUAUUCAUGUAAAUAGAACAACAAUUAUUCUCUGACUUUAAAUGAAUAACCAUAUUGCAAUAAACAUGAUCAAAUCAUAUUUAUGCUCAACGCAAAAGCCAAAUAACAUUUAUUUAGGUUUAACACUAAUCCCAAAAGUAUAGGGAGUGUGCGAUGAUGAUCAUAUCAAUCUUGGAACUACUUCCAACACUGAUCGUCACUUCACCCUCAACUAGUCUCUGUUUAUUCUGUAACUCUUGUUUCGAGUUACUAAUUUUUUAGCAACCGAACAAGUAUCAAAUACUCAGGGGCUACUAUAAACACUAGUAAGGUACACAUCAAUAACCCGUAUAUCAAAUAUACCCUUGUUCACUUUGCCAUCCUUCUUAUCCACCAAAUAUUCAGGGCAUUUGCGAUUCCAGUGACCAUUUCCUUUGCAGUGUAAGAACUCAGUUUCAGGCUUUGGUCCAGCCUUGGGCUUCUUCACGGGAGUGACAACUUGCUUGUCAUUCUACUUGAAGUUCCCUUUCUUUCCCUUUGCCCUUUCUUUGAAACUAGUGGUCUUGUUAAUCAUCAACACUUGAUGCUCUUUCUUGAUUUCUACCUUCGUCGAUUUCAGCAUCACGAAGAACUCGGGAAUCGUUUUCAUCAUCCCUUGCAUUAUAGUUCAUCACGAAGUUCCAGUAACUUGGUGAUGGUGACUAGAGAACUCUGCCAAUCACUAUCUUAUCUGGAAGAUUAACUCCCACUUGAUUCAAGCGAUUGUAGUACUCAGACAAUCUCAGUACUUGCUCACUAUUUGAGUAAUUCUCCUCCAUCUUUUAGGCGAAGUAUUUGUCAAAGGUCUCAUACCUCUUGACACGGGCAUGAGUCUGAAAUACCAAUUUCAUCUCUUGAAACAUAUUAUAUGUUCCAUGAUGUUUCAAAAACGUUUUUGUAGUCCCGGUUCUAAGACAUAAAGCAUGGUGCACAAAACUAUCAAGUAGUCAUCAUAUUGAGCUAGGCAAACGUUCAUAACGUCUGAAUCUGCUCCUGCAAUAGGUCUGUCACCUAGCGGUGCAUAAAGGACAUAAUUCUUCUGUGCAGCAAUGAGGAUAAACCUCAGAUCACGGACCAAGUCCGCAUCAUUGCUACUAACAUCUUUCAACUUAGUUUUCUCCAGGAACACAUAUAAAACAUAGGGAAGCAACAACGCGAGCUAUUGAUCUACAACAUAAUUUGCAAAAUACUACCAGGACUAAGUUCAUGAUAAAUUAAAGUUCAAUUAAUCAUAUUACUUAAGAACUCCCACUUAGACAGACAUCUCUCUAGUCAUCUACGUGAUCACGUAAUCCAAAUCAACUAAACCAUGUCCGAUCAUCACGUGAGAUGGAGUAGUUUUCAAUGGUGAACAUCACUAUGUUGAUCAUAUCUACUAUAUGAUUCACGUUCGACCUUUCGGUCUCCAUGUUCCGAGGCCAUAUCUGUAUAUGCUAGGCUCGUCAAGUUUAACCUGAGUAUUCCACAUGUGCAACUGUUUUGCACCCGUUGUAUUUGAACGUAGAGCCUAUCACACCCGAUCAUCACGUGGUGUCUCAGCACGAAGAACUUUCACAAUGGUGCAUACUCAGGGAGAACACUUCUUGAUAAUUAGUGAGAGAUCAUCUUAAAAUGCUACCGUCAAUCAAAGCAAGAUAAGAUGCAUAAAGGAUACACAUCACAUGAAUCAACAUAAGUGAUAUGAUAUGGCCAUCAUCAUCUUGUGUUUGUGGUCUCCAUCUCCGAAGCACCGUCGUGGUCACCAUUGUCACCGGAGCGACACCUUGAUCUCCAUCGUAGCAUCGUUGUUGUUUCGCCAUCUAUUGCUUCUACGACUAUCGCUACCGCUUAGUGAUAAAGUAAAGCAAUUACAGGGUGCUUGCAUUUCAUACAAUAAAGCGACAACCAUAUGGCUCCUGCCAGUUGCCGAUAACUCAGUUACAAAACAUGAUCAUUUCAUACAAUAAAAUAUAACAUCACGUCUUGACCAUAUCACAUCACAACAUGCCCUGCAAAAACAAGUUAGACGUCCUCUACUUUGUAGUUGCAAAUUUUACGUGGCUGCUACAGGCUAAGCAAGAACCGUUCUUACCUACGCAUAAAAACCACAACGAUAGUUCGUCAAGUUAGUGCUGUUUUAACCUUCACAAGGACCGGGCGUAGCCACACUCGGUUCAACUAAAGUUGGAGAAACUGACACCCGCCAGCCACCUGUAUGCAAAGCACGUCGGUAAAACCAGUCUCGCGUAAGUGUACGUGUAAUUUCGGUCCAGGCCGCUUCAUCCAACAAUAUCGCCGAACCAAAGUAUGACUUGCUGGUAAGCAGUAUGACUUGUAUCGCCCACAACUCACUUGUGUUCUACUCGCGCAUAUAACAUUUACGCAUAAAACCUGGCUCGGAUGCCACUAUUGGGGAACGUAGUAAUUUCAAAAAAUUUCCUACGCAUACGCAAGAUCAUGGUGAUGCGUAUCAACAAGAGGGGAGAGUGUUGUCUACGUACCCUCAUAGACCGAAAGCGGAAGCGUUAGAACAAUUUGGUUGAUGUAGUCGUACGUCUUCACGGCCCGAUCAAUCAAGCACCAAAACUACGGCACCUCCGAGUUCUAGCAUACGUUCAGCUCGAUGACAUCCUUCAAACUUCGAUCCAGCCAAGUGUCGAGGGAGAAUUCCGUUAGCACGACGGCGUGGUGACGAUCUUGAUGUUCUACCGUCGCAGGGCUUCUCCUAAGCACCGCUACAAUAUUAUCGAGGAGGACUAUGAUGGAGGGGGGGGGCACCGCACACGACUAAGAGAUCAAGAGAUCAAUUGUUGUGUCUAGAGGUGCCCCCUGCCCCCGUAUAUAAAGGAUCAAGGGGGAGGAGGCGGCCGGCCAGGAGGAGGCGCGCCAAGGGGGGAGUCCUACUCCCACCGGGAGUAGGACUCCUCCUUCCCUUGUUGGCGUAGGAGAGAAGGGAAGAGGGGGAGAGGAGGAAGGAAAAGGGGGCUGCACCCCUUGUCCAAUUCGGACCAGAGGGGGGCUGCGCGCCUCCUUCCUUUCGGCCUCUCUCCUCUAUUCCCGUAUGGCCCAGUAAGGCCCAUAUACUCCCACACGAAUUCACGUAACUCUCCGGUACUCCGAAAAAUACCCGAAUCACUCGGAACCUUUCUGAAGUCCGAAUAUAGUCAUCCAAUAUAUCGAUCUUUACGUGUCGACCAUUUCGAGACUCCUCGUCAUGUCCCCGAUCUCAUCUGGGACUCCGAACUCCUUCGGUACAUCAAAACUCAUAAACUCAUAAUAUAACUGUCAUUGAAACCUUAAGCGUGUGGACCCUACGGGUUCGAGAACUAUGUAGACAUGACCGAGACACGUUUCCGGUCAAUAACCAAUAGCGAAACCUGGAUGCUCAUAUUGGCUCCUACAUAUUCUACGAAGAUCUUUUAUCGGUCAAACCGCAUAACAAUAUACGUUGUUCCCUUUGUCAUCGGUAUGUUACUUGCCCGAGAUUUGAUCGUCGGUAUCCAAUACCUAUUUCAAUCUCGUUACUGGCAAGUCUCUUUACUCGUUCCGUAAUGCAUCAUUUCGUAACUAACUCAUUAGUUACAUUGCUUGCAAGGCUUAUAGUGAUGUGCAUUACCGAGAUGGCCCAGAGAUACCACUCCGACAAUCGAAGUGACAAAACCUAAUCUCGAAAUAUGCCAACUCAACAUGUAUCUUUGGAGACACCUGUAGAUCUCCUUUAUAAUCACCCAGUUAUGUUGUGAUGUUUGGUAGCACACAAAGUGUUCCUCUGGUAAACGGGAGUUGCAUAAUCUCAUAGUUGUAGGCACAUGUAUAAGUCAUGAAGAAAGUAUACGCCAACUCAACAUGUACCUUUGGAGACACCUGUAGAGCUCCUUUAUAAUCACCCAGUUACGUUGUGACGUUUGGUAGCACACAAAGUGUUCCUCCGGUAAACGGGAGUUGCAUAAUCUCAUAGUUGUAGGAACAUGUAUAAGUCAUGAAGAAAGCAGUAGCAACAUACUAAACGAUCAAGUGCUAAGCUAACGGAAUGGGUCAUGUCAAUCACAUCAUUCUCCUAAUGAUGUGAUCCCGUUAAUCAAAUGACAACUCAUGUCUAUCGUUAGGAAACAUAACCAUCUUUGAUUAAUGAGCUAGUCAAGUAGAGGCAUACUAGUGACAUUAAAUUUUGUCUAUGUAUUCACACAUGUAUCAUGUUUCCGGCUAAUACAAUUCUAGCAUGAAUAAUAAACAUUCAUCAUGAUAUAAGGAAAUAAAUAAUACCUUUAUUAUUGCCUCUAGGGCAUAUUUCCUUCAAUGUUAGCUAGCAUUACACAUCAAAAUUUUUGUUUUUAUCAUUUACCUAUUCGAGGAUGAGCAGGAAUUAAGCUUGAGGAUGUUGACAUGUCCAACAUAUCUAUAAUUUUUUAUUGUUUCAUGCUAUCAUAUGAUCAAUCUUGGAUGCUUUAUAUGUAUUUUAUACUAUUUUAUAUCUUUUUGGACUAACCUAUUAUUUUGAAAAAAAAUUGAAUUGUUUGGAUUGCUUACCACAUGUGUCACGUGGUUUGGGACUAACUUUUUAACCCAAUGCCUAGUGCUAGUUAAUGUUUUUUUUGCUUGUUUUUGGCUCUUCAGAAAAACAAUACCAAAUGAACUUCAAACAUGAUGAAACUUUACGGUAAUUUUUUCUGGACUAGAAGAGGCCCUAGAAGGUUCGGGAGGAGGCUAGAAGAUCUACGGAAGAGCCACGAGCUCACAGGGCACGCCCCCGAGCUCAUGGGCCCCACGCAGCUCCGUUUGACCUAAUUUCAACUCCAUAACUUCACAUAUAUUUCCAAACCAAUAGAGAGCCACCCGAAACACUUUUUUUCCACCGCAAGCUUCUGUUCUUCCGUGAUCCCAUCUGGAGGCCUUUUCCGGUACUCUGCCGGAGGAGGAAUCGAUCAUGGAGGGCUUCUAUAUCAUCCUUGCUGCCUUUCGAUGAUGCAUGCAUAGUUCAUGACAGACCUACGGGUCCAUAUCUAGUAGGUAGAUGGCUUCAUCUCUCUCUUUGAUCUUCAAUACAAUGUUCUCCUCGAUUUUCUUAGAGCUUUUUUAUCCUAUGUAAUCUUUUUUUGCGGUGCGUUUAUUGGGAUGCAGUGAAUUAUGGGUUUAUGAUCAAAUUAUUAACUGAAAGUAAUUGUGUCUUUUCUGAGCUUUAUUAUGCAUGAUUGUUAUAGCUUCGUAUUAUCCUCCGAUCAAUUCGUUUGGUUUCGCCAACUAGAUUGAUUUAUCUUCAGUGGGAGAGGUGCUUUGUAAUGGGUUCAAUCUUGCGGUGUCCUCAUAUAGUGACAGAAGGGGAAGCAAGGCACAUAUAGUAUCGUUGCCAUUAAGGAUAAAACGACGUGGUUUAAUCAUAUUUCUUGAGUUUACUUUGUCUAGAUCAUGUCAUCUUGCUUAAGGUGUUACUCUGUUUGCCAUGAACUUAAUACGAUAGAUGCAUGCUAAAUAGCGGUCGAUUGGUGGAGUAAUACUAGUAGAUGUAGGCAGGAGUCGAUCUACUUGUCACAGACAUGACUAUAUACAUGAUCAUUGCCAUGAAUAUGUCAUAACUAUGUGUUUUUCUAUCGGUUGUCUAACAGUAAUUUGUUUACCCACAAUAUGCUACGUGUUCGAGAGAGAAGCCUCUAAUGAAAACUAUGGCGCUAGGUCUACUUUUAUCAUAUUAUUAAAACUAAAAAUACCUUCAUGCAAUUUUAUACUUUUUUUACUUUUCUUUUUAUCUAUCUAUCACUAUCAGAAUUAAUCCUUGCAAAUAAUGAGUUCAAGGGGAAUGACAAGACUCUUGCCGCGUUGGGUGCAAGUAUUUGCUUUUGUGUGUGUAGGUGCUGAAAAAGGGAAUUUGCGUGGUUCUCCUAUUGGUUUGAUAACCUUGGUUCUCACUGACGGGAAUACUUAUCUCUAUUGUAUUGCUCCACCCAUCCUCUUGGGGGAAAUCCCAACGCAGUUUAGAAGUAGCACUACUCCUCCUUCCUCCUCCAUAGACGCUUGGCGAAGCCCUGCCACAGCUCCACCAUAAAAUCCACCACCACGCCAUCGUGUUGGCCUAGAUCUCAUCUACCUAUCCCUGUCGCUUGCUGGAUGAAGGAGACAUCACCGAGCCAUACGUGUGCAUAUCCCUGAGGUGUCAUUCGUGCGGUGCUGGAUCGGAUUGGAUCACGAAGAGUGUACGACUACGCCAAGCACAUUCAUUAGAACGUUUCUGUUUUAGGUCUAGAAGGGUUUGUAGACUUUUCCCCCUCGUUGCUAGCAUCUAGUUGAUUAGAUCUCGGAUGUUUUCAUUGUCUCGUAGGAAAAAAAUUGUUUUUCAUGCAUUGAUUCUCAUCACCGACCUGCUUCAAAAGAAGCAGGUAGGAGCCCAGGCGGCCCGAGCUCAGCAGGUUGCCGGGUGGGAGGUCCCUAACAGGUGCAUCCAAGAAUGCAACAACCUCCAAGUAGAGAAGGCGUCCCUAACCGAGAGGACGAGACAACAAGAGCUGGAGCUGGAAGAAGUUAAGUCUCGCCUGGUCGAUGCCGGGAGCGUCGCGGCGGGCCCUUGAGAUCAUAGCCAGUGAGUCUGUCCAUGCUUCAACUCAUAAACUAGGUGGAAAUUUUAUUUGCCGAUCUGACAUACAAAUUCAUUAUUUCCAGCAUCUUUUCCCGACCUGCCAGCCAAUGCUGUUGGAGCGUCCCUUAGGGAGAAACUGCAGCAGUUUGGAGAGUUAAACAAGAUUGCGAGGCCGGUAAUGGAGGGUAUUUUCUUGGCCCUAUGGCCUGGAAGAAAGGUUGUCGGAAAACCAGUUUGACCUCUGCCGCCGCCUCCAGGAGGGGCAUGCUCGGAUUGCCCUGUGAAAGGCGUUAGUGGCCUGAGAAGAUGCUCGUCAAGCGUGGGCCAUGCUCCAGACCCACUAUCCGGGCUUGAACAUCUGCCCUAUUGCCGUAGUUGGUCCAAAAGGACCUGACGGUAAGGAGAUUAUGCCCUAUGCUAGGAUGUCCGAGCAGGAUUGUCGUUUGAAAAGAUUAUUGAAUAGGCUAGGAGUGUUACCCUGGAUUGUCAAGGACGAAACGUUGAAUAAAAACUUCUCGAAUUUCGCUACCACCAUGUUUAUUUUUUUCUAUACCAACAACAUGAUAGGUUUGCUCCGACCUGUUAGCAUACGCUUGCAUUAACCGGCCUUUGGCUUCAACCUCAACAACCAAAUGUGGAGGCCUUAUAAUUGAUGUUAACGCAAUGAGUAGGGAUCACCAUGCAACUAGGAUGCAAACAUAUCUAUGAAUAUAUGAAAUAUCUCGCAAGGAUUAAGUGGGGGUGUGUCCAACUUGUUUGCUCAUGAAGACCUCAAGCAUUUGAUAAAGCUCAUCAUCGGGAUAUACAAGGAAAAUUAUACAAUAUAAAUUCCCCAAGCUAGUAUAAAACAUGAAGCUCAUGAAACUUUAAUUAGAUGUAAAUUGUCCAGACCAACAAAAGUUCUUUAGUAAGGGUCUCUGACGAGAAUUUAUUUCAUCGAAAGUGUCCUACUCAGCUUGAGCUCAUAUGAAUUUUUUUAUUGCCGUGAAAAAGAUGAAUGCCAUUCUAUGAUGAAACCUUGCAAGGAUUUAUAACAUUUGUCAAAUUAAGCCACACACAAAAAAUCAGAAAUUUUUGAAUUCUCUCUAAAUAUUUUCAGAUUUUAUUGCUCACCCGAGCUCAUAUGAGCUCGAGCUCAGUUAAUCCGUGUCCAUGUUUCAUCCUACUCUACUAGCAAAAACCAAUGGAGCAGACGGUAGUGACGUGGAAAAGAAACCAUAACAAAUUUUUAGUGAUAUAUAAUUAAAGAAACAGAAAUUUACAAUUGCAAAUUAGGGAAUCUUAAUGUCAAAUACUGAAUUCUUCCACCCACUAGCUGUGAGACAUAUCCAUUGCAGUGCCAAAUAAAGAAGCUUUUCCAUGAAUUAAUAACAACAAGACAAUGGUCCGCGUGUUGUAUAUAAUAAAUAGAGUCCUGCUUCGGUACAACCCCCCUCGCAAUAUGUAUAAAGGGUAAUAUGGACUUUUCACAAUCUGUAUCUACUUCUGUACGUAACAUAUACGCCAGGCAGCUUACUUGGGCCGGCCCAUUUGCGGUGGCAUGCGAUGAAAAAUAGCGAAAAAGGAUCACACAAACUGGGAAUCGAAACCGACGACCACUUCAAAAUUUAACUGCGUCCACAACCACUGCGAUAGCAUGCCUUUGUUGAAUGAUCUAAAGUUGGAAACAAUAAAUAAUUGACAGGCUGGGAAUUUUAAAAAGAUUUCAGUAACACUUUCUGAACUGGCGUUUUUUCCAUAAUUUCUUUCUAUUUAUUUUCCUUUUCCUGCUAUUCUUCUUUCUUUUUCAAAAAUGUUCGCGCUUUCAAAAUGUUGUUCCAAAUUUCAAACGGUUCAUUAUUUCCAAGUUUUGUUCAUAAACUAAAAAUAUUUGCAUUUUUGAAAAUUGUAUUGUAAUUUGAAAAAAUGUUUGUGACUUUGAAAAAAUGUUCAGAAUGUAAAAUGUGAAUAAUGUUUUGAAAACCACAAAUAAAAUUGUGAAAAUGAACAUUUUCUGAGAGCACGGACAAAAAAUUAAAUUCCAAAGCAUUUUUCAGAAAUGAGACUAAAUAAAUGAUCUCAUAAAAUUAUUCUAAAUUUACACGAUUAUUUUUUAAAAUUUGUCAGAAUAUUUUUGAAAAUGAGAACAUUUUCUAAAUUCCGAACAAAUUCCAGUAGUCGCCCGACAAGAGCGAUGCCGUUGCUUAGUUGGGCAAGGCCUAAAGUUUUUUCUUUUCUAUUUUUUCGUUUUAUUCUCUUUUUUGUUAAUUUAUCUUUUCACCUUUUUGAACUUUAUGGUUCUUUUUUUUAACCUGCUCAAAAAAUUGAAAUACCAAAAUAAUAGUUUUAAGGAACUAUUUUAAAUUAUGAUUUUAAUUCUUUUUUUGUUUCAAUAUUUCUUAAAUGCUUUUUAAAAAGCAUCUGUUGUUUUCAAUUCUAUUAUUUAGUAUUUAUUGAUUAUUUUAGAAAUUUAAAAUGACAGUUUGAAGUAUCUAUAUAAAUUAUGAUUUUAAAUGACCCCAACAUUUGCCAGCUGGUGGCAUGGCCAUGGUAGGCAUCCAUGCCCCAAUAUUCUUUCAUGGCCUCGUAUGACCAAUUCAAUGCACCAUGACAAGUUGUUUUGGUUUUCGACAAAUUUUGUAUUUUUCUAGAGUUUUCUCGAUAAGAAAAUGCAAAAAAAGGCCGGACGUGUUGCAACUUUCAUACUGUGUCAGAAAUUGUUCAAACCUGGCAUGGAUGCCUAUGAGGGGCAUGCCCAUCUGGUGGCAAAAGUUGGGGCCAUUUUAAGGAUGUACUCCCUCCGUCCGAAAAUACUUGUCAUCAAAAUGGAUAAUAAGGGAUGUACGUAGAACUAAAAUACAUGUAGAUACAUCUCCUUUUAUCCAUUUUGAUGACAAGUAUUUUCGGACGGAGGAAGUAUAAAUAGACCAUGUUGAACAAACUGUGUUCUCGGGCAGAAGGAUUCGUCUGAGAGCAUGUUAGUUCUCGACAUCCUUGAAAUUAAUCCAAUUUUUUUCAAGGGCCUCGUAUGACCAAUUCAAGGCAUCAUGGAAAGUUGUUUGGGUUUUCAACAAGUUUUGCAUUUCCUGGAGUUUCUUGGUGAAAAAGUAACAAUUAAUGAUAGAACAUGUCGCAACGUGCAUACGGUGUCGGAAGUCAUUCAGACCAAGUAUGGAUGCCUAACAUGGGCAUGCCCACUUGCUUGCAAAAGUUGGGGGUAGUCCUGAUAUUUCCAAAGAAAUACCAUGUUGGAUGGAGAGUGUUCGAAUAGGCUAGAAGGAUCUGUUUGCGAGCUCCAUUUCUCAUGGCCUUGUAUAACCAAUUCAAGGCACCACACCAAAUUGUUUUGGUUUUGUCCAAUUUUGCGUUUUCUGAAGUUUUUGUGGUUAAGAAGGCCGAUAAAUGACCGGAUGUGUCAACACUUGAAUAUGGUGUAGAAAAACGUCCAAACUAGGCAUGUGCCUACCAUGGGCAUGCCUACCUUCUUGCAAAAGUGGGGUUCAUUUUAAAGAUGUUCAAAAAUAGACUAUGUUCAACGGAGAGUGUUCGAAUAGUGCAGAAGGGUCCGUUUGAAAGCUCGUUGUUUACUGACAUCUGUCAAAUAACCCCAAAUAUUUUUCAUGAGCUUCUAUGACCAAUUCAAGGCACAAUGCCAAUUUGUUUAGAUUUUUGAAAAGUUUUGUAUUUUCUAGAGUUUUCUCAUUGAAAGUAGGCCGAUAAAUGGUCGGACGUGUCACAACAUGUAAAGGGUGUCGGAAGUCAUUCAAACCUGGCGUGGAUGCCUCAUAUGUCCAAGCCAGGCUCUUGCAAGAAGGUGGGAUCAUUUAUCAAUAGCCUAAAAUAUACCAGUUAGAUGAGUUUAUUUCUAAUUCCCUUCAUUAUCACUCAACAUAAACAUUUUAUUUUUUCCUAACAAUUUCUUGAAAUUUCUCAACAAUUUUGGAACUUCAAAGUGUGUAUGAAAAAUUUACUAACUUGAACACUUUUUUCCAAAAUUGUUAACAAAUUACGAAAGAAUGAUGAAAAUUUCGAACAAAAAAGCAAACCGCGUACUUCUUAAAAAAAUUGUCAACUUUUUUGAAACACAUACAUUUCUUAAAUUUGUGAACAACAAAAUUCGAAAACUAGAACAUUUUAUGAAAUUCCAGAAUAUUUUUUAUAAUUUAAACAAUAUUUGAAAACAAAAUCAUUUUAUGUUAUGCCAAACAUUUUUUCCAAAAUUUGAACAAGUUUCACAAAGAUUAAUAAAGUUCAAAAGUAGAAAAAUGAAUUAACAAAAAGAGAAAAAAAAAGAAACUAACUGCAAUGAAAAAAAUGCUUAGGCCCUAGAAAAUAAGAAUGUUUCCGGAAAAUUUAAGUAUAUUUGGAAAAAUAUUCGUAAAUUUUAAAAAUUGUUUGUGUUUUUGAAUAAUGCUCGCCAAUUUGAAAAAGUUUUGCAUUUUAAAAAAAUGUUCAGAUAUUUCAAAAUUGUUUAUGUUUUCAAGAAAAUGGUCACAAAUGUGAUAAAUUAUUCAUCUUUUCAAAAAAAUCUGCAGUUUCAGAUAUAUGUUUACAAUACUGAAAAACUGUUCUUAAACUUUCAAAAAUAUUCACAAAAUCAAAGUAUUUUUCAUAAAAAAGGGUUCGGGAAUUUGAAAAAAAUGCGUUUCCAAAAGAAGUCCAAAUUUUGAAAAAUGUUUCGUAUUUUUAAAAAUAUUCCAAUAGAUGAAAAAACACAUUAGGUUUUUUAGCUAUAAAAAAUGCUUUAGCUAGAAUGUCCUGCCCAGUUGUGUUUUCCAAAAGAAGUCCGUGCACCAAUUUUGAUCUGCUAGAGUAUUUCUAGUAAAAAAAAAGCUCCUACAGUACGUCUGUUCUAGGUAAUAAACAACUACACUUCAAAAAUAUCAGCAAAUCCAGAUGGUUCUGGUGGCUAUUAGCAGUUUCCCAACCGCUGGAGGUCCUGUGUUCGAUGCCCAAUAGGCACACUAUGUUUUGGAUUUUUGAUCGGUGCUACCGCACAUACUCUCUCUAAUGGGCCGGCCCAAAAUAGACUCAGAACAUGACAGAUCUUCGCGACGUAUUUUCUUGAAAGACCAUCCUACUCUUUAUUAUGAAAAGGUAUAGACAGAUCUCGUCCAUUGAUGUAUUCGGGGGUUGUGCCGAAGAAGAAGAUAUAGACCUAUGAGGAAUUACGUAUGCAUGCUCAAGAACCUAUGUUCGUACAUACAUACACAAAAUCAUAUAGAACAAAAGGUAUGCUCCGGUCAGAAAGCAGAGUCGUACAGCAGAGUUUUGGACAAAAGUGAAGUUCACAAAAGACCUUCAUACGAGAUAGGCCAUUGUUUCAACUCGUAGUUUAGGCCUUGCCGGACUCCUCGCAACCCGGUGGCCUAAAGGCGAUGAAGCUGACGCACUGCACCUGGCGCAGGUUGUCGAAGCCGAUGACACGGACAUAGGCGUCAGGGUACUCCUUCUUGACCUCCUCCACCUCGUUCAGCACCUGUGUGGCGUCAGUGCACCCGAACAUAGGCAGCUUCCACAUUGUCCAGUAUCGGCCGUCGUAGUACCCGGGGGAGCUGUUGUGCUCACGGAAGACGAAGCCAACCUUGCUGAACUCGAGGCAGGGCACCCACUUUGAGCGGAUCAGGUAGUCGACCUGUUUCAGGAGGGCCUCCGUGGAUAGGGGUGGCAGGUAAGACAGGGUCUCGAACUUCUUGAUGCCCUCAAUUGGCCACACCUAAAUGAAUAGAAUGCGCACAGAUGCUCAAUACUUGGUGAUAAGUCAAUUAAUUGUACUAAACUACGCUAGAAAAAAUCAGUCGACAAGCCAAAAAUUGCUCCUUAUGGGCAGCUCUCAUAUGCAUUGCUGGGUUGUUCACAAUCAAUAAAGCUUUGGUUGUACUUAGUGCUAGUAUAUGGGUCCUAUUUCGAGGAUGGGUUUGGUUAUAUACAUUGGGGAUGUUCUGCAAGUGAAUUACUUGCACUGACAAAGAAACUCAUAUCUGUUUAAUUAGUGCCCGACAUACCUGCAUGCACCUGAUCCUUCCGCCAUUGCUGACGCUGCUGAG
rnacentral:lncRNA from 1 species